rnacentral:lncRNA from 1 species
GCGCCCCUUCUAUUUAGUCACAGGGGUUUAUCCUUUCUUUCAAGCCAAACCUGCUAAGCGGAUGGAUAUUCUAAAAAAGAAUGAUUGUAUGCAGUUGGAGUUCUGUUCUGACUAUAGCUGCAACUUAUCUCCUAAACUCAUGGUAAACAUAGCUCACGUCACUUGCUCCAAAGCCAAAGCGGAAUGCUUCUGUGAGCAGCGAUUCAACUGAACGUUCCAAACGCAUCCAGCAGGAAUCGAACCUACGAAUUUGCCCCUUUAGCCUUUAUUAGGUUGGGCGCUGCUUUAACCAUUCAGCCAUGGACGCAAAGAGAGUGAGCUAGGUUUCGGUAUUUCUUCUCGAGCUUUUAUUUAUUCCGUUAAAGAGAGCGAGUGAACAGUGAACUAGGUUUUGGUAUUUCUUCUCGAGCUUCGAUUUCUUCCGUUAAAGGAGAUUCGAGAAAAGAUGGAAUAGGAAGACGUGUUUCCAGAACAAAGAAGAUACAGGUUGAGAAGGGGAAGUUAGCAAAGUUAGACAAGAUUGGAAUGAGCAUAGGAACAUGUAUGGAUGUACCGGAUCGGCUAAAGCUCCCAGGUUGAUGCAAUGUAUUCCACCAGUUGACUGAAAACUUGAUGAUUGGUAUAUCGAUCGGUCCAACACGGAUUGAAAUAGAAGCCGGUUCGACAGGAAGCUUUUGAAAACGCAGUGCACCCAGGUAAAUAAGGAACGAGAUGAAUACAGAGGUUAAACGAGCAUCCCACACCCAAAAGGUACCCCAUAUAGGUUUUCCCCAAAACCCCCCAGUAACUAAGGUAAACAACGUAAAAAAAGCACCCAUUUCUUUCGGGCGUGAAGCUGUUCGGCGUUAGGCUAACCGAUGGGUCGAUUAUUAAGAAGAGCGCAAGUAUGGGGAAUCUGUCCGCUCACUACCAUUCAUCGUCUCCCGCCGCUUCCCCCAAUCCGGACUCCCAUUCAUCGUCUCCCGCCGCUUCCCCUAAUCCGGACUCCCCUGUCUCCGAUCACGCCCGCGAUUCGGGUCGAUUGGCCGACGGCUAUUUGUCUGAUGAUCCGGCUCAUGCAUCUAGCUCAUCUAAUCGGCGCGGAUAUAGGAAGAAAGGUAACUAUCCAGUGAAAUCUUCUGUUUUUACUUCUACGGAUUUAUUAUGUGUGGAAUUUGAAAUAUUGAUCGGUGGUUUGAAUUGUGUUUGGAUGGAUUUGGUUGUCUGUAGCAAUGGCUAAUCGUUGUAAUUUAUCUUUUACUUUUGGAUUGUCUUCGGAGAUGGUAUCAUACUAUCAUUGCCUGGUGAUAGCCAUUUCGUUGUUCUUAUCGAACUUCUUGAAGUUUUCGUUAAGUUUUGAUACGAGCUAUACGCUAUAAAUUGCUGUGGUAAUCGACAUAUUUGAUCAUUUGUCAUUGCUUUGGUAUCUCUAUGCUUUGUCAUGCUGAGGGUACCCUUGUUUUCUUCGUUUUUGGAGUGUGAUAUGAACAGUGAUUGUUUCAGUAUGCUCUGCUACAUCUUUGGUACGUUGGAUUAUUGGAGGGGAUAUUGUGUUUCCUAGGUUGAUCCAAUAUCUGGGGUUCUAGUUUAAGUCAUGGAUUGUGCCAGAAACCGUGUGUUCGUAUACAGGAAGAGUUAAGAUAGCAUCGUUUAAAUGUAUCAUGGGUCGUAUAAGAACGGUCUGUAAAUCAUCCUUCACUCUGUAAGGCUUAUCCUCUGUAGAAAGUGUGAUCCUUUGACGAUGAGGCAUUCAUUAUUGCUACAUCAUCUAUCUACGUUGUGAAAUGAUGAGCAUCUCAGUUUGAGAAUAGAAGAUAGGUUUUGAUCAUGCAAAAUGUAUUGAGCAAAAUUAAGGUUUAUUGUUUCCUCUCUUGAGAAAUCAGACCUUCAUUAGUUCAUUAGUUGAACUAAAACUGAUAGUUAUCGUUGCCGUCUUGCUAAUUCUGUGUUUCUUUUGUUGAUUCAGGUGUCCCCUGGACAGAAGAAGAGCAUCGAUUAUUCUUAAUUGGUCUUCAAAAACUAGGGAAAGGAGAUUGGCGUGGAAUAGCUCGUAAUUAUGUUGUUUCAAGGACUCCUACCCAGGUAGCUAGUCAUGCUCAGAAGUAUUUCAUUCGCCAGAACAAUGCGACUCGCAGGAAGCGAAGAUCCAGCCUUUUUGACAUGGUUACAGACCUGGUAUGGCCAAAUGCCUUUCCUCUCGCAUUUACAUCUGCUAACGUUCUUCACGUUCUUGACCCGGUCCCUGUUCUUGUUUGGUGUUAAUCAGGCGUCUGAUCCUCCGCACUCAGUCCCAGAAGAGAAAGAGUUGUUUUCCUUACAAGCGAAGGAAAGUAACAAUGCAGAUAAUCAUCCUUCACUAAACCUUUCUCUUAAGCCAGACUAUGAACCAAUGGAAACAACAUCCGAAGAACCCGCUAACGAAGAGGAAGAAGCCCAGGAAACUACAAUGCGAUCGAAUGAAUCGAUACUACAUGCUCCAAGACCAACACAGUUUACCUUGUUCGCUCCAUCGCAAACAAGCGAAUUCACGCCAUUCGUUCACCAGUUUGUUCCGGCCUACGUUCCGGUUCCUUAUCCAUUCUGGCCUGCCAACCCUGUCCCGGUCGAGCAAACUAUGGUUACCGAGACGUCCAAUCACCAGGUGCUAAGGCCAGUUGCAGUAGUUCCGAAACAGCCAGUCAAUGUCGAUGAACUUGUCGGCAUCUCUAACUUAAGCAUCGGAGAUUCUUCGCCUUCACCGCUGUCCCUUAAGCUGACAUCGGAGACGUCAAGGCACUCUGCGUUUCAAGCUAAUGCUCCGGUGUCUCGACCGGAGAUCAGCAAGGGAAAGAUUCAAGCAGUAUGAAAAAGGGGGAAAGAAGGUCUGUGUUGUUUCCUCUCCUGUACAAUUAUGUUAUAUGUUUUCUUUUUUACUGUUUAUCACAGUUGAUAAAGAGGAAAGAGGGAAGAUUUUGGUGUGAUAUUACAAAAUUAUUCUUUCUAACUGUAACUUUAGGGUUUAGGGUUAAAACUUUGAUCAAAUGUAGCGGGAAGGGCAGUAAUCUGCCAUUAAAUUUUGUUCUCUGAAAACAGUUUGUGUUGUCAAGACUGAUACAAUUCUGUACUACAGACCAAACUUGUAUUAUGUUACAUUACUAUUCUUCUUCCCAAUUGCAUCUUAUUACUCCUUUAUUCAAACUGAUUAAGAAGCACUUCAGAGAUGCCCCUAUGCAACACCAACGAACGAUCAGAAUCGUUUGAUGAAGUCGACGAUGUGCUGGGUGAUCUCUUCCGGCUUGACCAAGUGCGCGAAAUGCGGCACUCCUUCCAUGACCACUACUUCCUCGAGCUGCGGGACUUCCUUCUUGAACUCUUGGCUGUGAAUGUAGUCCUUCAUCCCAGGCAUGUGGUAGCAAACGUCUUGAUCCCCAAUGAUGAACUUAGCUGGGACUUGGUAUUUAGAAUCUUUCCAUGGCCCCAUCAGCUCCCUGGUGAGGGAGAAGGCUCGGUAGUAGUUGAGUCCCCCGGUGAAGCCGGUCUUGCUGAACUUGGAAGCGUAGUAAUCCACGUAUUCUUCCGGCAGCCAUGGGAGGAAUGAGGUUGGUGGAUCUGGUAACCCUUUGAAUCCUGUUUCUUUGGGCACCAUUGGUGGCUCUGGUUUGCUGAAGAGUGUGUACAGCUUUGUUAUCAGUUUCUUUGUGUCUACUUUCGCAAAUUCUUCCUCUGCUUCUCCCACUUCCUGCAAAUAUAAUAACUAGUUAUCCGACAAGUCUCCAGAGAGUCUACUAACCAGUUUCAUUAGAUCCUAUAACUAAUUAUAAAUCUUGUAACCCAUUUAUAGAUCAUAUAACUAGUUAUAAAUUUUAUAGUUAAUAUCGAGGAUCGUGGAAAUUCGAGCACACGAUCAUUUGGUCAAACCCGUUCUAAUACCAUAUUAUGAAUCAAUGUAUCCCAACAACUCAAAUUAUUGGGGGAAAUAGCCAAUUUCUAUAUACAGUCCGAGUUUUACUUCACAUGGUCCGUAAAAUGACUAUUAUACCCUUAAUAAAACAUGCAUAUUCACUAUUUUGCUAAAAUAACUAUGUAUCGUAUUAAUCAUAAUGGUGGCUACAAGAUUCACCCACUUUACACAAAAUCUGUUAGCGUCGCAAUAGCGUUUUCGAAAAUCUCUCUUUUCGUCGAUUCGCUUUUUCAUAAAACCCUCAUCGUAUUGACAACUAAUACAAUAAGAGUUAUUUUAGUAAAAUAGUAAAUAAAUUUUAUUUAUUAAAAUACUUAUGAUAUAUAGUAUAAACAAAUAAAUAAUAUGGAUCUUAUAUCACUCUUUUACUUUAAUCAUAUUCCUAAAAAAGAGCAUCUCUUUUAAUUUGGAGAUCUAUGCUAAACAAACUAUAGUUAUUUACAGAAUAACUUACAAAUCUAUGGGUGGACGAGUAGUUAUGAUUAAUGGUUAAAAUUGAUAAUCAACCUACUUGUCUUACCCGUGGAUUUGAUCAAAUGAAUUCUCGGCCGUAGAUCUGUGAACUAAUGAGUGCUACUCGGUUAACGGUUGAAACCAUGGUUAACUAAUGAUUAACCUAUUGAUCAGCUUUCUACCUACUUAGGUCCAGCUCCGCAAUCUAGUAAGUAGUAACUAUCUAUGCUUAUUAUUUUUUUAUCUUCGCAAAAAGCUAAUUAAUCAUGAUUUUGAUCGAUUAAAAUCGGUUAAAUUGAAAAGGAAAUCACAUACCUGAAACCUGCAGAAAUAGUAAUCAUCCCCGUAAACACCCCUGAAGACAUCAACGAAAUUGGAAACAGGGGACUGCCGGGUCGGCGGGACGCUAAGGUUAACCACUCCCCUGACCCGAUCGGGUCGGAACCUGGCAAAAUACCAACCCAUGGCAGCUCCCCAGUCAUGUCCCACCACGAACACCUUCUCGAUCUCUAGAAAAUCGAGGAGGCCGACAAGGUCGCCGACGAUAUGGAAGGCGGUGUACUUGGCUGGAGACAGAGGGGCGUCGGUGUCGCCGUAGCCGCGGAGGUCGGGAGCUACGCAGCGGUAGUCGCCUAAGGAAGGGAUGGAUAGGAGCUGGCGGCGCCACGCGAACCAGAGCUCGGGGAAUCCGUGGAGGAAAAGGAUUGUGGAUUCCGCGGUGGGAGGUCCGGUGGUGGCGAUGUGCAUCUUGAUUCCGUUGGUUUGGAUCGUGGAGUGGUGGAUCUCUUCGUUGGUUACCUCCAUGAUUGUUUGAUCAGAGAGGUUGGGGAGUUCGUCAGAGUAAGUCCGAUUGAAUCGACGAUAAUCUUUCAAAAUUCAGUAAUAUUCGCGACAUCACUCGUAAUAGCACGUUGAACCACCUAACAAUCAGUUACAAUAAUGACAUGUGGGUAGCCCAACUCCUCCGCUCACUCGGAAUAACGUGAAAUUAACGUGAAAUUAAACUAAUAUCGAUUGCUCAUGCUAUUAGACAAUGAGAAGAGAGGUCUUUCUUCUGAAUCUGUGUUCUUGUUCAUGAAUGGGCGUUGGUCGAGGAGGUUAAUAAAUAUGAAGAGUGUCGAUUAAAAAAAGUCUCAAAUUAAUCAUUAAUCCAUUUAUUGACCUAAUUAUUUCAGGUUGACAUUAACCUACCGAAGGUAAUCGGUUAAUCGAUUUUAAUCAUUAACUAUAAACGAAUUGUCAGCCUUACUCACAGCUAAAAAAUCUCGAAUUGUUGGAAGCCGUAUGUUUCAAACUUUAUCAAUACAAAGUACGUGACCGAUUAGACCUUAAGCUACUUAUGAAAAACGAACAUGUAUAGUUCUCGUAUAAACACUAUGGUGAUACCAUUACCAUGCAUGGAACUUGCAUCCCAAUAGAUCGAAUUAGCAAAUAUCUACGUGCACCCUGACUUUCAAAUUUCAUCCUUUCCGACUUCGUUUAUAUAUGUAUGUGUCGUGAGUAAAUCUUAUGGUUUUGUACAUUCGAAAUGGUGGAGGUUGAUCGUAUUGUGAUCAAAAUAGCACCAGCUGAUACUCGAUGUCCGGCGACCUUGGCGUUUCCAGGCGAUGUCCGGCAACUCCGGAUGAAAAUAAAAAAUAAAGGAUGAAAACGCAGAAACUCCUCGAAACGAAAAGAAACGUGUCGGGUUUGAGGAAUGAAACGCGAAACGCCACGGCGGACUGCUCGGUUAAAUUGGAAAUCCAGGGAAUGACAAAAAACUCCCGAAACGCAAAACGUUUUGUGUUCUCCAAACCAAAUUCGAAACGCGAAAAAUUGGCGAGGAAAAGAAAUUGGUGAUACGUAUCGUAUGGUGGUAUAUCGCGUUAAUUACGUGGUAUUUUGACUCUUUCUGCGAUAUGUUGACCGAGUCUGAACCUGUUAUUUUAAAUGGGGCGUCUUUGGCCAUCCAGGCCUAGCCCAGUGGAGUGGCUGAAUUGGCCCAAAUUGAAUAGCCUUUGCUGUGGGAUUUCUGACCCAUUUCUUGCGGGUCAAUUGCUUAUUCUAAUAUUCCUAAUACUUUGUUGAUCAAUUUUAGUGCCUAAUAUUAUAUUGGUUUAGUUUUUAAUCAAGCUUUAUUAUUAUUAUUAAUUACUUUAAUUUCCAUUGACACUCUUUCUAUUUCAUCUAAGGUCAAUGAUGUCAUUACAAAAAUAAAUGAAUAAAUAAACAUAACAUCGGUGUCCUUAAACGGGAUGCGCUAAAUUCAAACCUGAUGCCUCCAAAUCGUCAACCGACAAUGUAACCUAUGAAGUGAAACCUAUCCUAAUGCUUCAUAGACUUCUCAGGCAGAAUUUUUAGUCUUGAUCUGGCAAUGGUAUUGAUGCACAGCACCGGUAGUACCCAUUAGCAUCGUAUGCGAACCAUUGCGAGAGAUGAGCUUCACGGAUGAGAUACUCGCCCAGUCCUCUUCUCCGAAGAGCUUCACGGCGCCUCGUGCAUCGAACGAGUUCAUGUUUCUCCUUUGCUUCCUGCAAUGAUUUCGACAUCCUACACAAAUGUUAAUUCACACCAGAUAGUACAAAGACUGUAUGAAAAUGGAAUCCCUACAGUAUCAUUUACCCUUUCCUAUGCCUCGCAUUCAUCAGUGUGGCAUGCAGCUGCAGAGAAUGACAAUUUAUUUUCCUCGUUAACGAUUUUCAGAUUGAAAUGCAUAAAUCCAAUGUAUGCUAUAUGUACUCUCACGCACCUUUAACUGUUCGUUAGCAUCUUUCUCCAGAACAAGUCCACCCUCAGUAAACACCUCACGGAUGAUUUCUACCAUAGCUAAGGAAGCUGCAUAACAUAUCUACACAUAUGGUGAACGCAUAAGGCAACUCAAAAUCGAAACUUUGGAUACGACAUGCAUGUAAGAGUCGGCCUUCAGCGCCACUUUCUUCUACCGCGGCGUAAAGUACACGUGCUUUCGCCAAAGAGCCCCUCAUACACUCCUACACCGGCACGAAACGCUUCAGUAACACAGACUGUUGGAAUAUUAUUCGGAGGAGUAUGAGAAAGUUAAACGAAGAUUCACUCAAUAACCCCUUAAGUCUGACAAAGACCGGUCGAUUAUCCAAGGCUUCCAGUACUUUUGGAGCGAUGUUCUGUUGUACAAAUAUAAACAUAGGGCACGUUAGUUGUGUCCAUAGAACCGUAUCGAUAGAAAGCACCUUCAGAAUCUCUGAAGCAGCAUUCACCCUCUCUUUGUUCCAGAGCUUCAGCAUUAGUACAGUUAAAUGAAACGUUUGGGGAUUGAUGAAUAUGAUCUUUCUAUUCCUGGAUCAGUCAAACCACGCAAGAUAUCAGAGAAACUACGAUAAACGUCUUAGAGAUAUGUCCAUGUUAUAUGCAUAACAAGUUGAUGAGCUCCAGAAACCCUACCAGAUGAAGAACCAGAGUUUGAUGCUUUGGCCUGCGAUGCUUUGGGUGCACAGCUGACAAGAGGUAUAUUACUCCGAUCCACUCUGACAUGGUUUCCUUCCUCGACUUUUUUGUUUGUUUCUCGAUCUUUGACAUCAUUGUCAGAGGAAUCUUCACUAGAAUCAUUUUCGUUGCGGAUUCUAUCAUCAUUCCCCAGGAAACUGACUAGCUUGUCAACCAAUUCAGGGUGUACAGCCAGAGGUAGAGAAACAAAAUGAGAGUAGUCAAGAUUACGGCUUCUGACCGCCUGGUUUUUCCAUGGAACAAGAGGAAUAAUUGACACUCGAAUCAAUUGCCGGAUGUAUCGAAGGGGCAAGAAGGAGCGAAUGGUAGAAAACUCUGAUGAACAUUAAUCGAAAUGUACAGUAAUUCAUUAAGAUUUGGUAGGCAGCUAACCUCAUCAAGAACCGUCUGAACUUUUUCUGCCGCUCUAGUUACACAAGCAACUGAAGGGCCUUCAAUAACUGCAACAAAAUAUCCACAUAGAAGUAAAGAGUACUUAAGAACAUUUGUACUAAGGUAACUCAAAAUGUUUUAAACAACUUACUGACAGGUUCCUCCUCCUUUGACCUAGGAGGAACGAUAAUCUUAAUACCUAUCCCCGCUUCGAUCUUUUCCUUCGUAGAUCCUCUGGGAAUGAGACCAUCAUAAACACCAUAAAGGAAACUGGCAUUAUAAGUAUUUUAAGAUAAUUUUAGAUGCUCGAUUUCCUUACCCUUUUCCUACGAUAAAUCAGAUUAGCGAGGCACCUACCUACAUAUUAACAAGCGAAAAUAAAUCAAGGGGAAAAAGUCUCCACAGGUAUGACAGAACUAGCUUCACCUCAAUUGAAACGGAAUGGUUUCCAGCAGACGAUGCUUCAGAUGAGCCAGCCAUUGUUUCCGCAGCUUUGGCACUGGUUACAUUCGGUUGGUUACUCGAAAUAGAGCUAGAAGUGCUGCACUUCAGUUCCUGUCUGCGACCUUCAUCUUUUCCGUGAAGAUUCACAUCUUAUACCAAGGACUCUGCAGAUUCAAAAUUUGCAGUCCAACCCAGUAAACUGAAACUGCUUUCUUUCUCUUAUCUUACUCCAAAAUCACACCAACAUGCACCGAAAGAACAUCUAGUUCACAAAGAUCAAACUAUCUACAGGAAAUUCAAAUCAAUCUCUGACAAUAGAAACAAAUCUUCACUAUGAGUAGAGACUCGUCUCCACACAGGCAUGUUAGCCUUCGCCCUUUUGUUUCUUUCCGGAGCAGCUAAUUUAUCCUUCCCACCAGCCAUUCCACCAUUAAAGCUCCCGCAGCAGUAACAAAACCUCGGACCCUAUUAUACAUCCACAAAUGAAAUCAAGUCAAAUACAAAGCUACCCCCUUUAUUGUUCGGAAUAGCAAGGAGAGUGAAGAAGAUCAUUCAGGUGAACCUGAAAGUGAAUGAUCGGCUUCGACUUGACGUAUGAAUUCAAGAACUUGAAGACACCGUAGACUCUGUGAAUAAAAAUGAAAGCAAUCCGAUCAAAGAUAGAAUCGCCACAGACAAUUUUUCCAGCAACAAGAACCCUAAUUUGCUGUCUGAAGUGAAGGAAAACAGAGGUUUUGUCCAGUAGGUUGUUACUGGGUUGUAAAAUUUGUUUGCUUUACCUCAGAUGAGAGCUUGAAAUGACCAUGCUCCUCUUCUAGUUGCUUCCACGGUUUUGUCCAUGGUUUUACUUGUUAGAAUACAUAUUGUAGGAGACACAUGGUGCCAAAAAUGCUUCAAGAAAAAUGAGCUAAAUCCAUUUAAAAAUCAAAUAAUUUUGUAAUUAUUUAUCACUGAAUUGAAAUUAUAAAAAUAAAAAUACUUACUAACAUCGAUAAUAAGCAACUCUUUGUGUCUUUCCCAUACUUCUCAUCCAAAUAAUAAUAUCAACAUAACAAAUAUAAAUAAAACUAGAAAUCUACCCAAACAAUAAAAUCAAUCUCCAUAAUUUAAAAAAUAUUAACAUUUUUAAUCACAUAAUAAACGAUAUAGUCGAGAACACACCAUCAAAGAAUCUAGAUGCUAUCCACUUUUCGAACCAAACGUUAAUAUUUUUUCGUUCUUGAUUUGUGCAUCGCAAACUUUCAAUAACUUCAAAAUAUAAAAAACUUAAAUCCCUGUCAAUGAUAAAUAAAUAGUAGAGUUUAUUUGGCUAACAGAUCUAAAAUGUUUUUAAAAAGAUUUUUUAAAAAAAACUCGAACGAAAAUAAAGCUUUCAUUUCACUAUGAAGCAUCUACUCAGUCCCAAAGCUCCUCCACCUCCUCAACAUUCUUCCUCUUCCCCCGCCGUGGCCGCCGUCGCCGGCAAUACAAUGCUCGAACGAGUCGUGUCUUUCCGCCGCUACGCUCCCCACUCCGACGACGCUCCUCCGUCGUCUUCCUCCUCUGACGAGUCCAAGACCAAACCCCCCAAUCUCUCAUCCUUGGCCUCCAACUACAUCUCCAGGAUGUCUCACUCUUCUUUCCACUGCGUCAUCUUCGGCCUCCUCCUCUUCGUCCUCGCCUUGAUCGCUUCCAUCAUGUACCAUUCCCGCACCCUCGUCUGCGUCUCCCGCUUCGAUCCCAAGUCCCGCGCUGGAUUCUUCGGCAUCGACGGCCUCGAGUCCGACUUCGGAGCUCUCGGUGUUCCCUGGUGUAAGUCUCUUUUGUUCUUCUCCUUUGGUUCAGAUCUAAAUGAUUUUUUAGGCUUCGGAAGUUGGAUCUCGGUGUUCGAUUUUUAUUGCCUGAUCUGAUUGCUAUGAUCUGUGUUUUACCGAUUUGCUGAGAACAAAUGAAGUAUCUAGGUUAGUAAUUUCAGCUAGCUAUUGAUGAAUUGGAAUCAGCUAGCUAGGUUGAUAGAUUUCAGACCUUGAUAUGAAGCUUUUUUUAUCAAUCUUCUUUGGAUUGGAUACUAGGGUUGAUGCAUUGUUUGUGUAUCUGCUUCUUUCCAUAGCUUAAUGUCGAAACCUUCGUUCUUACUGUCAAACUCCCAUUUAAUUGUUCUCCUUGGCAAAAGGCAGAUCGAAACAAGGCAAGACAGUUGAGUGGACAUCCAAAGAUUUGACCAAGGCCCUCGAAGAGUUUGUACCGAUUUACGAAACUCGUCCGAUUAAGAACAACAUGUACGGAAUGGGGUUUGAUCAUAGCUUUGGCCUUUGGUUCAUGGCACGAUGGCUGAAGCCGGAUCUGAUGAUUGAGAGUGGUGCUUUCAAGGGUCAUUCAACUUGGGUUCUGCGUCAAGCAAUGCCAGAUACGCGAAUUCUUUCGCUUUCUCCACGACACCCUGAGAAGUACUUAAAGAAGGGCCCUGCUUAUGUCGAUGGGAACUGCACCUACUUUGCUGGGAAAGAUUUCGUCGAUUUUGGAAGUGUUGAUUGGAAGAGCGUGAUGAAGAAAUAUGGCAUAACUGACCUUACAAGGGUCCUUGUCUUUUUUGACGACCAUCAGAAUGAACUAAAAAGGUACACUAGAUGACGGCUUUCAACAUCUUAUUCAAUACUUUUGCUUUGCUGAUUCUUCUGAAUUGCCUUCAUUUUGGCAGGAUAAAGCAGGCGCUGGAUGCCGGCUUUCAUCAUCUUAUAUUUGAAGACAAUUACGAUACCGGGACUGGUGAUCAUUACUCAUUGAGGCAGAUUUGUGAUCAGUCCUAUAUAAGAGGUAUGGAUUCCCACCCUUGGACCCCAAAUUAGAGAUGAGGUAUGUUGUUUCAGUCAUAUUGCUUUACAUUGUUCUCAGAAAAGAACCGAAAUGAUCAACGACAGAGUAACUAUCCGGCUCUAACCCGAGCCAAGAUUCUUCAUUCUUAGAAGUUAGAUCACAUGGACAUUGAUUCGAUUUCAGCUUUCUCAACGGUAAAUGUCGAUUAGACGAUAACUCAUAUCGGUUCUUGUUUCUCCACUUUGAUAUAGGUGGUGGGCACAGUUGCUUCAGGGACAGCGACGAAGCGCGGAUAAGGUCGAAAAGGAAGAAGUUCUGGGAAAAGGCGGUAGACAUGGACGAGCUCUGCGGACAGAAUGAAGCAUGGUGGGGCGUUCGAGGAUUUAUGCGUGACAACUUCAACCACAGUAACAAGAUGAUAUCAUACGAAGAACACUUCCAGAACAGCCGGUAUAUCGAGUCAGUGCUGGAUGUUUACUGGGAGCUCCCGCCCGUGGCAGGUCCUUCCCUCACGCAUCAGUCUCGGUACGACCCUGCUCGUGUCUCCAGUCCCAUCGUCGAAGAUGGCCGGUACGGGUUGUUCCAGCGGUUGGGGUUAGGUAGGCUCGAAAACUCUGUAUUUAACGGGUAUACCCAGAUGGUAUACCUGCAAGUCUCUCAACAAUCUUAGCAUUGUGUCUUUUUUUGAACGUUAGUUGUUGCUUGCUCUGAACUGAAGUUUGUGAUGAUAGUAUAUAAGUGGUCUUUUUUGUCCCACUUUUCGGUUAUGAACCACUCUGGUUUGCAUUGGUUGGUUCAGUCUGAGUUGAUUUGAACCUCCUUUUUGUGAUCGACUUGAUUGGAGUGUAAUGAUGUGGUAGUCUAUGUAUUCAGACGCUGUUGAUUUAGGGCUGCUAUUGAACCGAGCAAAACUCUGGUUCGAGACUCGAGUUGAUGUUAAAUACCCUAAAUCUAGAAUCCUAUAUGAAUUGGGGAUUGUUUGCUGAAACACGAGUUUUAACAAUGUGUCGACAUUGGUCGUAGGAAGUAAUCAAUGUGUCUCGUCACAGAAUUUGGAGUCUUCCAUUUAUACGGAACGAAAUGACGAGUCUUUACAAAACGAAGUAGGAAAUACUUCAGAGCAUCAAACGCAUCAGUUCUCCCUUAAACCGGCCCGGGAGACUGCUGACCUUCGAUAGCCUGACCGAUCAUCUCCAGGCCGAUGGCAAACUGGUGCCUGAUGUUCCGGCAGGGAAAUCCCUUUCCAAUCCGUAUACCAUUUACGAACUUCCUGCAGGUUCGGGUUGGUACCAAGACAGUGAUACAAAACCUGUAGCCACUUGACAAAAAAGAACCUUUCCCUCAAGUCGACCAUAAUAUGAAUUGGAAGAGCCGAAGCUCACGACACGAUCCAAUCUAACCGAUCAAGGCUUUGACUUUCCGGAUUUAUCUCGAACCUUUCAAGAGCAACCUCCAAUUUCGGAAAUAUGUAUCUCCGCAUCAGAUUCUCCCAACUUACAGCAUUGAAAUCAGUUUUCCAUGAUGACAAGAUAGAGUAGACUGAUGCAUCAGACGGGUGCCAGGCAUCGAGAAUCAUACUCAGCUUCAUCCGGAUUGUGUCGAAUAAUCCCUCCAGCUUUGGCUCCAGCUUUUCGUGUGCCUGAAGUUCCGGCGGGAAAAUCCCCUUCCAACCCGUAUACCAUUUACGAACUUCCUGCAGGUUCGGGUUGGUACCAAGACAGUGAUACAAAACCUGUAGCCACUUGACAAAAAAGAACCUUUCCAUCAAGUCGACCAUAAUAUGAAUUGGAAGAGCCGAAGCCCACGACACGACCCAAUCGAACCGAUCUAGGCUUUGACUUUCCGGGUUUAUCUCGAACCCUUCAAGAGCAACCUCCAGUUUCGGAACAAUGUAUCUCCGCAUCAGAUUCUCCCAACUUACAGCAUCGAAAUCAGUUUUCCAUGAUGACAAGAUAGCGUAGACUGAUGCAUCAGACAGGUGCCAGGCAUCGAGAAUCAUACUCAGCUUCAUCCGGAUUGUUUCGUAUAAUCCCUCCAGCUUUGGCCCCAGUAGAGGUAGCCAUGGAUGCACCCAAACACUGGGUACAGUCUCUCGGCGAGGAUCCCACGAGUCCACACCAGUUGACAACUUUGGCAGGACUAUUUGAUCCAAUAUGGUGUGAAAAACUGGAAGUGGCAACAGGUUCGCCCAUGUCUCGAGAAAUGUAAGCAUCGUCUCAGGUUCCCUUGGCUCCCAAGUAUUCAUACCCGGCAAGACUACUUCCGAGACUAACUCUGCAUAAGGCGUAUCAUCAUUGCCUUGAAGUAGAGUUUUCCACGACUCGAUCAGUUUAUAUCCGUGCAUUGGAUCUCUCAAAGGAUCCCAUCCUUGAAACACUCUGAUAAACAAAGGCAAACCAAACAAGCACGCAAUGGAAGGCAAGUUGGCCAUCUUAUACUCGUCUGCAAAUUUCAACCUCAGCUCGGUAAAGCAUGAACCAAGACUAUCCAAGGUCAGAGAUCCUAACAAAUUCUGAAAUUCGAUACAGGUUAAGACGCUCAUGAUCUCCUUCAUGUUAUCCAGUUGCUGCUUUCCGAGUGAAGCAUCUUUCUCCAACUUCUCCUUCUCCAUCUUCAAUCCAAUUGUUGCAUCCCUUGCAUCCCUCAGUCUCGUCAAUUCACUGUCGAUUUUCUGAAGAUCAGCCUCUAACAAGUUCACAAUCAACCUGACAUUGUACAGAAUCCCCGGCAUCCGAAUAUCACCACCGUUCCUAAUUGCCUCUUCUUCUGCAUUCAGAUUCCUUAGACUAGUCAACACUCUAACAUGAGGACCCCUUAUAUCAAUCACUUUCUGAGUAAUCCCAAAACCUUGUUCUUACUUCUGAUCCAAGAGCUUCUUGGCAGUAACAUUAACAUAGCGCUUUGCUUUCUUUUUCUUCCCCUUGAUCCACUUCUUCUCUUUACAGUCGUUGAUCCUAGCCCGAUUUUCUUCGGCAUCAUCUUCACUUCGAUUGGAACAACAAUACCUUGCUCGUUCUUCUCCAAUCCCCCUCCCGCCGUGUACCCCAUCCCGUAGACCAACUUGGACCCAAUCGCGUUCGUAUACUUCUCGAAUUUAGGACCAUCGCCAAGUCCAGCAUCCUUCGUCUUCCUUCCUUUCUCAGAACUAAACCCUCAUCCAGAGCCAGCCCCCAAAUAUGCCCUACCGCUACUACCAUCAACAACAACAUCGUUAUUAUUAUUAUUAUUGUAUUCUCUAGAGUUCUUAACCAAUUCGUCGUUAGGAAUGACAGUACCUGUGGAGACGAAGUUGACAGGCUUGGUGAGAUCGCGAUCGCGGUUUUUAAAUUUCCUCCGCUUCAUCCGCCGCCGCCGCGCGCCUUGGUAGUCGGAGGAUUUGGCCUGGAAUACGCCGUACUCCUGGUUCUCGUCCAUUGGUUUAAGAAAUAGACAAAAAAAACCAUAGAACAGAGUUGUGAGAAAGGAGACGGAGGAAGGUGUUGAAUUUUCAACGCCGGCGGCCGCGACGAGAUUCCUAGAACUGACGGGAUCAGACUAUUGCCAGCCAGGCAGGGCUAAAUACUAAAAUAAUUGACUCGAGUAAACCAGCAAAUCCUAAUCCUACUAGGACACUUUAUUUUUAUUUGUUUUCCCCGCUCGUAAAUGGUAAGCCCAAUUUAGAAGUUUGUCUAAUUUGAGUGGUAAUUGAAAAAUUGAAGUUUGUCUCGAGUAUGAAUCAGUCUUUUUAUUAAGAUAAAUUCGAACUCGUUAAAAAUUUUUAAAAAGUCUAAUUUGAACUCAAUUUGUAAUUUAUACGAUGACUCAUAAAUAAGGUAUUAUGCAAUUUACAAGCUUCGUUUCAUUUAAACAUAUUAAUGAACAAUAUAAUCAAGUUAGUAUUUAAGUUUGCUCUCCAGCCGAGUAGAGGAUAUUUUGGUUCAAAUUCGACUUAUUUAUAGUAAAAUCAAGUUAUAAUGAUAUUUUCUUAAGUCGAACGUCGAGCAGCUCACAAACAAAUCAUCAAAAAUAAUAUUAAAGCAAUAGAAAAAUGUUACUGUUGUCGUAGUCUUUCUCAUCUAUAUUUUACUGUUGGGCUGACUCUAAUAGACGGUCGAAUGUUUUUUAACUUCAUUUGACCAUUAUUUGAAAGGCUUAAUAUGGUGAAACUUCAAUUUGUAGUCAUUUUCUUAAAUAUUAGCCAACUUAAAAAUUUUCAAUUUCAUGUUAAAUUUUGUCAAUUUUCGUGUGUUAUACUAUGUAAAUUUCAUCAUUCUCAUAAGAAAAUUUCAAAAGUUUUAAAUCGGUUAAUAUUUAACAUAUAUGUUAAAAAUGGCUAAAAAUUAAGUUUCGCUUCGAUAAUUUUUAAAAAUAAUGAUCAAAUAAAUUUAAAAAUUAAUUUUACUUAAUAAUAUAAUAAUGUUAAAAAUUCUCUAAUUGAAUUACGUUCUUUAGGUUGAUUCGUUUCUAAUUGAUAACUUCCACCAAAUUGGCUUACAGCUUGCCCAACAACAAAGUCGAUGUGUCCGAGUGAUUAAGGCGACAGACUCGAAAUCUGCUGGGCUCUCUGCGUUCGAAUCUUGCUGACGACGCUUUUAAUUUUAUUAUUCCUUUUCCUAAUCAGAAGGUCAAACUCGUCAUUCCUACAAUAUCAUCUCGUUGAUUGAGCUCUGGUUUAUGGCUGAAACGAUCCAACCGACUGAUGAGAGUUCUGCCGUCACAAACGUCACCAAUGGUCCAAAACAAAGAUCAAUGACUGAUUGCUGAGCUCCCUCCCUUUCCUUUUCACACUCUCCAAGUAAAAUUCAUCAACAAAAUCCCACCGGAAUCUUAUCCUAUCAACCACUGAAUCUUUUUUGCUUCCUUCCCAGAAAUGGUCAGUAGUUCCACGCCACCGCCUGACGAAUGGCGACGCGCGCACCAACGGUUGCUUCCUCAAUCGGAGUCCCUCGCUUCUUCUGUGGGACAGCCUCAGUUGCCGAUCUCGAUUUCUAGGGUUAACCAAUUCGACGCCGGGAGGCUGGAUGUUGAAAUGUCGGCUAUGUUGAAGGAACAGCUGGUUAAGGUCUUCUCACUAAUGAAGGUACGAUUAGGAUUUGUGGGGGAUUCGAAUCUUCGGUUCUUUGUUGAAUUGAUCAUUGUGUGUGGAAGAAUCUGUGUAAAGUUGUUUGCUUUUCGUAUUUUGGUUGGGAUUAGCCAGGGAUGUUGUUUCAAUAUGAGCCGGAACUUGAUGCAUUCCUCGAGUUUCUGAUUUGGAGAUUCUCUAUUUGGGUAGAUAAGCCUACUCCUGGGAAUGCUCUUAUGAAUCUGAGGUAUCGAGAUGAAGGUGCUCGCCAACUUAGAGGCAAAUGUAAGAAGCUUGCUCCUUCUCUUGCUUUUAUCCAACAUUUCCGAAGUUUAAUCAUAACUGGUCAUGUAGCUUUUCAUGUUGUAGUGAGUAAGUCUUGUGUGCUUUCUUUUUAAUGGUGGAAGCUACAAUCUCAGAUGCAUACCUUAAGAAAUCGUCUAGGUCCAUGGAUAGAUAGAGUUGAUGAUUACGAAGGAGAAUUGAGAAUGAUCCUGUCUUGUCCAAAGUAAAUUCACAAUGGUUUCAUAAGCAAGUAUACUCAAGUAAUAGGAGCUGAGAAGAGGAGAGAUGGACUAACAUGGAUAUUGGAGUAUAGAACAAAAUGUCGAAAACUACUGUUAGCAUAUUAUGUACAGGCAUAAAGCGUAAUCAUUGCAAUUUCCAUGGCUAGGUGUUCUUUUUGGAGUCACCCUUGCUUGAUGUCAUGUGACCAAUAUCUCUAUACACUUGCCUGAAGGAGUUGUACUCUUUAUUUUUGGUUUUCUCCUUACAAAGCAUCAUUUUUUAAUCGUAGGUUGAUUUGAUGCUUUCAACUUUAGGGUUUCGUGCAAUAUCUAACAACACAUUUAGUCUUUGUUUUUGGUUGGAUGAUUGUAGUUUAGGAAGCAAGAUAUUUAUGCUCUUGACUUGUUGCUUCAAAAUUGCUAUACACUAGGCCAGUAACAUUGAAAAGGUUGUAACUUUUCCUUGGUGUUGGUUUACACUGGAUAGUGAGAACAGGCUUGGAAGGACCUGGACUUACGACUUGUCAGAAACUGUGGUAUUGCAUUGCUACUGUAGGUGGUCAGUACUUCUGGGCACGCUUACAAUCGUUCUCUGCAUUUCGUAGAUGGGGCGACUCUCAACAGGUAAAUCCAGUGACUUCUGAUGUUAUCCCUCUUUGGAUGCCAAAACUUUCCCAUUCUUUGAUUUGGAGAAUUGGAAGCUGAGUAUUGAUUCUGUUUUGAUGUUUGUUCAGCGACCAUUGGCACGUAGAGCUUGGGUUUUAAUACAACACAUUGAAGGACUUUAUAAAGCAGCUUCUUUCGCAAACCUAGCCUUAUUUCUUUACACUGGAAGGUGCACUUUCUUCAUCGUGCUUCUGAAUCUGAAAGUCCAUUGGUUAAUGUUUGUCACACUGGCAAUGACUUAUGCUUCAUCUAUGUUUCUAAUUGGUUCAUUAUCAGUACCACGAGCUAUUGAAUUAAAGAAGGUAUUAAUGUUGUUCCUGAUCAUAAUUCAUAACAGACAUUUGAAAGAGUAUGUUGCUUCUAUAUAUUGUUGAGUAUAGAACCGUUUCAAGUCCUUAAAAGGCAGCAAAUUUGCACGGUUUUAUGUGCAAAGUCCUUCACUUAUGGCUCCAAAAUCUUGCUUUUGCAUGUAUAUACCACCCUUUUGUCUUGUCUACUUAGUUUUAAGAGGUGUAUUGAAUGUUUGAUUCGGAGCACAUGGAACGACCUAUUGAAUGAUAGAGACCAACGUUUGUUGUUAUGUAGGUUCAGAAAUCUUGUCGAAAGAAUUUUAAAAGCCAGGCUUGUGUAUGGAAACCCCAAUAUGAAUAGAGCUGUUAGCUUCGAGUACAUGAAUCGCCAACUAGUCUGGAACGAAUUUUCAGUGAGUUCAAACUUCUUCGCUUAAUUAUGGCUUCGUGUUUUGAUGACAAGAGGCAUUCGAGUACACCUUAAACAAUCUCGAAUGCGUUUUCUGCUUGUGGUAUCUGCUACUUACAUUGUUCAACUCAUGCCGCAGGAGAUGCUAUUGUUACUCCUUCCUCUUCUCAACUCAUCAUCCUUCAAAAGCCUAUUUAGCCCAUUCUCAAAGAACAAGUCUUCAAGUUCCACGGAAGACGAUGGUUCUUGCCCGAUAUGCCAGGCGACUCCAUCGAUCCCGUUUCUUGCUCACCCCUGUCAGCAUAGGUAUGAAUGUCUUUUAUUUUUUCACGGUAGGAUACCGGGAUAUUUGCAAGGCUGACCUUGUCAUAAUUUCCUCUGCUUCAAAUGGUUGGCAGGUACUGCUACUACUGUCUAAGAACACGCUGCGCAGCUUCCCCAUCGUUCCGGUGUCCCAGAUGCAACGAGCCCGUGGCUGCAAUGCAGCAAGAUGGUUUGAUUAGCAACACUCGUAGCGAUCGAUAGAUAGUAAUAUACGUUAAUUAUUAGUGCAAGCGAAUAUCUUUUCUGUUUUCUACACACACACCUUUCACUGUAUAAACAAGAAAGGCAAGGCAGCUAGGGUUCUUAUUCUUUGUUCAUCUUUCUGUCAUCAUUUUUAACGAGUGAAAGUUCUUUCUGCUAUCAUUUCUAUAACAUCUCGAUGGAUAUGCAUCAAGCCACAUCAGAUUAUUAUCGAUAGACUUUCGACGGAAAUGAACGGAAUCACCAACUCGUUACCUAAUUGAUCGACUUUCGCCCGUUAAAUGAUUUUGUCGGUUAAUUGAAACAAAUCACCGGAAUCACUAACUCGUCUCCUAAUUACCGAAACAAACCAUAACUGAUCAAAUUUGGUUGGCUAAUUGAUAAUAGUCCGACAUCGAAACAAAUCACCGGAAUCACUAACUCGUCUCCUAAUUACCGAAACAAACCAUAACUGAUCAAAUUUGGUUGGUUAAUUGAUGAUAUUUAACCGAUCAUAUGAUAUGGGUCGAUUCAAACUUAAUCGAAUUUUCACUACACUCCUAGAUAACCAACUGAAUGACCGAUUACUAAUCGGCUAUUAACCGUACGGAUCAACUCCACCCCUAACCCAAAGCAGAGCCACGGAUUCCGCUAGCACCACAGUUUGCCGCCAACUUGAGGCCGAAAAUGGCGGGGAAAUGGAAGCAAACAGCUCUCUUAGUCAUCGACAUGCAGGUUCUUUCUUCUUUGAUAUUGCAUUUCUAUUAGCAAAUCGAAAAUCUUUCCUUAUCAGGAUCGCUCCCAACAAAAUUCAUAUCAAUCUGUUUUGUGUAGAAUGAUUUCAUCUUGGAUGGUUCGCCGGUGACAGUCGCCGGAGGGAAAGCUAUUGUACCAAACGUGAUCAAAGCCGUUGAAAUCGCUCGGCAGCGUGGAAUCCUCGUUGUUUGGGUAAAACAAAAAACCCCAAAUUUUCCCCUUUUGUUGAGACCUAGUUUACCGAUCAUCAUAUCUUCGUCUUUUCUGGUUUCGGUUUGUUUCAUUGAGAAAUUGCUGUCUUGGAUUAUAUAUACUGGAAUUCAUUACCAGCUUUGCAUACUGUAAUCAGUAACUAGCCUGAACGCCUAGUUUCGACUUGCCGUUACUCUAAAAUUGUUCAUGAUUUGUGAUUACUUGGUUGGAUAUGGACGCAGGUGGUUCGAGAACACGAUCUCCAAGGUAGAGACGUGGAGGUUUUCCGUCGCCAUUUGUACUCGUCGGGAGGGAAUGCCGGCCCCACCACCAAAGGGAGUGUAGGUGCAGAGCUGGUUGAUGGGCUUGUGAUCAAAGAAGGAGACUACAAGGUUGUGAAGACGAGGUUUAGUGCAUUCUUCGCCACGCAUCUUCAUUCGUUUCUCAAGACCGAAGGGAUUGAGAAUCUGGUAGUUAUCGGUAUGUGAAUAGAUCGUUAGCUUCAGAUUUCCGCAACUAGACUAGCACACCAUUGUUAUUAUCUGUGCAAAUGUUUGAAAUUUGGCAGGAGUUCAGACUCCAAACUGUAUCAGGCAGACUGUGUUUGAUGCUGUAGCGCAGGAUUACCUGUCGGUUUCGGUCAUCUUGGAUGCUACUGCAGCUGCAACCCCUGAGGUGCAUCAAGGUAAGUAAUUUGUGAAUUUCGAUACCGAGAUCGAUCUUCAUUUGGUCUUUGCAUUGGAUUGAAAACUGAACCGUAUGUGUAUAUAUAACCAGCUAAUAUAUUCGACAUGAAGAAUGUCGGAGUUGCGACUCCGACAUUGCAGGAGUGGUCUGAUGCUUGAUCCGCCCCUGCCGAUAAGUUACAAAACAGCCGAGGUUCUAUACUCUUUUUGUUUCUUGUCUGUAUCUUUUGCUUUGAUGAGCCCCAUGUGUGUAUCUUACUGCUAUUCUGAAUCGAAUAAAGCAACACCAUGAUCCGACCCGAUCGGAACCAAUUCCUUUUAUGUUGGAGGUUUGUAGGAGGGAUCGGAAAUUUUACACUGCAAGCUCCAGCUCGUUAAUGGUUUAUUACAAAUUAACCACAAAGAUCAAAGCUUGCUUGAAGAGUGGACACCACAAAGAUCAAAGCUUGCUUGAAGAGUGGACACGUUUGUUCUGGGCAUACAUCCAUUGUUUACCCAAGGCGAUGAGCUCUCCAUUACGUGUCCUUGUAACCUCUAUCACCACUGACCCUAGCUUUCCCUUUUCUCUAACUACCUUUCCUUCCAACUCCACCUCCUCCUGCGCGACGGAAUCACGAUGGUCUGAUAUUCUUUACGAUAUUUCAAGUUUAAAACUAUUAACUCAUGCAAGACUGGAACUUUUGGAUUGAAAUGUUAGAUGUAAUGUAGGUUUGGUUUAGAGUUACCUACCAGAGCUUUGGCCGUGGAGAAGAAAGAGACGUUGAAAUCGACGGAGGCUUUCACAUGGCCGACGACGCUGUAAAUCGCAAAGAGGCUCACAACAUCAAUCAGAGUCGUCAUCGCUCCGACGUGCCAAUUCCCAUCUCCAUCCUACCCAUUUACAACAAUUAUCAAAACAGAGAGCUAGCUGAGUAAUUAAAAGGAAGAAACAGAGAGAGUCAUGACUUACGGUAAUGCGAUCGGAGACGACGAAGCGGCAGCGAAGGAAUCCUUUACGGGACUCGACGAUCCGGAUGCCUUUCAUGGAUAUGGAUUCCAGAGUUUUGUACAAGCCUUCCAAACGCUCUCCCAGCUCUCUGUUUGCUACCGCCACUGUGUCUUCUUCUUCCGCCAUUAUUGAGUUUCCCCCUUUUGCUCUGUUUUUUUUGUUCACUCUCUGUUUAUUUGGAUUUCUUCACAUAACAGCUUUUAACAAUCGGAAAAGUGAACUGGAAGCCAUACUUAAUCGAGCUCGACCUACUUUAUUUCAAACCGUACUAGCACGUGCUUAUUCAUCUAUGAUUACAUUCAUACGGUGCAAAAGUGGAAGCGAAAGAGAAUGACUAGUGUCGGAGACUCACAUGCCGCUAAAUAAGUUGGCUAGAUAAUAAACGAGUUAAGUUCGUGCUAGUGAUGGCUCUGUCUUUGUGACUUGCGAGCUAAGCUCAUUCACGAGCCAGCUGGUGUUGGAAAGAGACAUCUCAAAUCCUGAAAGCUCAAAGUAGUCAAACUCAAUAAAUUGUGAUCGGGAGUUUAGUCCACUGCGUUUGAAGCCAGAUUCCCUUUUAACUCUCGUGCUUUAUAACUAAAGGUAUAAUCACGAUAUCCUUACUAUUCCUUGCCACUCAUAAUUGUAGGUUGGAACUCAAACAAUCUCAACUCACAAACGGAAUAAUUUUAGAUCCAAGAAUGCAUUCCACGAAAGAGCAUCAUGAGCUACCCAUCUUUUAACAUUCACCAAACAAUACAUACAUGUGCAUAUACACGAAUAAAGAUGUAACAACUACAAACCUCGCCAGUAACACCCCGAUCACACUUUCGCUACUUGCAGAGUGCGGCCAAGACUCGACGAGGAGGCACGAAGAGCUUUCGAGCAUGUUGAACGGCCAAGUUAUUCAACAACAGAACGUCGCCUUUCUCCCAAGGAAUAGCAACGCUUUCCUCGUCCAUGAUCUUCUCACACCCGUAAACUGCGUGGUCGGGCAGAGGCUCCCCGUUGCCAAACGUGACCACCUUUGUCGGGUCGUUUAGUUCAUUGCCAAACGCCGUAUAGUUCGUGACCAAAUUGUUCCACCAAAUCUUGCGAUCCGGCAUCGUCUCGUCUUGUUUGAAUGCCGGGAUCGGACCGAUUGAUUUUACGGCUAGUGAAUGUUCGGUUCCGUCGAUCCACUCCAGCUUCAUUCCUAGCUUUUUGGCUCUGCGUUUUGACCCCAAACGUGUCGUUUUAUCAGAGGUAAAAAAGGCGUCAAUAAGAGACCGCUAUCUAAUGUAUGACCUACAAAAAUUAACCAUGUCGUGACAUCGAACUAAUUUAAAGUAACCAUUACAUUAUAAUGAUCAUUCACCUUAAAACUAUUUAUCAAUCGAAUUGAGUCGAAUUUUAUUAUUCUUAAAUUUGACUCAUUAUCAAAGUUGAGCUAGGAAAUCUUUGCUCGAGCUUAUUUGAAGGUGUUUCGUUAGUUAUCUUUGACAAAUCAACCACGAGAUCAAUUUGAACUUCGCAAAUUAAAUCUUUAUAUGAAUAGUCCAAUUUGAGAUCUAUUUGAAGUUUGUACAUUAAAAAACAUCGGAGAGUCUAAAAUUUACAAGUGUUUACUUUUCUCAAUUAAAAUAGUUAAUUCUAGUCAAUAGACGGUGUAUAUACCACUUGUAUUUUUAUUACUACAAUCACAAGUCACAUAUGAUUUAUUGUAUGUAUUAUUCGAGGCAAAAUACAAGUUGCAUUAUUAAGUCCACGAGGCAUAUACUCGAGCUAAUAUUCGAGUAGACUCUUGAGCUCGAGCUAGCUCGCAAGUCUAUUGAGUCGAACAUAUACUUGACUCAAACUUGGUUUAUCUAGAAUCAAAUUGAGUCACAAACCAAUUUUUUUGGAGCCUAUNNNNNNNNNNNNNNNNNNNNNNNNNNNNNNNNNNNNNNNNNNNNNNNNNNNNNNNNNNNNNNNNNNNNNNNNNNNNNNNNNNNNNNNNNNNNNNNNNNNNNNNNNNNNNNNNNNNNNNNNNNNNNNNNNNNNNNNNNNNNNNNNNNNNNNNNNNNNNNNNNNNNNNNNNNNNNNNNNNNNNNNNNNNNNNNNNNNNNNNNNNNNNNNNNNNNNNNNNNNNNNNNNNNNNNNNNNNNNNNNNNNNNNNNNNNNNNNNNNNNNNNNNNNNNNNNNNNNNNNNNNNNNNNNNNNNNNNNNNNNNNNNNNNNNNNNNNNNNNNNNNNNNNNNNNNNNNNNNNNNNNNNNNNNNNNNNNNNNNNNNNNNNNNNNNNNNNNNNNNNNNNNNNNNNNNNNNNNNNNNNNNNNNNNNNNNNNNNNNNNNNNNNNNNNNNNNNNNNNNNNNNNNNNNNNNNNNNNNNNNNNNNNNNNNNNNNNNNNNNNNNNNNNNNNNNNNNNNNNNNNNNNNNNNNNNNNNNNNNNNNNNNNNNNNNNNNNNNNNNNNNNNNNNNNNNNNNNNNNNNNNNNNNNNNNNNNNNNNNNNNNNNNNNNNNNNNNNNNNNNNNNNNNNNNNNNNNNNNNNNNNNNNNNNNNNNNNNNNNNNNNNNNNNNNNNNNNNNNNNNNNNNNNNNNNNNNNNNNNNNNNNNNNNNNNNNNNNNNNNNNNNNNNNNNNNNNNNNNNNNNNNNNNNNNNNNNNNNNNNNNNNNNNNNNNNNNNNNNNNNNNNNNNNNNNNNNNNNNNNNNNNNNNNNNNNNNNNNNNNNNNNNNNNNNNNNNNNNNNNNNNNNNNNNNNNNNNNNNNNNNNNNNNNNNNNNNNNNNNNNNNNNNNNNNNNNNNNNNNNNNNNNNNNNNNNNNNNNNNNNNNNNNNNNNNNNNNNNNNNNNNNNNNNNNNNNNNNNNNNNNNNNNNNNNNNNNNNNNNNNNNNNNNNNNNNNNNNNNNNNNNNNNNNNNNNNNNNNNNNNNNNNNNNNNNNNNNNNNNNNNNNNNNNNNNNNNNNNNNNNNNNNNNNNNNNNNNNNNNNNUUAACUUUUUUUUGAAAUGCUAUAAUUGUUCUUAAUUUUGGAAAACAAACCAGAUAUUUAUGAAAUUAUUAGCUAUUUUAAUUACAAACUAUUUUAAAUCACAUUUUUCAAAUCUCAAAUUCAAACGACCUCUAAAUUUAUCAAUCUCGUUCUUAAUUUUUAGAGUUACAUGUGAUGUGUUCAGAAUUUAUUAUUUUGAUUUUAAAUUUUUAAAAUUAAUAUUUUUUAUGUUUAAUGUACCGUAUAUAUAUAUAUUGAAUUCUUGGCCAUAUAUUAGAUUAAAUUUAUGUAAAAUACAAAAGCAGGAAUGUGGUCGAACCUUUCCUGAGCAACGACUCUGUCAUUAGUAGAAAACGAAGAAUACGAAAACGUAGACUUCCAGCCACGGCCGACGGCGGAAGAUGGGUCGUCUUCUCCGGUAAUCACUCUUUUGAAAAUCAGCCCUUCCUUUUCCAGCUUCGUCACAAACUCCGGAUACUUCUUUUCCAUCCUCUCGUAGAUCAUAUAGCUCAACACGAUCGGCGUUUCGCCGCCGCUUCCAGGCUCCACUUCGCAGAAGAAGAACACCUUCCUCGGAAACUCCGACGCCUGAACCCCAAAAGACGAAAAACUCAGGCAGGUUAAAAGAUUGGUGUAAGCUGAACCGAUUAAACCUACCAAAAUAAUCGGUUUUAAUAAUUACUGAUCAACGUACAUAAGCCAUCUCGUGAUGGAAAGGGAUCUUCUUGUCGGGCGGGGACUCAUUGGAGGUGAAGACGCGGCCGACGACGUGGGUCCGGGUGGCGGGUCCGCCGACGUAAGGUUGGUCGGCGUAUCCGAACGCUUCCACCACCGCAUCGAACUGCGAAGCCGUGGAGAGAGGGAAUCCCCUGAAGAGGAUCGCCCCUGUUUUCUGAAGCAGAGAAUCCAGGUACUGCUUGUGAGAUUCAAUACCGGAAGCGAGAUCGGCGGAGGGAAACGCAGGCGCCAGGGCGACGGGGAACGGCGAGGGGAAGUUCCUGCCAUGGUGCACCUUUUGAUUCGGGACCUCGAUUUCCUUGAAGAAGCUGGCUGCCAUUUUUGCGAAGAAAUCUUUGAUCUGAUCUUUUGCUUCCUUGUUCCUCUGCUUUGUUGUUUUUUUGCCGGCUGUUACAAGGAAGUGGCACUCAAUGGUGAAAUAAAAUAGUCGGAGAUUUUAGGUAGAAUUUUAAUUUGAAAUUAUAUCGGAUAAAAACUUUAAUUUUAAAAAUUUUAUAUAGAAUUUCGUUAUUUUAAUAUUGGAACGAUGACCUAAGUUGGCCCAAUCGUAAUUCUUGGCUGUUGUUUGUUUUGGACUAUCCUCUGUGUGUUUCCUCAGAUGUUGUUUUGGACUAAUAGUUUAUUUAGUGAGUAUUAGCAACUGUGAUUGAAUUGAACCCCUCCAUGCUUCAUUCGGCUUGGGAUAAACUCAGUUUGGUGUGAAACUAACUCAUUUGUAAGUCGGCUUGAUAAUAAACAAGCCAUUACCCCGGCUCUACUCUUAUGUGGCUAACAAGCUAGCUAGCCCAUAUCGUUAGCUCAUUGAAAUACUUUGUUAAAUAACUCAUAAGUUGGCUCAAACAAAGCUAGCAAUCUAAUUCAAUUUUGCCUUGAUCAUAAAAUCACGAACAAGAUUGGGGUUUGUCUGGAAACACCGUAAGAAUAUCAUAACGAAUGAUUUUAUUUUAAUGAUUAGUUAGAAUUAUUUGUUUGUUGCAGCGGAAAGUUUUAAAAAAUAAGUGUAUAUAGAUUAAUUUUUUUCGUUUUAAAUAAUAAGUGGAGAUAGAUGAUUUUUUGUUUUUGUUUUAGAGACUAAGUGAAGAUAAAUAAUUUUUUAUUAUUAUGGAAAAAAUAUAACAAAUAAUUUUAUAAUUAGAAAAAUAAAAGGGUGUGACGAUUUAAUUAACGUAAAUUAAAAAAUAAAAAAUAUUGUAAAACUCAUAAAAAUUAAUACAUCAGUUCAAAAUAUAAAACUCUCAUAAACUCAAAAUAAUAUUUUAAUAAAAAGACCAAACACUAUUUAAUAUAUUUUAUGAUAAAACUACUAAUUUAGACUAUCGAAAUAUUCCAAAUCCAUCUUUAAAAUAUUGUGAAUCUAUCAUGAGUUUAUUCCAAUAAAACUCAAGAUUUAAAAGUAUACAUAUAUUAAUUACCAAUACCCACAUAUGGGUUUAUUACAAAUUAAUUACAAAAAUAAAAGCUUGCUUGACGAGAGAACACGUUUGCUAUGGGCACACAUCCAUUGUUUACCAGAGGCAAUAAGCUCUCCAUUACUUGCCCUUGUAACCUCUAUCACCACUGAUGCCAGCCUUCCUUUUUCUCCAACUACCUUUCCUUCUAACUCCACCUCUCCCUGUAGAAAUUUCGAUUUCAAAAAUUUUACAUAAUAUCUUUUCGACGAAAAGACCCUAGAUGGUAGUCUUUCCAUUGGAUCUUCUAAAGUCGAGUUGAAAGAUCAAGAAUUUAAUAAAAUAUUAUAUGUAAUUAGAAUUAUUCACGCAAUAUUAUGAAAUGAAUAAGUGAAAAUCUAAUUACUAAAUGAACUAAAAUGAGAAUUCUUCCUCUUCCACAAUCUAGCAAUCCUUCACUAUGGAACCUUAAAGAGUGUACACGUGUACGUACAUACGAAUAUAUAAACACUGUACACAACAUGAGUAUAAAGACACAUACACGAGUAUAUAGCUAGUAUGUACCAUAAGAAAAAUGAGUACAACACGACGCUAGUAAAAGAAAUAAUCCCUGGCGGCGGUGGUUGAAAAGUUCGAAAACUGUGAAAUCGGUGUGGAAGAUGUAACGUAACUGGCGGAAACGAAGGGUCUCGUAAACAGGCCUAAGCGGGUCUAAUGGUGUGGAAUGAUAGUAGGCUUUGGCUCAAGCCAUGACCACAUCCUAUAUGAGUUAUAGGACGUAUGCUGCAUGGACUUCAUCUUGCGCGAAGAAAUAUAGUUCGAGAUCAAAAGAGUGUGAAGUCCACAUGUUGUGGUCUGGCCGUGACAGUGGUCUUGCAGCAGAACCGUCUGGUGGUGUCAGUGGCUUAGGUGGCCCUCAUGGCGGCCUCGAGAAUGGUAGCUUCAGCAUUUCUCAUAGCUUUCCUGUUCGAGUCCAUUCUUCGUGUAGCGUCUCUGGUAGUGGCUCUGAUAUAUCUCCUUCUUCAGCCUCUACUUGAAGUUUUGAAAAGGAAAUGCAGACUCAUAUGUAAGAUUCAGGCACACCUGCAACACCAGAGGGAAGAUUAAUUGAGUUCCUAUGUCAAUUAUAAGUGUAUAGCCUACCAAGAGAAGGGACCAAGUAAGGAACUUGAGCAAAGGCUCCAGAAGCAGAGUAAACGGUCUGAAAAAUGAACGAAACUAUGCAUACUUACCCUUUGGAUCAGAUGGAUUGGGAUGUUCCACAUACAGCUGCAGAGACAAAGGAUGGCUGUUCAUAGACUUGAUUGGAGUAAUUAGCGGAGGAGGCUGUUCCAACUUCUUUGUAUCAGUCGGGAUCCACACAUCUGCAGCAUCGCUCGUUCCAAACUCAGGAAGCUUCCUGAAGUAAGCUGUUAUCUCCCACCUGCAAUCUACAACCCCCUUGGGUUCAAUGGUGCUGAUGUUGGGCUAAAACAUAAAUAAACUAUUGCUAAGAACAAAUUUAGUUAAUGAGUCUCUUUAUCAACAUUCUACCAAUACAGAUUCUGGAACUCCUCUUCAGAUUUCGUCACUAGUUAGUUUACAUAGCCUAAUAACAUCAGGAUGUGACCCGUUACCAGGAGGAAGAGGUUUGGUGAGGGAUUCCGAGGCGGGGAGUUUGAUCAACAAUGCCCGGAGUGCAAACUCAAGAUCAGCCUCUCCAACCUUCGUUCCAGAUGACAAGUUCAUCCUUAGCUUGAAUAUGAAUUGCUCGAUCACCACAUUGUCAUCUUUGUUGAAAAAGACCACUGCCACUCUAUCCACCAAACCCUAAUACGAUUCCACAGAUUAAAAAAGACGAAUGAAUCCCAAAUUCCCGCAAUCUACAGAAAGAAAAGACAAAGGAGGUACCUUUUCGAUGAAAGGAAAAAGAGCGGCAACGGAAGAGUGGAUGUAAUCUCGGAGCAGUGGCUCCUUAGCUAUCUGAACCACCGCGUUCAUAUACCUCCUCCGCUCAAAUGCGCCUUUUAAGAAACAAAAUUUCCCCAAUCAGUCGAAGAACCCUAACUUUCAUGCAAAGAGAAUUAUAAAUGAUUACCAUCAAUUCGUCACGUACCGGCAGGGUAUACCCUUUUGAGGAAAAUGAUUGACGUGAUUGCAACUUCCAGGAACUCAACCAGAAUCCUAGCGAUCUCCUCUGCGAGUGAAAAUUGAAAAGAUUGAAUGAUUGGUUUGUCAGAGGGACAAAUCGAGAAGCUGAAAACACAUGUAUACCGUCGGUGGAUUCAUUAUCUCCGCUCUCCAUUCCGGUAGCUUGAUUCUCUUUGAUCUCCAUUUCUGUGGACUGUUGAUCUCUGUUCUCCAUUUCUAUAGGCGGGAGAAAAGGAAGAAGAAGACUUGCGAUUAUGGAGGGACCUAACAGCUACGCAAUUCGAAUUUGGGUUUUAUCCACCGUGAUAAAAACCGAUUUAACUGACCGGCUGGCCGCUACAUGAAAAAUGAAAUGGAAAACUCUAAUUUCUAAUCUAAUCCGGUCUGGUUCGAUGAUAAAACCAUUGAGAAAGUCCCGACCGGUCCAAGGUUUUGGUUCAUCUGUGAUGAAUUUUGAUGGUUUAGAUGGCUCUGGUAUGAAAAACUAAUUAAAAAUUCAUUUAUUUUAAAAUAGUGAAGUAUGAGUAUCAAGUUUGUAACUAACUUUAAUAUUCAUUAAAUCCUCUUUUCCCACUAUUCUUAGUGAAAAGUUUUUAACAAACAAACACAAUUUGAUUUUCAAGUAUUUUACGGCCUUCAAAAAUUGGAUGUGAUUUACUUUUUUAUCUUUAAAGAAAGGUUUGCUUUAUAUUACACCGACAAAAGUUAAGAAGACAGUUCCGGCUAUAUCUAUUUUAACUAGCAAGUGCAUGAUUAUAUAUAUCAAUAACUUUUUAGCUUUUUUAAGAAGAUUGCAAGAAGUAAUUAGUUAAUUUGAAAACCUUCAAAACUAAACAUAAUAUAAUUAUCCUAUAGCUAAGAAAAAAUAUUUUUUAGUUUCAUAUGAUUAUUAUUUGGAGGGGUAACAUGAUAAAAUUUGGAUUAUUAGUCAUUUCUAACAUGUAUGNNNNNUUUUUUUAUUUAUGUCAAAUAUUAGCAAAUUUGAAAAGUUUCAAUUUCUCAUGUCAAAAUUACCAAUUUUUAUGGGUCGGAAAUUGACAAUUUUAACAUAAAAAUUGAAAAUUUUCAAAUUAGUUAAUAUUUGACAUGUAUGUUGAAAAUAGUUAAAAAUCUAAAUUUCACCAUAUUAAUCUCUUAAAAUAAUAAUCAAAUAAAGUUAUAAAUUAUGGUUAGCCACCGUAUCAUACUCACCCGAUGAUGGUCAUCAUUAAAUGUAUAGAAUCAUCGAUUUCGUUGGAACAAAUUUUCUAGUAGAUCCACAUAAAUAGCUAGAUCAAUCAAGCUAUAUCAAGUAAUCAUGUUCCAUACCGUUACAAUCUGAUAAUAAUCAUAGUAUAUUGAAUCCCCAAUUGACAUGCUGGAUAAAAUAUGAUUAAAGUGGAACAUAAUAUCACACAUAUACAAGGUAAUCUGCAACAUGAUUUUCUUUUUAUACAUAAAUGUGGGCAGGGUACCCCUUUCUCGAUGAAGCAAUUACAAGAAGUUCACCCGUUCAAGACAUAAGUUCUAGGCUAACGACAAUCCCGAUACAACGUCUCUCAACUGUGCCCCGGUAAUCGAGCAGUUGAACACACUUGAUAGACAGUCAAAGUUUACUAGUUGUUGUUGUUGUGUUAUUAUGGGAAGCCAUCCAUUGUUUCCCCAAAGCAAUAAGCUCACCGUUGCUUCUCCUUCUGACCUCUAUCACCACCGACGCCAGCCUUUCUUUCUCUCCGAUCACCUUUGCCUCUACCUCCAUUUCUUCCUUGUAAUUCAAAAGUGUUAUGCUAAUCAAUGUAGGUUGUUACCGAACCGAGCGGUUCAGUGUCCGCUCGAAAAAAUAACGUCUGAUCAAGAUUCAACUUGGUUUGAAGAGUAGAGCUUUAGCAAGGAUACAAUCAAGACAGGUCUAUGAACUAACUCGAUUAUCAUUGUAUGGCCGGAUGGCCCUAUGAGAUCUAUUUAGAUGGUUCAAACUCAAAUAUUAGCUCGACCAUAUGUCUCAUUGAUGGACUCAAUACUAGAACUAGUAACUUUGUUUGAAUACCCUAAAUAAUGUUAUUGUUCGUGAUCAUUGGAUGACACUUGAUCGUUUAAUAGCCUAUGCCAGAUUUAGCGGUAAAAUGCGGGUUAUUUCUGAUAUUUAUUAAGAUAAAUCAGACUUUUUUAUGGUGCGGUUAUGUGUAUCGUACACCGACCCAUUGACCCUUUUAGCCCACCUAGCCUAACAUUAGAUGUGAUCAGACUUAUUAAAAUGUCAACAACAUCUAAUUCACCUAAACCUGGUAAAUUGAAUUUGUGAUCCGGUAAACCCGCCAUUCGAAUAAGUUAACCGCGUGGCGGCUCAUAUUCAAUCAUCCUAUUGCAAAUUCAGAUUUGAAAGGACUAAAUUGUCAAUUAGCUAAAGGUAAGGGACCAGGGAAGAAAUUUGUUUACCAGAGAUUUAGCAGUGGAGAAGAAAGAGACGCUGAAAUCGACGGAAGCUUUGACAUGGCCGGCCAAUGAGUAGAUUGCAGCCGCGGACACGUCAUCGAUCAGCGUCGCCAUCGCUCCCACUUCCCAAUUCCCUUCUCCGUCCUGUGUAGCGUAUCUCCGAUUAGGAAGAAGAAGAAGCAAUUGGAAACAUAGGAAGACGCAAAUUCAAAAGGAGAGACCGACGGUGAUUCGAUCGGAGACUGUGAAUCGGCAACGGAUGAACCCUUUCCGAGAAUCGACGAUGGUGAUUCCCGCCAUGGUUAAGCUUUCCAGCACGAGCUGCUGCUGAUCUGAUCCUCUGGCGACAUUUUGCAGCCAUUUGUUCGAGAUCGCCACACUGUCGUCGUCGUCGUCGUUUCCCAUCGUGGCUGAAUUGUUCGUUCUUUUCCCACUUCCCGGUGGUUGUUGAACUUUAUUUUAUACUUGCAGGGAAAAUUGGUGUUUGGCCCCUGUAUUUCUUGUGGUUUACCGAGUUAGCAAUUGUGUACUAUUUAAUUGUCCAUCUAUUCUUCCGAUACAAUGGACUGUUAAUUGAUCGUAUUCUUCUGUUACAAUUAUUGUCUCAUUGUAGCGAUAAUUUUAUCAUGACGUAGCAGUUCAAUCAGCGUCUAAUCCGCUUAAAUAAUAAUAAAAUUUUCAUUUAUGAAAUUUACAAAUUUACAAAAUGUUGGUGCCUACUCGGUGACUUUUCGGAGUACGGAGUUGCAACUAGGUGCCAACGAAAAACCUCGCUGUUGAUGCCAACAAUCUCGUUAGGAGUAUGCGUACUUCCAGAGUAAGCAUACUCCCUAUAUGACUACCACAUAGAUUCUAACGAGGCGUUAUAUUAUUGAUAUUUAAGUGGGUAUACCCACCCUAUUUAUAAUUUGACAAAACGUAAUUAUACCAGUCAAAUCCGCCCCUACCAUCAAUUCAACUCCCCGUCUUCUUCCUCCAGUCUCCUCAGUCUCACCCCUCCAUCAUCUAUCAUUUUGAUAAUGUUUUUUUAUAACAAAAAAAAAUUUAUAAAACGAGAAUAUGAACUAUUAUUAAAUGAAUAGUAUUUAGUUUUUUUAUAAGAGCUUUAUUUUGAGUUUAUUGAGACUUUAUUUUGAGUUUAUUAGAGCUUUUAUUUUGAGUUUACGAGGGCUUUAUUUGAAGCUCACUUAUUACCUUUUAUGGAUCUUAUAAUAUUUUUCAUUUUUCAAUUGACAUGUUUUAAAUUGUCUCAUACUUUCAUUUUUCUAAUUCGUUUUCUAUAACAAAAAAAGUUCAUCUAUAUCCACUUAUUUUUUAAAACUUUCCGACUAUAUCGCGCGGAUAAUUCUAGUAUCCUUGAAAGUGGUUCCAACAUAUAUUCUUUCACUUUUACAAUAUACUCUCACAAACAUUACAUGUGUACACAUAACAAAAUGUAACAAAUAAAGAUACGACGUCACUGCACUCUUAUCACACCCGAUAAUGAUGAAAAGUCACCAUCAUGCACCCCAAAACUCUGAGCGCAUUCUCCGUUACUUGCAGAGUGCGGCCAAGAUCCGACGAGGAGGUGCGAAGAGCCUUCGAGCAUGUUGAACGAUCAAGUUAUCCAACAUCAGGAUGUCGCCUUUUUCCCAAGGAAUAGCGACGCUUUCCUCGUCCAUGAUCUGCUCGCACCCGUGAACUGCGUCGUUUGGUAGAGGCUCCCCGUUUCCAAACACGACGGACUUGGUUGGGUCGUUUAGUUCGUCGCCGAACGCCGUAUAGCUCGCGACCAUACUGUUCCACCAAAUCCUGCGAUGCGGCGUCGUUUCGUCUUGUUUGAAUGCCGGAAGUGGACCGAUUGAUUUUAUAACUAGUGAACGUUCAGUAUCGUCCAUCCACUCCAGCUUCAUUCCUAGCCUUUUUGCUCUGCGUUUUGUAUCCGUACGGCGUCGUUCUCAGCAAAAAAAAGACAACCGAAUUCGAAAAGGAGUAGUUGCUAGCGAGCCGAGCUUUGCUUAGCUAGAGUUCGGCUUGUUGAUUUGCUCGUGUAAUCGAGCUCGAGCUCGACUCGAGACAACAAAAUAAUUGUAAGCUUGAGUUUGAGGUCGGAUCGGUUUGAUAGAGGCCUUAAUGAGCACGAGUUCGGCUCGUUGGAAGCUCUUAACGAGCUUGAGCUAUCAUUUUAUAAUUCUUAACGAAUCAAGUUAAAUUUCGAACUAAACUCUAAUAAACUUACAAAAGAAAUUACAACAUUUUAAAAUAAACUCAACUUAUCAUCUAAUUAAAUAAUCAUUAAGACAACAUCAUUCUAUCAUCAUAUUCUUAUUUUUAUAUAAAAUUAGAACAUUCUCGAUCAUUAACAUCUCUAAAAUCAAGCAUAUUCUUACUUUUAUAUAAAAUUAGAACAUUCUCAAUCAUUAACAUCUCUAAAAUUGGGCAAGCUACACUAAUCGUGUUAUCUAAUGAGCCAGCAAUCAAAUCGAGCUCGAGCCAACUCUCAAGCCUUAAUCAAGCAGGUAAUGAAGCCAAAACGAGCUUGCUCAUGAGCCGAACUUAUCGAGCUCAUGAGUUUUGAAAAUUAUCGCAAGCCAGCAAAGUUGAAUUAGUAUUAACUCGAGCUCGGCUCGCUAGCUCAUUUAAAAUCGAGUCAAAUUUUGAUUGAUCUUUUUUCCGAGCCGCCCAUGGGCAUCUUGGGUUAGCCAGAGUAAAGUAUUCAAACACAACCACCUCUGGAUUACCAAUGUUGCAUUUUGGUCACCGAUAACAAAUUAUUCUGUAAAGAAGUAUUGUGAUCGAACCUUUCUUGAGCAACGACUCUGUCACUAGUAGAAAACGUUGACUUCCAGCCACGGCCAAUGACGGAAGAUGGGUCGUCUUCUCCGGUCAUCACUCUGUUGAAAAUCAACCCUUCCUUUUCCAGCUUCGCGACGAACUCCGGAUACUUAUCUUUCAUCCUCUCGUAGAUCAAAUAGCUCAACACGAUCGGCGUUUCGCCGCCACUACCCGGCUCCACUUCGCAGAAUAAGAACAGCUUCUUCGGAAACUCCGACGCCUGAACCCAAAAGCAAAAAAGGAUAAUUUAGUCUCAAUUAAAGGUUCAAAAUUAGUUUCAUUUUAUUGAUAAACGUAUACAUAGGCCAUCUCGUGAUGGAAAGGGAUCUUCUUGUCCGGCGGAGACUCAUUGGAAGUGUAGACGCGGCCGACGACGUGGGUCCGGGUGGGGGAGCCGCCGACGUAAGGUUGGUCGGCGUAUCCGAAAGCUUCCACCACUUGAUUAAACUGUGAAGGCUCGGAGAGUGGGAAUCCCCUGAAGAGGAUCGCCCCUGUUUUCUGAAGCAGAGAUUCUAUGUACGGCUUGUGAGAUUCGACGGCGGAAGUGAGGUCGGAAACAGAGGAGGCUGGAAGUGCAGGCGCCAGGACGGCGGGGAACGGCGACGGGGAGUUUGUGUAUCGCUUCUGAUUCGGAAUGCUGAUUUCCUGGAAGAAGAAGUUGGCUGCCAUUUGUGAUGUUUGAUCUUUCUCUUUGCCUUUUGAUUUGUUGCUGGCUGGGUAUUUGUUUUUCCGGCUGCCAUUUUUAUGGUGACAAGAGGAAUAUUAAUGGCGGGAGAAGCUAAGGUAUAAAUUUCGGCGGUUGUUUGAAUAUUGAGUGAGUUACCUAAAUUCUUUGUAAUAAUGUAGUUUUUGUUUCUAGUAUUUUUUUUUUAAUUUUCUCGAUGAUUCUUACAUGUUUUAUUUUCUAUAAAAAGAAGAAAUGAUAUCUUAUUUGCGUUACUAUUUACAUAAAAAUGUUACUAUUUAUGUUAAUUAUCUAUUAUGCACACAUAUUUAUCAUUUAUUCAUACCACAAAUCAAUAUUAUCAUCUUUCUUACUAUCUAAUAAAAAAAAAUUACGACUUUUUUCAUAAAAUAAAAUUUAUGAAGAAACAAAUUAGUAAAAAGAAUUAAUGAGACAUUAGACUUUUUCUUAUAAAAAAUGCGGCAAAGAGCGAUAACAUGCAAUUUUAAUUUGUAAAGAGAUAAUCAUUUUCUAUAUAUUAUAUUUAUAGUAUGGCUAAGAUCAUUUUUAUUUUAAAAAUUGAUUAACAAUUUUUAUUAGAUAUUUUAUCAUCAUAUCAAUAACUUUAACAAUUCAAUCAUUCAGUUUAGUUAGCAUUACUAAGUAAUUUUUUAAUUUAGAAAUUUCUAACAAAAUUUUUAAAUAAGCAAGUACUCCUCUAUCUUUAACAAUUGUUUAUUGGAUGGCAUCUAAUUCUCAUCACUUAAUAAUUGCUUAAAAAUUAAGGUUGAAGAUGCUCUAAUAAAUCAUUAAACGCCCUGAACAAUAUUUUGGAUAGUGAAUGUCAUACUACGUACAUUGUUGGCCGGUUUGAGUCAGUUUUCCCCUCGGAAAAUUUUAAAUACAUAACUUUUUCAUUUUUUAUACUAAUAAGUAACAAUUUCGAAAUUUACUCAUACCCUAAAAAUACCAACUUAAGUUUUACCUUGUUCGAGUGGUUGGGGUUUAUUAGUGAGUUAUUAGGGGACGUGCUUUGGAUUUUUAUUAAUUACCAAACCGUCGACGGGGAGGAAUCCAAGUGAUCGGCCGCCGGAAUGUGCUGGGCGGAAGAUACUUCAGAAAGAAAGAAUCAAACCUCGAACCGAGGUUGGACUAAUUAACCGUGGACUUCUACUCAGAAGUAGCAUAUAAUAUAAUAAUUGUUUAAUUUUGUCUGAUUAGGGUUCAUGUGGCCUUUUGUGUUUGUGCUCUAAUUCGUAUUGAAUCCGAUCUGCAGGCAAAUGAAUCCUGUACAUGAACUCUUUCUGCUUUGCCUUCUUCUUCUAAUUCGUAGGAAUACUUUGGUAAUUCCCCUCCGGAAUGAUCUUUACUCUUUCAUAAUUCCGUCAGAUUUGGGACUUAAUUACGUCUAAUUUAUGAAUAUAAAUUUUUGUUUUUAAAGGUACGAAAUUGCCAAAUUCGGCGGAUUUGGCACUGAAUCCAAAUUUCAAAAAUCUGGCCGAAAUUGGAUGCUUAGAAGCGGCGGAAGCCGUGACCUUAAGGCUUAAACGUCACUUUAGGCAGGACAACUCUUGGAGGGGAUGUGUAUGCGCUAGAGGUGCGACAAAAUGGGUUAAAUUCGAGUUAAUCCUAACAGAUUUUAAUAGAUAUUGUUAUGGACAUAUAUUAUACGAUGAUGGAUGGAUAUACUAUGGUUGGCAACGAAGAGACAUGUCUGAUUGUAUUCCAAAGACCUAAGGUAAAUAAUGACCAUGUCGAUGCCCUUUCAUUAAAAUAUUGACACUAUCGAUGUCGUCUUAGGGAGCUCUAAAAUGCAUUUAGAUGUUUUAUUACAAUCUGUUACGGCUAACUCGAGUUCAGCUCAAAUACGGAUUGAGCUCACAUUUUAACUGGUUUAGUGUAUUUUAACCAAUUUCGUAAUCAAUUGACGUUAACCUAACUCACCGAAAAUCAAUUUUCAGUUAACCGCACUUUAUAAACUAAUUGAGUGACUAAAUUGAAAUUAGGAAAAAAAUUGGGUGUUAUAGUAUAAAUCUGAGUUUGGUGAAAUAAAUCAAAUAAUGGAUUGGUGAAUUAAAUCCUAGUACGGUGUAUAUUGUAAGUCUCGCUAAUUACCAUUGUUGUAAUUUAAAUUUUUAUUUAACUGUUUACAUAAUUUUUAAUUUAAUCGUGCUUAAAAAUUUGGAGAAAACUAUGGCCUUAAACAUCAAUUUAGGUUGACAACUCUUGGAGGGGAUGUGUAUGGGCUAGAGGUCCGGCAAAAUGGGUGUUCAAUCUAUUAGCCGAGUGUGAAACUAUCUAAAUAUGGAUCAGCGGAGCUGUGCGAACUGCGAAGGAGCAUCACCGGACUCUCCGCCACGAUAAUCCUCGAGGGAACGUACAUGUGUUUGAAACAAAAUCUAAUCAACUUAGUGUCGUCUUACAUAUGUCGUAUCAGUCUCAAAACUUUUGCGUUACAUGUACCGAUUUCGAAACUACCAAAACCUUACGAAACCAAAAAAAAAGAUAGGUGUGUGAUGAGACAUCUAACUUGACAAACCCUGAAACUCACAACAUAAUUUAAGGUGGGAGUUAAACUCUCACCCCGAAAAAGAUACGUAAGAGCCAAACAUAUUAUAAAAUGGAUCAUUUUUGUUAAUUGUUUAUCGCCGCCUAUAUAAACGGGGUUCAUAACCUUUCAACCGAGACACGCAUCCAAUACCACCUAUACUAAUAUACACACUUCUAAUUACAUUUUUAAAUAACUAGGAUAUAAAUUAUUGAUAUCAAGUACGAGAGCGGAAGAAUCAAAUAUCAACACUAAUUUAUUAGAAAUUUCAACUCGUAAGGAUUGAACAAAAAACGUAAAACAAAAAGUAAAAAAUAUUGAAUUUGUUGACGUUAUUUGAAGAGAGAACUCUCCUACUCAGUCAAACUUCAAAAAGGAAAGACUCAACUUAUCUAUUAUAUGCACAGAGUACAAAAUUAAUUACAGUCAAGAGAUGCAAUUACCUAAAGACCUAUAACAAUAUGGAGAAGAUACUCAGAGGAUUUCAACUCCUUUCAGGUUGAGAAACUCCAACAAGAUGUUCCUUGAACAAUAAAUAGAUCACAAACGCAUCACGAAAAUUUCAGAAUCGUCAAUAUACUCUACAUCUUCUUCAGAGCAGUUGAAAUAAAAAAAUUUGGAACUAGAGUUUCCAAAGAGAGAAGCAGCAAAAAACUUAUUUUUUCAAGCAGUGGAGAUCACUUAUUUAAUAAAUGAGAAAACCCCAUACGCGUCGUUUCAGUACCCUGCAAAACAAAGCACAAAAAUAAAACUAGACGGUCCAACCAUUUAAUCGAACAAAUAACCGAUCCGGUUUAGGGUUGGUUACUAAUUAAACAACUUAAUAAUUAGUUGUAUAUAAAUAAAAAUAGUUAUUCUUAUGUAAAUAACUUAGAUCGAGAAUAUUGCCAGUAAUCCACACUUUUUAAUAUAGUUGAUAUAUGUUUGUUAUCUUUCCCCUUCGCAAAAAAACUAUAAAAAAUAUAAAUAACUUAAGAACAAAAACCAUGUCGUGUCACGCAAACGUUCAAUUAAGUAAAGAAUCAUUACGUAAUAGAUAAUAAACAAACUAAAAAUUCAUCUAUAGUUUAAAUAAAAACGGAAUCUCGAGCUCCACCGAAAAAACCCACAGUCCAUCAAUGGCGACCCAUUUCCAGGAAACGCAGAUCCCUCACCAGAAACACUUUCCCAACUCUCCACCAUUCCCCGCCGUCCUAACACCAACUCCACCAUCCUCCUCAUCUCUCGCCGGCUUCACCUCCGCAGUCAAAUCCGAAACCCAGUACCUCGAAUCCCUGCUCCACGAAACAGGGGCGAUCCUAUUCAGGGGAUUCCCACUCUCUACAGCUUCCGACUUCAACCAAUUAGUCGAAGCCUUUGGAUUCGCUGACUGCCCAUAUGUAGGCGGAUCCGCAUCCAGGACCAAAGUCGUUGGCCGGGUGUUCACCGCCAACGAGUCGCCGCCGGAUCAGAUGAUCCCGUUCCACCACGAGUUGUCUCACGUCCGCGAUACUCCGACGAAGCUGAUGUUCUUCUGCGAGGAGGAGCCGGCAAGCGGCGGGGAGACUCCGGUGGUUUUGAGCCAUUUGGUGUACGAGAGGAUGAAGGAGCAGUUUCCUGAGUUUGUGAAGAAGCUUGAAGAUGAAGGUCAGAUUGGGAUCAGGUUUUUGGGUGAAGACGACGACAUUUCCUCUGCUAUCGGCCGUGGCUGGAAGUCCACUUUCUCUACCGACGAUCAACAUGUCGCCGAGCAAAGGUCCGUUUCUUUUUCUUUUUCUUCCUUUCUGGUCGGGCCGGGUUUUGAAUGGUUUAGUUUUAUUUAACCCGGUCAAAUCGGGCCUCAAAUAGUCCGAAAGCUCGGAGUAAAUAUGGUCAAGUGAUUUGGACAGCUUUUUCGUACACUUUCGCUUGCAUUAAGAAAGGUUCGAGUCUUCUUGAAAUAAUUUGCAGCAUAAUCAGCGUAUGAGAGAAUUAUUAUAGUAAUGGUUCGAUCAAGCCAUGACUAUCAAUAUUAGAAUAGCCAAGUUCUGAGUACGUGAAUGUUUUUUAAAAUCGUUUAAUCAGACAACAAUCAUUCACUUUAUCAAAUAUAUCUUAUUCCACCACAUAAUUAGGCUAAUGAGAAGAGUAUAUAAACACACAUACAAUAAACUUUUAAGUUUGACCAUAACAAAAUUUAAUUUGGAUUUUUAGUUGUUUCCCAUCACAUGGAUGUAAACUGUAAGUCAGUUUGACAAUUUUCAACACUAAUAAUAACACCCCAAAUGAAUGAUUUUAACUUCAUUUAGUCAUUAUUUACAUAAAUUCCUAUGGUAAAAUUUGAUUUUUUAACCAUUUUCAACAUGCAUGUUAAAUAUUAAUCGAUUUAAAAAUUUUAAUUUCACACAAAAAAUUCCAAAUUAGUUGAUAUUUGAAAUUGACAAUUCUUCCUAUUUAGGGUUGGGAAUCGGGUCAGGUUUCGCUCGAAUUUAGUCUGAUCCGGGCCUCGGGUAGCCCAAAAGCCCGGAUUAUAUGUUCCGGUCGGGUUCGGGUAUAUGAAAUAGAGAGCUUCGGGACUUCGGAUAAAGCCCAAAAAGCCUGUUGGGCCAAACCCGACCCAGACAAAAAAGCAUGUGAUUAAUAUGUCUUGUUUAGUAGAAUUGUUAAAAUGCAUUUUGUAUGUAAAUAGUAGUAAUAACUAUGAUAAAUUCCUAAAACAACAAACUCAAUAUCGAAAUGGGAAAUACUAUUUAAUUGUAAAAAUGUGUUAAAUUUGUUAAUAUUUGACGUAGGAUUAAGCAUUAACUAUAAAUCAAGAGAUUAUUAAAACUUAUAAUUUAAAAAUAGGUUAAAACUUCAAUCGGUUAUAAAUUUAAUGGGUUUAAGCUUAACAAUACGGUCAGGUCAAAUCGGGCUUCAGAUUAUCCAAAAAUCCGAAGUAAAAAAGUUCGUGUCGGACUCGGGUUGGUGAAAUGUGGUGUUUCGGGUAUGUUUGCUAACUAACUAAAUCAUGUAUGUUUGCUAACUAACUAAACUACAGGGCGGAAGCCCUAGGGAUGAAGCUGGAUUGGAUUACCGACGGCGACGGCGGAUCAGUGGCCAAAACACUAACCGGACCGAUGCCGGCAGUCAAGUUCGACAAGUCGAGGAAUCGAAAAGUUUGGUUCAACGCAUUGGCGGCGAGCUACACAGCUUUCGGCGACGAAAGGAACGACCCGGCCAAGUCGGUCGCGUUCGGCGGCGGCGACGCCUUGCCGAGCGACGCCAUGUACGGCUGCCUGAAGAUCAUGGAAGAAUUGAGUGUCGCUAUUCCUUGGCAGAAGGGCGACGUCCUGCUGAUCGACAACGGGGCCGUUCUUCAUUCUCGUAACCUCUUCACCCCGCCUCGUCGCGUUCUCGCUGCACUUGGCAAGUAAUUGGCUACGAUUCGUUGGCUUUCCGGUUAAGGAGGUUUCUAGUCGUUUGGUAUGUGUGAUUUUGAGGUAGGAUUCUGAGUAACAAAUAAAGUUGAGUGUGUGUAUUUGAGAAAUUUUAGAUUUUGGAAUUGUUUUCAAGUUGUGUUGGUACGCGUGAUUUUGAGGUAGGAUUUCAAAAAACAUGUGUAAUAUAGAUAAUACUUCGAUUUGUCUCAUCAAGUUUAUGUCCGAAACUUGUGAGAAUCGUGUGAGAGAGGUGUUUGGAUUCUCUAAUAAUACGAUAAUUGAUAUGUAUUUGGGUAUUUCAUUUGAAUGUGGUCGAUAAAAAAAUGAUGCAUUUACAUUUAUAAUAGAGAGGAUGGAAUCUCUCGACCAAUCGUGAAAAGUCUAAUGUUUUCUCAUGAAGGGAAAGAAACACUUCUAGAAUUUGUCCUUCAAGUAUUCCGACCUAUGUAAUGUUAUAUUUUUUACUUCCUAAUAACAUGACUAGAAAGAUGAAUGCAGAACUUCAAUCUUUUUUUCUCAGGUGGGUCGAUGACCAAACGUUGCAUUCAUUGGACAAAAUGAUAAAAGUAUUAACGUCAGCCUUGAGCCGUGGAUCCCUUUUUUACCGAACUUUAGAUUGGCCUAUCGACAUCGGGAGCAAGUUCUAGCCUUUGAGUGGGUCAUGGCCAAUGAACAGAGUUGGAACGUUACUGCUUUAGCUUCAUAAGUGUCAAGUGAAGAGUUGGAAGAAAUCCAAAAGAUUUCUAUUGGUAACCCGGCGUAAAAGGACAGAUGGAUAUGAAGCCCUUUUCCUCAGGAUUUUCGGUUAAAUCAGCUUAUUAUUGCGUUAGGAAGAAGAGUUAUAAUCACAGCAUUGCGGCAAGCCAGACUCAGACCCCACAUGGCCUAUGAAAAUGGCUCUGGAACCUUAGCCUUCCCCCGAAGAUUAAAUUUUUUAUUUGGCGAAUAGUACAAUGCUCUAGCUACUAAACAACGCUUAUUCUCUCAAAAAUGCUCGCCCAAUCCCAUAUGCCAAUAUGUGAGGACCAUGAGGAAGACGUUGUGCACUGCCUGUUCUCUUGUUCUCAUCCGAGAGUUAUAUGGACGGAAAGGCUCCUAGAGACCAUUCUCCUAACCUCGAUAGAAACAAUGUGUAGCUGGUUGAACUCGUUUCGACAAGUUGCGGGACGUGUGAUCAUUGUGUCUUUCUUUGCGAUUUGUUGAUGCUUGUGGAGAGAUAAAAACGAAUGUGCUUUUCGACAGACAAAACCUUCCCCCAGAGAGAACAAGGAUCCGUAUUUCCCAAUUGAUUGAUGAUUGGAGUUUUCUGCAUUAUACUCCUUUCGACUUUAGGAGGGCCAACCCAUCUCCAACCAACUUGCUAACUAUCCAACCGUCAUUGCGAUAUCAACAAAAACAUUUAUGUGAUGGUUCUUUCAUUGAAAAUGUUCCUAUGGCAGUAUAUGGGAUCUUCAUUAAGGAUUCACAUGGCAGAGUGUGCAAUGGUAUAUCGGGCCAGUUACUUUGUUCAUCACCGGUUAUGGGGAAGUUUAGGCGCUACUAACAACGAUAGAAUUUGCAAAGGAUUUUGGAUUACAGACAAUUAUCAAAUCAGAUUGUUUUACUCUUAUCCAAGCUAUCAAAGGACAUGCCGAGACGUGGCGAUACAAGUGCUACGCUUGGAUCGAACGUAUGAGGGACAUCUUGUUAUGGAAUAAUCAUAUUGUUUGUUCGUUUAUUUCUAGAAGGUUCAAUCAGGCUUAUUGGGUGGUCAAAUCAUGCCGUCAUGGAUCUCUUCCUUUUGACUGGAUCUUGAACCUUAUGUAAAUUCUUAUUAUAAUGAUUUUUUUUAUGGUUGAUGAAUAAAAGUUACAACACUUCAUUUAAGAAAAGAACCAAUGGAAUAAUAUAGGAUGAUAAAAGAAUAAAUAUACACCAAUAAGAUAAAAAAUAUUCUAUUAUAAGAUUUUUUAUGUUUAUGAUGCCUAAUUAUUUUUCUUUUUAUGCCUAGUGCUAGAACAUUUGUUCAACAUUCACUGAUGGUUCCAUUAGUAUAGUAUAUAUAACUAGGAGCUAAUUAUAUUUUUAAAUAAUUAGAUAUAAAUUGUAACGAGCUAUAUAAAGAAAUUAGUUAUAAGGAAAAGAUUUUGGUGCAUUAGUGUACAAGGUAUAUUUUAUUAUAUUUUGUUAUAUAUUAUGUUUAAACUAAGAGUUUUGAGGUUCUUGUUUAGUGUUUAGGGUUUAGAACAUAGUGAUAAGUGUUUAUAGUCUAAUUAAUAACUUUAUAAUUGGUUAAUUUAGAUUUAUGAUAAAAAAUUAGAGUGUGUGAUACAAUUUUAAAUUAAACUUGAGUUUAUGAUGCAAUACUUGAAAAUUAUGAUUGAGUGCUCAAGGUGUUAGCAUCAUUAAUUUUUAGUUUUUAUGGUUUACUAUAACAUGUGAGGUAUUUAAAAUUUAUUAUUUCGGUUUUGAAUUAUUAAAAUAAAUAUUUUUAAUGUUCGAAUAUAUCAAUACACCGAAGUCUCCACCUUAAUUAUAAUUAUGUAUAACUAGUUAUCUAACUUAAUAAUUAGUUACAAUCUCUGGUGACCUUUCACGUAAACUUUUAUAAUGAGUUAUAAAAUGUUUAUACCACAAGACAUGAGACUGAUUGAUAUCUAUAAUAAUUUUUAUAAAAUACAAUUCAACAAGUCGAUCCACAUCAACCACCAAAUCCGUUACCUAAUGUAACAAAGAAAUAUUAAAAAUUAAUCAGCUAUUAAUCACGUGCGUAAAAAAUCAUAAGAAAAGUCAAAGUCUUCGUCUCCGUUAAAUAAAACGGAAGCUAACAAACACACAGUUGACAGUACAGAGCUCCAUCAAUGGCGACCCAUUUCCACGAAACCCAAAUCCCACACCAGAAACACUUCCCAAACUCUCCACCAUUCUGUGAGAUAAUAGCGAAAAUUGUGAAUUCUAUUAUUGAUCUUCCAAUAUAUAGUACAGAAUGAAACUCAAAUAACAGAAUAAUACGAGAAUUAUUUAAUAAUAACAAAUAGGUCUUUAACACCCCCCUCAAGCUGGACAGUGGAGAUCAAUCAUGUGCAGCUUGGAAACUAAGUGCAAAAAAGCUGUAUUAACAUCAAGCUGACAUAAAUUCCAUUGUUUAGCAGCAACUAUAGCUAGUAAGGUUCGAAGAGUUGUCAUCUUCGCAACAGGCACAAAUGUAUCAAUAUAAUCAAUGCCUGCAGUCUGAUUAUAUCAUUUGGUCAUAAGACGAGCUUUGUAUCGCUCAAGAGAAUCAUCAGCCCUAAAUUUAGCUUUGAAAAAAAUCCAUUUAUUCCCAAUUGGUUUAACACCAGGAGGAAGUUCGACUAAAGACCAAGUAUGAGUAUCAUAGAGAGACUGAAGUUCCCUAGAAAUAGCUCCCAUCCAGUUAGGAUCAAGUGAUGCUUCUUGAUAAGAAGUUGGUUCCUUGAUGGAAUCUAUGGUUAGGAUGAAGUGACUAAAAGAAGGUGUCAACCUCUUAUUAGAAACAACAUUACUGAUGCAAUAAGGAUGUGGAGCAUGAGAAGUGGUACAAGCAAAGUCAGCUAGACGUUGGGUUGACGUUUAGAACGAGUAGAUCGUCUAAGGAGUCCAGAUAUGCCGCUAGAAUAAUCAUUAGGGACGGGAUUGGACUGCUGAGAAUCAGCAAGACUUUGAAUGAUAGGCUCAGAAUUUAUUACAUCAUCAGUAUGAGAAGGAGACACAUAAUCUGUUUCAGAUACAGAGUCAUUCAUUUCAUUAGCUUGAAACGAAUGUGAACAACCAUCAUCUAGAUGAGUAGCUGUAUGAGAUGAAGAAUGAUGAACAGUUGGAGUUAUAGGAUUAAGAGAAGUAACUGGAAUGUUAGUGUCAAUAGACUUAGGAGAGGGGUCUAUCAUAGGAAAAAUUAUUGAUGUCUCUGAAGAUGUAGAUGAAGAGGCAUAAGGAAACACAUCCUCUCUAAAAACUACAUCACGAGAUUGAAUAAUGGCAUGACUAUCUAAAUCAUAGAUACGAUAACCCUUUUAGAAGCAGGAUAUCACAAAAAGAUACAAGAUCGAGCUCGUGGAGAUAACUUAGAGCGACCAUGAGCCAGAGUUGAUGUAAAACAUUGACUACCAAAAACACGAAGGUGAGAUAGAGAAGGAGAAGAACCAGUGAGAACUUCUAAAGGAGAACGGUUCUCUAAAACAGGAGAUGGUAAACGAUUGAUGAGAUGAACAACAUGAAUAGCUGCAUAAGACCAGAAACUAGAUGGUAGAGAUGCUUGAAAUUACAACGCACGAGUUACUGCCAGGAUAAGUUGGUGUUUUCGUUCAACUCUACCAUUUUGUUGUGAAUUUUGAACACAAGAGGUUUGAUGAACAAUACCACGAGUACUAAAACACGUAGGAAUGUUAAAAUCUUGACCAUUAUCACUACGAAUAACCUUAACACGAGUAGCGAACUGUGUUUCAACGAAAGAACAAAAAUCAAUCAUUAACUGUCUAGCCUGAGAUUUAUUACUCAUCAGGUAGAUCCAAGUCAUUCGUGAAUAGUCAUCAAGAACAGUAAGGAAAUAACGAUGACCAUCCAUGGAUACAUCUGGACAAGGUCCCCAAAUAUCAAUGUGUACUAAAUAAAACAUGCCAGAGGCAUGGGAAGCACUAAUGGGAAAACUUAGUUUUCGUUGCUUAGUAAUGGGACACACAGGACAACGAAAAGAAGCACAAUUUUGAGAAGUAGGUAACAGCUUACCAACAGAAUGAAGCAUAACCAAGGCGAAAAUGCCAUAGAUCGAAAACAGAAAUCGCAGCACAUAAAGCUGGAGGAUGGAUGUCUUGAUUGAAGCAAUAGAGAUCACUGAUGAGUUCAGCUGUACCAAUCGUCAGUAAGCUGGGCAGGGCCUGAAUAUGGCAAGAAGACAAGUUGAAUACUACUUGACAAGAAAGACUGGUGAUUAGCUGGCUAACGGACAACAAAUUGAAUUUGAAGCUAGGGAUAACCAUGACACCAGUUAUGGUAAUAUCAUUAGAAAUCUGGACAUAACCAAUAUGAGAAACCUGAACACGAUUCCCGCUAGGAAGAGUCACGAAAACAUUGAAAACAGAAUGACCAUAAGUCAAUAAUUGCUCAGAACAAGCCACAUGAGUCGUAGCACCAGUAUCAAUCACCCAAGUAGUAUUAGGAAUGGAUUUAAUAUUACCAGAUUGACAAACAAACAUACCUGUAGAGGUGAAGGGAGAAGUUGGACCAGAAUUGCCAACGUCUGCAAUCUUGGGAGAAAUCCACACAUUACAGCACUCGAUCACAGGUGGUUUAGGAGGAUGAAGAGGAGCCUUGCCACGGUCAUUAGUAUUAGACUGCUUGCUGAUUGGUGCAACAGGAGUAACCAGAGGCUGGCUAGCAUAUGGAGAAGCUUUAACUGAGUUUGUAGAGGCCACAAAACGACGAGCAGGAGUCAGAGGAGGAGUUUUGAUCUUAGCAACAAAAAGAAUCGCAUCAAUGCAGUUCGCAUGACCAGCAGUAGCACCAGAAGAUUGGAACAAAGAGUGCAGUGCCUAAUAUUGUUUGCGACUGAUGAUGACACGAGACUCAUCAUCCAGAGAAUCAGACGCAUCCAGUGGAGCUUCUUCAUCAGAAACAACUGCAUUCAGAGAAGUACCUCGAGCUUUAUUCUUGUAAUCCGACGGAUAACCAAUUCUCUUGUAGCACUUCUGGAUAGUGUGACCAAUCACAUCACAGAAGGUACAAACCGGCCGUUUGGAAGACUUCGUGUAUGAGUUAGCAGGCCUGUAGCAAAGGCAACUGGAGGUGGAGCUUCGGAAUCGGGAAUGAACUCCGGUAAAUCUCCAAGCUCCUGUUCCUCUUGACAAGCCAUAAUAGCAAACGCCUGAUUGAUGGAAGGCAAAGGAUCCAUACGAAGGAUCUGGCCACGCACAGAGGAUAACACAGAAUUGAGUCCGCGGAGGAACUUGAUCAUCUAGUCAGAGAGAAUAUAGUUUCAAACUCGAGGAAAAGCAUCAUAGCUGCAGUGAGGAUUGCAUGAACACACUGGUACUGGGCGGUAAACGAUAUACUCAUCCCAAAGCACUUUGAAGCGCGUGUAAUAAGUAGAUACAGAAGACGCACCUUGGUGGAGAGACGCCAGUUGAUCAUGCAACGCAUUACACGGACGAGAUUCGAUCGAUUGAAUCGAUCGCGAAGAUCGAGCCAAACAUCUCUGGCAAGAUCGGCAGAAACGGAGCGGUGAAUCCAACUGAGAACUAAAACGUUCGCACACUUCCAGAAUGACUUGGACUAUUAAAAAAUGACUAUUAUAUAUUUAAUAAAAUAUGUAUUUAUUAGUUUGCUAACAUAAUUCAUAUAAUAUCAAUCAUCAAUGAUGAUUAUAAAUUUUUUUUAUUUUUCAAAAAAUUUAUGAAUUUUACUAUAGCGUUUUCAAAGAUUUUUUAUUUUUUUAUUCAUUUUUCAUAAAAAAUUUAUCGUAUUGAUAACUAAUACAAUAAGAAUUAUUAAAGACAUAUUAAUUUAUAUAUAUUAAAAAAUACAGACUUCACGAAAUAAAAUACGGACUAAAUCACUUUUUUAAUUUGGUCCACUCCUAUUAUCGAGCUAGCGAUAAAAUGUUGACCUGGUUUGAUCAAACUCAACAAAUAUUAGUGGCAUGGUCUAGUUUAGUUCAAUUAGUGAUUUGGAUCAAUUAAAGUUAAUGAUUAGCGAGCCGUCUAAUCAGCAACUUGAUGAAAUAUUUCAAUUUUUGUAAACCACAAAUAGACCAAUCUGUCCGCCCCAUUGGAUAUAUUAUGUGCUUCAAGCAAUCAAUAGGUCGAAAAGGUUGAAAUGAAAAAUAAUAUUUAGUUUUGUAGAGUAUGGCAGUGUAUUGGAUGUCUAUAUUUGUGCUUCCCCAGUCUAUUAUCAAACAGGUCGAGAAGAUUUGCUCUCAAUUCCUAUGGAAUGCGGACCCAAAUGGAACCAGAAAAGCCAGAGUGGGUUGGAGCUCGAUUGCAUUGCCCAUCAAAGAAGGAGGGGCUAGUGUCAGGGACCUGAAAGAGUGGAACACUGCCUGCACAUGUAGACAUCUUUGGGACCUGUUGAUGUGCUCGGGCUCAAUCUGGGUUGCCUGGACAUCAAAAUACAGGCUAAAGGGUAGAUGCUUAUGGGAUUAUAACCCAUCUGCUUCAUCCUCUUGGGCCUGGAAGAGGAUUAUGAAAUGUCGAGAAACUGUUAUGCCUCAUAUCACCCAGAACAUGAACAGAGACCUCUUAUGGGAUGGUAGCAUUAUGCCCCGCUAUAAGAUUACUCGGGUCUGGGAUUCUAUAAGAGUCCAUCGACAGGAAGUGAGAUGGUGGAGGAUGGCUUGGGACUCUCCCACAAUUCCUAAAUAUUCUUUCAUGGGAUGGCAAGUCCUGAUGGAGAAACUCCCCCUAAAGGAUAAGGUAAUUACUUGGGGUGUGGAUAUUGACCCUUCUUGCAGUUUAUGUGCAGGUGGACAUGAAAAUUCUGUCCAUCUGUUUCUCACCUGCCCAUUUAUCUCUAAGCUAAGAGCUCCCGUCUUGCUUAUUUAGGUGAUUGGGAAGCCGAGAUAAACUAGAUGAUUUACAAAUUCCCUGACCAUACUCCAAAAUCGAGGGCGAAAUAAAUAAAAACUUGGCGUAUGGUUAGCCACAUAUGGAAAGAGAGGUGUCGUAGAGUUUAUACGGGAAAUCAUAUGGAUGCCGAGAGGCUGGGGAGAUGCAUCAGCUGGGAAAUCUCGGUUAUUAGAUGUAAUGAGAAAAUUAGUAAAUUCAUAGAAAAGUAUAGCAAUAUGUAUAGAUAGCUUUUGUAAUUAAGUAGUAUAGGUCGGGUUGUANNNNNNNNNNNNNNNNNNNNNNNNNNNNNNNNNNNNNNNNNNNNNNNNNNNNNNNNNNNNNNNNNNNNNNNNNNNNNNNNNNNNNNNNNNNNNNNNNNNNNNNNNNNNNNNNNNNNNNNNNNNNNNNNNNNNNNNNNNNNNNNNNNNNNNNNNNNNNNNNNNNNNNNNNNNNNNNNNNNNNNNNNNNNNNNNNNNNNNNNNNNNNNNNNNNNNAGAUUUAUCGGUGCAUAAUUUAUUCGUGUUGGUGAAUAAAAAUAUCCAUCUGUGGUUUAGAAAAAUUAAAUGAAUUUGUGAUGUGAUUUUCAAAUAACUAAUUAUAUAAUUGAUAAUAUAAUUAAUUAUAAAUGAAAAUAAUUCAUAAAUUCUUUUUUUAUAAGUAGUUAUAAAUUCUUGCCUAAUUAACCAACAAGCUAAUCAGUUUCAUGUAUGUUUGCUGCAACCAUAAACUGCAGGGCGGAAAACUUAGGGAUGAAGCUGGAGUGGAUUUCCGCCGUAGACGACUGCAGAUCGGUGGCCAAGACAUCGAUCGGUCCGAUCCCAGCAAUCAAAUUCGACAAGUCGAGGAACUACAAAGUCUGGUUCAACGCAUUGGUGACAAGCUACACGGCCUUCGGCGACAAAAGAAACGAUUCGGCCAAGUCCAUCGCGUUCGGCGGCGGCGAUCCUCUGCCUAGCGACGCCGUGUAUGGCUGCCUGAGGAUCAUGGAAGAGCUGAGCGUCGCGGUUCCUUGGCAGAAGGGUGACGUCCUGAUGAUCGAUAAUUGGGCCGUUCUUCAUUCUCGUAAGCUCUUCACCCCGCCUCGUCGAGUUCUCGCUGCACUCUGCAAGUAAACUAGCUACUUUGUUGCGGGUAUCGAAGAUUGAAUCGGUAAAGUUAAUAUUUGAAAAUAAAAAUAUUAUCCGAAAUAAUUGUUAAUAAAGACACUCAAUAUAUGCUAGCAUCUUAUUUGGAUUGGCCGGGUAUAUAUAAGUUUUAUUUUUUAAAAUUUAGUUAUCAGGUUCAAUUUUAAUAAACCAAGAGAAUAUAAGUAUUUAUAAUCAAUCAUCUAAUUUAAUGUUACUACAUAAAAUAAUAUAUUUUAAUUUACUUAAUUUCAGUGGGGCAACAUCAGAUUAUAGUAAAAUUUGAUGUGUCACUUUUGAUUUUUCAUGCGCUUGCUAUUGCUAACAUGAUGUAUUUUUAUUAUUCGUAAAUGGAUCUCGAUGGGCUAUACUUUUUGAUAAGGCAUUGCUAUCAUUAAAAAUAGAAAUAGUAAGUUUAUGAAAAUACUGAACCUUUAGUUGAUAUAUAUCAAGUAUCAUAAUAUUAAGCGUUCAAUUAUUUAACACUUAGACCCGAAACAUAUAUAUAUGUAACAUAUAGACUCGAUAAACAUAUAUAUGUAACUCAUAGACCUGAGAAGCAGAUACUUNNNNNNNNNNNNNNNNNNNNNNNNNNNNNNNNNNNNNNNNNNNCAUGAUUGUGUUUAUUUCAGUCGUCUUUGAAAAAUUAAAAUUUUGGCCGCAAAAAUUAUUCAAAUUCAAGUUCGUAUGUAAAAGAUAUUAAUUACAUAAAAAGUUAGGGAAAAAUAUUAAUUAAAAUAUAAAUUAAAUAAAUUAAAAUAAGAGGGAUAUUAAAGUAAAAUUUGAUUGUUUGGAAUUCUAAAAAUAUAGAUUGAAGGUUUAGAUUGCAGUUAUGCCGAGGUAGCAAAAUCUAAAAUCUAAAAGUACAUAAUAUUUAUCGUAGAUAUUUUCAAUAUUAUACACUAAUACUCCGUUAAUAAAUUAGUUGGACAACUCCGUUUCUUUUUUUAAUACGGAGAACACUCGAUCCGGCGUGUCACUCUUUAGAUAGGUUGGUCCGGUUAAUGGUUCUAGAGUCCUAAUUUGAAGCUAGAGAAACGACUUAUGGAUCUGAUCCCAAAAGCCUUAAUUAAUCUCAGCCGUCCAAAAAUCGUACCCUAGAUCUAAUGGCUGAAAACACAAGAGCAAAAUCAACAUUUCACAGCCAUGCAAAUGCUUAUACAAAUUAAACCUAUACACAUUUGCAUGACCCGUACAAUUACUCUCCGUACAAAAUUAUACGGCUCCAACCACCUCUUGUACAUCCAUCUCCAUAAUAACUUGUUAAUAAAUACUUCGAGUUAUUGGGAUACAAUGAUUCUUGAUAUGGUAUAUAUCAGAGCCAGAAAAGAUCGAGAGGUAUCCAGUUAUAAUCUCAUCAUUGUACAUGACUUACCGCGUGAAGCUAUGCAAAUCUCAACCAUUCCGAGAGCUUCUGUUUGAGGGAGAAGUACUAAUAAAAUCUAUUAUAAAACUCUUUCCCAACAAUUCAAAUUAUUAAAAUACAACGAUUUUUAAAACAACUUUCGUCUAACUUUUCAACAACUCUAGAGUCUUUAAAAGAGCCGGUCGAAGGCGAUCAGAUACUGUCUAGAUCAUCCUAAUCAGCUGCACAACCCACUAGACAUUAAAUUAUUAACCAGCAGCCAACUCGUCAAAUGUAAGACCAAUGAUCGUGAGCUGAAAAAACUGACAACCUUUUUAAUGGUUUCACGUGCUUGUCCUUCUCUUGGUUGUCUUUUGAUUCAGCCUCCUAACUCUUUAAUAUCAAGACUCAAGAGUCCUCUAAUUUUGCCUCAUUCACCGUAGCCUAUUCUUAUAUCAUAUUAGACAUGACUAUCAUCAAACAGUUCGGUUCGACUUCGAUCUUACUUCAAGAACAAGUCUAAUUGUAAAUUUAUUAUCUCUCGACAACCGUCUGCAUGUUACCAUCCGUACUUUCAAUACAAACAAUGAGGUUUUUUUGACUUUCGGAUCGAGCUCGAUACAUUUGUUAGAAUUUAAGUCCUCUCUUCCUACCACCGGAUGAAGAAGUUAGGAUCAUUGUCAGCUAUAUUGGAUUCGUGCUCAUUUCGAGUUGAAUAAUAUCCAAAAUAAAUAUUUUCUUUUUUAAGACGGGUAGUGUUUAAAUUGUCGUUCCUAAUUGAGGCAUGGGGUAGGUGCCAAAAUGUUGAAGUAGUGAAGUAUAUAGAGAUGAUAGAUGUCCUGCAUAUAGAUAUGGUUGUGAAGCUUUAAAUAAUAUAUGGUGUGCUGCAUUUAAUCCUACCUUAGCUUUCAUGUCCACAUCUUUCCAUGUUUAACUUGUUGAUGUUGGCUUGUAGAUAGGAAUGGUAAUGGGUUGGUUUAUGAUCAAUGGACACCUACUCUAACAUUCAUUUCACUUCACCAGUAGAGAUUGAAAUGCAAAAUGAAAUAUAAAAAUAUUAUGUCGGGAGGCGCUGCUGAAUAGGAAUGUUGACCACGUAUUAUGUUGUGAUGAUGUCAAUUACGAUGAUCAGAAACGAGUUAUGUAUAAGCUACUAGAUUAGUCCUAUUUCUCUACUGAAACCUACAAAAUUGAUAAGGACGACGACUCAUUCGCCGAAUCCAUAAAUAAGUCCCAAAAACCAUAAUGUCUGGAUUUACUUCGAUGACUCAUCACUAUUCAACCCAUUAGGCAUCAUAACCCAACACCAUCUCCGUUGAGUUGUGUGUAUUGUUCAUGUUCGUUUUAGAUGUUUGCCUUUAAAUAAGUCGUUCGAUCGAUGAAAUUGAUCUAUUAUUCAUGAAAUUUCAACUCGACUGAUGCAUAAUUCUCUUAAUAUGUAAUUUAAUCGAGUCAAUCCUACUACAUCUUUUAAUAUAGUCCAAAUCAACCCCACUCAACCCAUAUUUUUUGUUUUGAAUAAAAAUAAAUAAUUUAUACCCAUCGAUUUCUCGACUUAACCAACCAAUAACCCAAUAGUAUUCAUAACCUCAUUUGGCAUGUAAUAGUAACUCGUGUAACCCUGCAUUUGAAUUUUGACCGCUCAAGAAAAUUUGGUCAAAAUCCAAGAAAGUAAACGUAACCACACAACAAAACAAAACAAAACAAAAAAAAAGACAGAAUAUUUAUACAGGGUGGCUGGACCCUCUUGGCCAGUGAUAAUAGCCUGUAAAUACCCAGAAAGGUGCUCCCUUUGUCUCUUAUCUCCCUCUCCCCCCUCCACCAUUUCUGUAAUUGUCGUCAUAUUUCUCUUAGUAACGAUGAAUUAUACCCACAGAAACUUCCAAAAAACAUUGCUACAGUAUCUGUAGCAGACACAGCACAAGCUUGAGCUGAAAAAAAUAUCAUCUUUACUACUAAUUCAUCAAAUGCUCUGUUUUUCCUCCUUUCUUCAAUCAUUCCUUUCUUCCUCUCUACUCCCUCUCUGAUCCACUGCACAGAUUCUUCAAAUCUGGGUUCACACAAAUGAAUCACUUGCUUCAGCUCUUGAUUCCCCUCCUCCUCCUCCUAUGGCGGCUCCCUCUCAGAACCACCCAAUCCAUCCCCAAACCCAUGAACUGUACGGAAACAUCCCGCCUCUGCACCUCUUUCCUAGCUUUCAAACCAGCGAAAGACCAGACCUUUGGAGUUAUCCAGAGCAUGUUCGACGUAUUGGCUCAGGACAUAACAGUAGAAGGCGGGUCGAGUGAGUAUGUGUUCGUGAGGAAGAACUGCUCUUGCCUUUCAGACGAAAGAGUGUCGUACUACGCUACCAAUUCUACUUACACGGUGAAAUCCAACGGCGGGUUUGUCAACGACGUCGUAUCGGGCGCCUAUGAUGGGCUUGCUUUAGUGUUUCCCAACAACAAUGCUACCAGCAAGAGGAAUGCUAGAGCUGGAGCUGUGGUGUCGGUGAGGCUGUUGUGUGGGUGUUCCAGUGGGCUGUGGAAUUACUUGAUGAGCUAUGUGAUGGAAGAAGGUGACUCUGUGGAGUCUUUGUCCAGUAGGUUUGGAGUUAGUAUGGCGAGCAUUGAAGGUGUGAAUGGGAUCAAUAGCCCUGAUAAUAUUACUGUCGGUUCUGUCUACUAUGUCCCUCUCAACUCAGGUAUUGUUGUUCAAUUUUAGGUGUUAAUUUGUUAGUGAUUUGAGUGAUCCAAGGGCUAGAUGCUUUUUUUUAGGAACUUGAUUCAUGAGGGUUCAAUCUGAGUCUAUGUUGCACAUUAGUCUUGAAUGGAGGUAGAUAUUGAAAGGCAUUGCAUGUGCAACUCUUUGGGUUUAGGUGAAAAGGCUUUAAUGAGUUGGCUGAAGAAAACAGCUAAGGAGCAAAUAAUUUAAUACCAUGUUGCUCUUUUAUUGGAGAGAGAGUGAUGAUAAGUUAGGGGGAAACUACCAGAAUUGAUGAUCAAAACCAGUCGUUUUGAUGAUCUUUUGUAUUAUUUCCACUUAGGUUUAGUUUGGCAAGAGACAUCAUGAUUUUUAAGAAAGUUGAGUUGGGUUUGAUGUAAAAAAGUUGAGUUAAGAGUCUGGGAAGGAUUGUAGAAGGAAACUUGGAUCGAAGGGAUAUAAGGAUCCAAGAGGAAUUGUGAUCCCCAAUCUACUCGAACUUAAAUUAAACUUUUUAUCACUAGUCUUAACUCAACUUUCUUAAGAAUCGUGAUUCUUUGUUGCCAAACCAAGCCUUAGGAGUCUUCCUAUUGGAAAUGCGUGUAUAGUUGACCUCAAUAAUUGUGUCUUCUGUGGUAAAAGGCAGCUUCUUUGUUUGUCUUUCUUGUGUACUGAUAAUCUAACUUAAGAGCAUUCUUGGUUUAGCUCCUGGUGAACCUUAUUCGGUUGAGAGUGACAUUCCUCCUGUGAUUGCUCCUUCAUCUUCUGAUGCUGUCAACUCGUCCGCUUCAGGUAUGAUGAAGAUGAACUAACUAUCGAUUCUGUUGCAAAUUUGAGCCAGUAAUGAAGGGUCAUGUAUUUUACGUGUGAUGAACGUUUCGCAGGAAAUCCGGAGAAGAAGAAGGGUCAUGUCUCGUAUGCAUGGAUCAUUAUGGGACUAGGGAUUGUCCUUGUUGUAAUUGUUUUGUUCAUAGUUAUAUGUGCCUGCUUCAAGUGUUCGAGCUGCUGUUCUAAAGACGAAGCUGAUGGCCAUGCUGCUGCAAACACUGUUGGGGGGAAGGUUUCUCAUAGUUUUCAAAUUCUACGAAAGCCGAGCUUCUGCUGUGGUUCAGCACGGUACACUGGCGCCAACUCGGAAGAGUGGAAGCAAACCAACGGCGAGACUAGUAACUACCACCACAACAUCACUAUACCUAGAGGUUUCUGAAUAAUUCGGAAUAACUUAUGUUUCUGGCUCUGUGGAAACUGGAAACCAGGGCUUGGUUCUUAUUAGCAUAUGAUGUUUUUGACUGGCGGCAGGUUUGGCAACCGAUGUGUUUGACAUGGAGAAACCAGUGGUCUUCUCGUAUGAAGAGAUACACUUUGCAACUGAUGGAUUCUCUGAUUCGAAUCUUCUCGGACAUGGAACUUUCGGUUCUGUGUAUCAUGGCCACAUUCCUGACCAGGAAGUGGCUAUUAAGAGAAUGACUGCCACAAAAACCAAGGAAUUUUUGGCUGAGAUGAAGGUUCUCUGCAGGGUCCAUCAUGCUAAUCUGGUAUGCUGUUUGUAGAAACAAAAAGAAUCAAUCUUUGUAACAUUCAUUAGUAGCUUUUGACACCCGGUUUUCUGUUUCGGCAUUGUGAAGGUAGAACUGAUUGGCUACGCAGCUACUGAUGACGAACUCUUCCUCGUUUACGAGUAUGCUCAAAAGGGUUCUCUCCAAAGCCAUUUACAUGAUCCUCAGAACAAGGGUAAGAUCGUCAAUGGGACGAGCCGACGAUUUAUUGGGUGUUAAGUAACAUGGAAAGAUGUUCUUGCAGGUCAAACAUCCCUUUCUUGGACUAUGAGACUACAGAUAGCACUUGAUGCAGCAAGGGGGCUCGAGUAUAUCCACGAGCACACGAAAACUCACUAUGUGCAUCGCGAUGUUAAGUCAAGCAACAUCCUGCUUGAUGGUUCUUUCCGGGCUAAGGUUUCUGAACAUUUUGCAGCUACAAUAUUAAUCUCAUUCCUGAGUUUUUUCUCAACAUGCAUUACAUAGAGUUUUAUAUUUGAUCAGAUUUCAGAUUUCGGAUUGGCGAAACUUGUUGGCAGAGCAGGCGAGGGUGAAGCUACAGUAACCAAAGUAGUGGGGACCUUCGGUUAUCUGGCUCCAGAGUAAGUGAAACUUAGGUAUUAACAUGGAGAAGGGUUAUUAACUUAUACACUCCAACAGCGUCAGUUAAUAGUUAGUUAUGGUGUCUGUUACUAGUUAUAGUUGCAUGUACCUACCUAUAGGUGCCUGUAACUAGUUAUACUUAUCUGUAGCUAGUUACACAACUUCAUAACGAGUUAUUUUCAAUCAUGUUUUGUUCUUCUACCUGCUUUCAGAUACUUGAGAGACGGUCUAGCCACUUCCAAAAGCGAUGUGUACGCAUUUGGCGUCGUUCUGUUCGAGCUAAUAUCCGGCAAGGAAGCUGUGAUACGAAGCGAGGGAGGUGCAUCCAAGAAUCCUGAUCGACGCUCAUUAGCAUCAACGGUCAGUUUCGACAAUCGUUCUCUUUUUCCCUAUCAUGUGCAGUUGUUGUACAAUGAUUGAGAAAUCUGCUCUUAUCAACUUAAGCAGAUGCUAGCUGCUCUUAGAAGCUCGCCCGAGUCGAUGACAGCAGCGAGCUUGAAAGACCACAUUGAUCCUAACAUGAUGGAUUUGUACCCCCAUGAUUGCUUGCUCAAGGCUGUGAUGGUGGCGAAGCAUUGCGUGGAGGACGAUCCGAUCCUGAGGCCGGACAUGAAGCAAGUAGUGAUGUCGUUGUCACAGAUUCUUUUGUCGUCGAUCGAGUGGGAAGCAACUCUUGCUGGGAACAGUCAGGUUUUUAGUGGCCUUGUCCAGGGAAGAUGAUGAUAGUGAUGAUUCAUGAUUCUGUUUACUUCCCAAGUUCAUAGUUUGGUUGUUCAUAGCCAUUUUGAGUUCAGUUGAGAGAGACGUAGUUUUGUAGCAGUGGCGGAGAAGGAAAAGUUGAGAGUUCAUUUACAGCAUUUACCAGUCUUCUUGUCAGUGUGUACAAAUUUGCAAGAGAUCAUGAGAGGUAGAAGCUCAAGUUCAUUUAUUCAUUCAAAUCGGCACCUUUUCGAUUGGUUAAUCCGAACCGUGCUCCUCCUGCUUCCUGGGACCCACCUCAGGCUCCGCGUCAUAAGCUUAACGUUGACGGUGCAGUAGCUGAACCGCUUGGGGGUGCGACGGGAUUGGUCGUUCGUAAUUCGAAGAGGGUGGUUUUCAAGGUACUUGACCGAUCGUAUCCGGGAGUCAUUGAUCUCUAUAUCCUGUAACUUUUGGCUGUUCGGGACACGUGUACGGGUGCUUUCGGUAGGGAUUUCUGGCGGUUAACACAAAAGGUGAUGCAAAGCUUUUCCUCUCUUGCUUGGCGAACACGAAUACUGGUGUCUCUGGAGGCACCAUAUCGUUGCCGAGAUCCUCAGCUUCCUCAAUUCCACAUUCAAGUUGGUUCCACAGAGCCGCUCGACACAAAUGGUUCUUUCAUAUCUCUCAAGUUGUGUGGAGAUCGAUCUUCCGAUUUGUGGUUAAUCUGACUUAUUUUUUCCGCUUUAUCUUGUUCCUUUCCAAACUAUUUAUGACAAACACAACGCUCAAAUUUAAAAUUUUAUUUAAAAACUAUAAAAAUUUCCCGGUAAUUAACUACAAUUUAUAAUGGUAAUUAACCAAUUGAACCACACAAUGUUAGUCUCCUCAUCGACUCCGGUACGAUAACGUUCUAAUUAAAAGCGAUACACGAAAGUCGAAAAGUGACACGAUGGUUCCUUGAAGUACCCCAUCCAUCAUGACCCCCCUAACUAUAAUAAGAUCAAAGUUGAUGGUCCCGUUAAGUGUUUCUGUUAGUGGAAGGACGAAAGAAAUUAAGCAAAGUCUUUGAUAGUUAUAUGCAUUGCAUCAUGACUAAUUAAACAUACUUAAAUGUAACUAAUUAAACUAAUUAUCUUCAAAAAGAAAGCCCUUUUAUUAAAUUAAAUCAGUUAAUUAUAAGGGCUGCUGUUAGGAUGAGCAUGCAAUUUGCCUUUUUCAUUGUUAAUAAUUUAUUAAUUUACACAACUGCCCAUUAACGAUUGAUCAUCAAGAAAAUCCAGCCCUCAUAAUUGCGUAUCAUGGAAUACAUCACCAUUGGUUCAUAAAAAAUAUAUAUGGUAAACGUUGAAAUAGCACAUUUGGUAGAUUCACGUGUCGGUGAUUUGGAAGUGUCGGAUUCGAAUUUAUUAUAACUCACACAAACGGAUAUUUAUNNNNNNNNNNNNNNNNNNNNNNNNNUAUAAUGUUUAUUUUCUUAUAUAUAUCUUGUAUUUCAUAACUCGGAAAAUAAAGAAAAAGAUAAACAAAAACAUAAAGAAAAAGAACAUAUAUUCACAAUCAAUGGUUUGGUAGGACAAGGACAUUGCAACAUAUGUACUUUACUCUUUUAAGACUUAUAAAACAUAAGCCUACAUAUGGUGGGAAAAGCUUGUUUGGCUUCAAAAAAAUCAAAACUUCUUUGUUUGUUUGACUCUUCAAGUUUGCAUUGUGUAGAUUCUACUUCUUUCCUUAGGGACCAACCAACCCUAAUCAAAAUCAACAUGACCAAGUGAAACAAACAAGUUAAAAUUUGGGGGAGACACUAAGAUAGCUACUCUAAGAAUUUGACCUAAUAUCUCUGUCAGUUACAAUGAAUUUUAGAGAUUUUUGUUUGUCACUAAAUGAACAACCCAUAUACUAUUUCCAAAUAAAUACAUCUUCAAUAAUUAGAUACAUAAGGAAUAUUAUCAAGGAUACUGAAAAUUCCAACGAUGGGGCAGAACAACUGAUUUGAGCACUCGGCAUCAUAGUAAAGCUAGGACCGCUCAUAAAGCAUCGCCUUCCAUGUCCACAUGAUCGGACCGUCCAUAGUCGAUGCAAAUCUAACAUGCACCAUUAAUAUGAGUUACCUAUAUACACUAUAUACCCUCUUUCUCCAAAAGGUUAAAGUUGGUUUCUUUCUUGUUUCGGAUAAGCAUUGAGAAACCUCUACUAUUUGUCCCAAAAGGAAAAGCCUAAGCCACUUACAUAAGUUAUUCAUUAGAUUCUAAGCUGAGUCCAAAAAACACAAGAAUGUUGGUUGGCAGAUAUGAUUGGUUGCGGUAAACGAAUUAAAUUGUUCGUGAGCAGUUUGUUGUUCAUCUCGUGGAGAAAGUUUGAUCGAGAACUAUUGGCUAGGUUUCAGUGAGUUGAUGUUGUACUUUUUGCAUGUUGGUUUGUAUAGAAUUGAUUAGAUGAUGGAUUAUAUAUAGUCAACGAGUCCAUAUUUUUGCUUAAUUAGGUGGCUUGAGAGUCAGAAUUAAAUACUAGCUAGUUUGAUUAUACGAUUUGUUAGUGGACUCAAAAAUACAAUUUGCAUCAAAUGACGAACCAUAUAUGAUUUAUCAUAAUCGUUUAUCAAGUGUUAGUGUCCUAGUCAAGUACCACUCGUUCCAUAGGGCUAAUUAACCAAUUGUGUAGAGACAACACCAGAGAUGUAUGUGAUAAUUAAAACACUCUGUAUGGUUUGAUUUGAUUUGAUUUGAGAACUUCUUAGUUUGAAUCCUAUUACUGUUAUUUUCACUUUACUGUUGUUUUUGCCUUAGAAAGUUGAUUCUGGCCUAAUCAGAGUGUUGGGAUUUUGAUGUUGAACACAAACAAACAAAGCAUCCCAUCCAACCAAUGGAGAUGAUUCCUCUGUACUUCAUUAGGAUGGAAUUUUUCGGAAAAGGAAUUCGAAAACAUAAAUGUAUGGUCUUGAUUCAAGGCAAAUAAUAUUAUAUUAAUGUAAAAUAUCGGUGACAUGAUAAUAAUUUCUCAAGUUGUACUAGAGAGUUGCAGUUUUAGUGACGGGCAGGUUAGUGACCGUUUUUGAUAAAUACAGUUUUAGUGAUUAGUAGGUCAGUGACCAUUUUUUAAGUAAACGGUCACCAUGGACUUUUAGUGACAAGCUUAGUGACCGUUUCUUAAACGGUCGCAAAUUAUAGUCCCUAUAUAAAACAGCAUUUUCUUGUAGUCGAGAGCCGGUUUUAGCUCUGUCUGAUGUGUGGUGCAGUGGACAACCUUUGUGGUAAUGGGAAAUUCUUAGAGUACUCUCAGAUUCGUAGUGAUUCCUCAUGUUGUAAGUCUUCUUAAUAGAUAAGAAAAUGACAUUUUCGUUAAUUAGUGCACAUUUUUCUAUCUCCAUUGCUAGGUAUUGAGAGUGGAUUAAGAUGAAGAGAAAGAAGAGAUGAAAAAAUACGAAAUUUAAUGUUUUUUAUCACAAUAAUCUAAUUAGUCUAUAAUGUUCUGAAGAGCCCUAAAUCUCGGACAACAACCCUAAAGUCACAACUACAUAUUUAAGUACACAUUAACACCUCACUCGCAAACACGGAUAAUACACACAAUUAAAGGAGAGAUCGAAUCAAAAUCAAAUCAAACACAAACAUAUCAUUAGGGUCCAAAAACUUAUCAUUAUCCUCAUUGAUCAUCUCAACCAAAGUUUGCGAUCAAUGGUCAGUGGAAUCGCACCCAGUUUGUACGAUAUAAUUCCAUGAUGAUCAGAACAAAAACAACCCCUCCAAAUCAAAUCGAUAAGUGGAGGAAUUUCAUUCACCAGGUCAGUGCGCCAAAUCAGACUUGCAAUUUGAUCACUGAGUUGACAUUUAGAUCACGAGCUAGCCCCAAAAGUGCAGAGUUCUGUGGGGACAUCAUACCACUUUGUCGACCUUGAUGCUCAUCUCGUAGGAGGUGCAUUGAAUGUAUUCCACCACCACCACGGCGACUCCGCCAAGGAUUCGGAUUCCCCAUUUUUUAGGCCCUUUAUGCUCCAAGGAUGAUCAGUGGAAAGAGCGAGCUGAAAACACGAUAGGUUAGUUGGAGGAGGCUGACUUAAGUAGGCUGUCGUGAAUAUAGGUUUAGAAAUAUGGUGGUAUGUUAUGUGCCCAAUUAAAUACUACAUUUCUACUUAUGAGAUUAUAGUAGACGGAUUCUAACUUUUUAGGCACCUUUUCUUCACAAGCUAGCUUUUAAGGAUGAGUUUUACUUAAAAAAUUAUAACAAAGACAUUUAUGUUGGAUUAUAGAAGUUGAUGGACUGAACGAUAAUUAACAAUUCAAACAACCUCAUGGCGGUUUGGGUUUGUUGAUGAUUAAUUAUGGUUCAUCAGGUAUGAUAUUAUAAUAUGUAUCAUCACGAUACAUUAGUCUAUAUUUCUAGUUUGGCCGUGUCCUAGAAGUACUCUUUUCACGCAAAUAACAUGUAAAAUAACACACUAAUAAUACGAUAUCAUCGUGGCGGAUAAACAAGUCCGUCAGUACCCAAUAAUGGUUAGGGUCUUUUUGUUCGUAACGACAAACGCAUGCUAUUUUACUUGUUAAUUGUGUAUUAUCUACCAUGUACGAAGAAUAAUUAUUUGUUUAUUUAUCUUAACCAUUUUUCGUUAAAUAUUAACUAAAAUCCUCUUUUAACCAUUUAAAUUGUUAAAAUGUAAUGGUCUUUAAUAAAAAUAUACCAAUAACACAUGAGUAAAACAUAAAUAAAUAUCUAUUAUAACAUAUUAUUUGUCCAUUAAUAUCGAGAUCAGACGGAUAAUAAAUCAUAGAUAAUUCUUUUCUGGAUGAUGGGAUCUUAUACUAUAACUAGGUGUUGUUUGCCGUUUGCGAAAUUGAAGCGAGUGGGAGUGACGCGCGGGGUAGAGUGAAUAUUACAAAAGUAGUGUGAACUAUCUCAAGCUACUUGGUCCCCUAUUUUUAAUCAUUCCGGCGCCGCCUCCUAGCAUUGUUGGGUUGGUCGGAGGCCAACAGUGACGUCGCCGUCACGGCAAAAGCGACGACUGAGACUCUCACCAGUCCGACUCCUCCGGUCGUCGGGGUCAGCGCACUUCCUUGCAAAAGAGAAGAAGAGACUCCCUCACCAAUGCACUCCUCCACUCAUUUCCAAACCCGAUUCGGUUUGAUUUAAUCCGACUCAAUACAUGACUCAAAUUAAUUAAAAAUCAACUAUACAUAAUCUGUAAAUCUAAACCGGGCAAAUUCUUAACUCGCUAGACAUGUGAUUCAAAUUUGUGAUCUAAUCAACUCGGUCAUUUGAUUAAUCCAUCACCGUAUAUACCAACCAACAUGUUUGAACUUUUAUGAUAAGAUGAAAAUAAAACUCUUGGUUCGAGUGUGUAGAUAAUGAAACACAAUCACAAACGAAAACACAAAAAUUUGUUUGUAAAUAAAUAUGGAAUAACAAAAAUUAAAAUAAAAAUAAAGGAGGAAUAAUAAAGAUUAAAGGAAAAAUAAAGGAGGAAUAAUACGGGGAUUAACGUGGUUUUCAAUCUUAAGAUCAACUAGUCCACGAGGAGGAUAGAGUUUUAUUAUAGCGAUGAUGGCGGAGAUAAUAGUCAUUGAGAGGUACAAGUAGAGGAAGUUGUAUACUUAAAGAGAUUAGAUUAAGCUAUACAUAUUUAGUUGUAAGCCCAAUAAAACAUUGCGGUAACCUAUUUACUUAUAUGGGUUUAUCAACAUUGUCGACCCAGUUUCCCUUCACCAUAUAUCAACAUUGUCAAUCCAGUUUCCCUUCGCCCAAAAAGUAUAACUAGGUGCGCUACUAAAUCAAAAUUUCGACUACUAUGUUGUGAUAAUGAUUACAAUAAUCCGAAACAGAUUAUAAAUAAACUACCGGAUUAACUUUAAUCCUUUACUCAACAUAUAAACGAAUUUGAUCGAUUAAAAACCCAUCCGCCUUUAAUUGAUUAAGCUCCACAACCCAACAAAAUCAUAUGUAACCCAAUUAACAUGUAACUAGCGACCUACAUGACCUUAUUGAUGUAUGCCUAAAAUGCAUUUCUUCAAACGACUCAUAACAUUAGUUAAAUUUUAUCGAACUCAAUCAACCAACCUAACCCCAACUCGAUUCAAUCCAAUUCAUGAUUCCAAUCGAUCAAAAGGCAACAACAGGUAACCCACCCAACUAGCAACAUGGAGAUUAAGCAACCCAAUAUCCGUAUCUCGAUAACUUUAUGACUCGAUAAACUUCUAACCCUCGAACACUAUUAAUCCAACCCGUCACCCACCAACCAACCGGUUCGACACAUCAAACCCCACGAAGCGUGCCAACAAAAAAAGGCAAAAAGCAACUCAAAAACAUUUUUACAAAAUUCCUUCUCCCUCCCUAUCAUUAUUUAUCCCCAUCAUCUCCUUCCUCUGCUUCCUUCAUUCAUUCCUCUCCCAACUUUGCUUCUGUUUUCCAUUGCAUCUGCUCUCUCUGAACUUGUUGCUAUCUCGUUGCAUCUUUCGUUUUUCCAGAACUGCAAAAGAAGGUAGGCAAAAUUUAGCUUGGAAGUGAUAUUUUUGUCUUAAUGCUUACAAGGUGUUCGACGUAUUGCUUGCGUAGGUGUUAUGUAAUAUGGUUAGUUGAGAAUUUCGCUUAAAUUUCUCUUCUUUUCUUCAACCCACUCUUUGCUUUUGUAUUUUUGAUGCAGUAAAAGUCAAAGGCUAUGGAGGGUGGUUGUUCAAAGGGAGGUGAAGCCUGUCCUAAGUUGCUGGAUUUGAUCUCCAAUGAAAGGGUUGUUUCUAAAGGGAAUGGAGAUUUCGCUGGUAAUGGUUGUUGUUCUUCUUCAGUGGAGCAGAAGCUUGAGCUAAGGCUUGGUCUUCCUGGUGAUGAUGAAUGGUUCUCUAUGGGAUAUUUCAGCCAUGGAAACAAAAUUUAUGCUCCUCAUGAGAAGUCACAAGGGAAGAAGGAAUCUUCCUCAAAGCCCUGUUGCACUAAAGUAGUAGACUUGAAUCAGACUACUACUGCAGAAAAGAAACCAUUUUCACCACAAGCUGCUGCUUCCCCUACUCCUGCACAUACAGCUGUCCCCAACAUCUCUCAGAAAAGGUGCUUUUUUUACCCUUUUCUCUUCUCUCUCAUACAGUAAAAACUCUGGUUUUGUCACCGAGGAUAAUCACUCACAUGAUUCACUUUGCCUCUCUUGUGGUUUGCCUUUUUGUUCUUUUGUUUAGUGAUUCAGAACUGAAUUUAGGCAUGCAGGGAAUCUUCAUUAUAACUGUUUUUUCUUGGUCUUAUUAUUAUGAAAAAAAUCGCAGAACUGCUCCAGGGCCAGUGGUGGGAUGGCCUCCAAUCCGUUCAUUUAGGAAGAAUCUAGCGGGAAGUUCUUCGAAGCCAUCAUCACAUGAUUCCCAGAAUGGUGGGAGCCCAAACAAGAAGGCUGCUAGUGAGAAAUUACUACCUGUUGAAGUUUGCAAGAGAGGGAUGUUUGUUAAGAUCAACAUGGAUGGUGUCCCCAUUGGGAGGAAAGUGGAUCUUGCAGCCUAUGAUAGCUACAGUAGACUCUCCACUGCUGUUGAUGAGCUUUUCAGAGAUCUACUUGCAGGUUUGUUUCUUUCAAACUGAAUUAUUGUUAGGGAAGGGAUGGUAGCUAGCUAGCUUUGAUCCUGCCUCACAUAAUUUAACAUCGACCGACUAACAAUAAUUUAAAAGUUUCAUUAUUUUAGUAGUUGGUUGCUGCUAGAUCCACACGUUUGUUUGAUUUUGAUAGUUAUGUUGUGUGUGCCCCCAAGUUGCCUGAAUUCUUUAGACUUUGUUGCAUACAGCCAAAUUUUGUGACAUAAUCCCUCAGUUUCCUGCCUGGCUAUUCUUGUCUCUGUUACAUGCCAUCCCUCAAGAUUGGAUCUUGAUAUUUUGGAUAGCGUUACGCCACUAAAAAGAUCGAUCUCCCUGAUAAUAAUCGUACUUAUGAAUACAGGAUGAACUCUAUUUGACUAAGCCAGCCACAAAUGUGAUAGCGUUAUGGCCUAAUCAUACUUAGUUGUACAUAUUCUCGUGGUACCGAACCUAAAAGUGGUGCGUUUUGGUGAAACAAAUAGUCUGAUUCUGGUGAUUUUGCUCCGUGUGUCUUCUGUUUGCAGCUCAAAGAGAUUCCAGUGUUGGUGGGAUGAUGAACAAGCAGGGAGAGGAAGAUGAGAAAGCAAUUAUUACAGGGUUAAUGGAUGGGAGUGGGGAAUAUACUCUUGUUUAUGAGGAUAAUGAAGGAGACAGGAUGCUUGUUGGAGAUGUCCCAUGGCAGUAAGCACAUCUCUUUCAUCUCUUUUGUUUUUGUUCCUUCUCUCAGUACUCUACUGCUAGUUUAUCCUUAGUAUCAACUUGCUGAUUGAUUAAAUUAGUAAUCCAAAUUUGCUUUAAUUAAUGUCGUUUAGCAAUUGCUCGAAUGACUAAAACACAAAGAUUCCCUUCAUCACUUUAACCCCCCCACCAUGUCCUCUCUCUGAUGUCAUUUCAAUGUGUCCCCUUCGAGUGAUGGAAACGUGUUUGUCGAAAAUUGUGGGAUGUAAGAUUAGUAGUAGACACAGGAAUCCACUGGUUUCUUGUGCACCGAGUAUAUCUUGGGAUAUACAAAACGAAUGAUAGUCGAAAACUAUGUGUUAUUGAACUCGGUAGGUACCUUUUGUCACUAAACAAACCGAUUGCUACUAACGACCGGUUCAUGGAUUUUGUGCAGCAUGUUUGUGUCUACUGUGAAGAGACUUCGAGUUCUGAAGAGCUCUGAGGUUUCUGCUCUACUGAAAUGAAAAUGGAGAUUUGAAGUUCUCUUUAUCUUUGUUUUGGCCAUUAGGGAAGACUAGUGAAGACUUCCCCUACUAUUGAAGAAGAGUUGAAGGGCUUGGAUUUUGUGGUUGUUUUUGUUUGUAAUGUUUUUGUUUUUUGUUCACCACUUCAUUUUUGUAAUGAAGCUUGUUUUGCAACUAAAAAAAUGUCUACAUAUAUAUAUAUAUAAUAUUUUUGUGUAGCUUGUAUGUAAAUUACUACUAAAUUUUCUAGCAAACUUGUCUUCAUUUUUUGUCUAUGUGGGAACUUGGUCAAAGUCAUUUUCAUUUGGAUUGGUUAUUAGGGAAAAGUGAAAAGAAUUGAACCAAGUGUCGGUUAGAUUAGUCGAUACCUAUUUAGAAGGAACUUUAUCUAAAACAAUUAUAUAAUCGAAGUAAUAGACUGUUUAGCAAGCGUAUAAGCGACCCUCUUACUAUUUUUUUAUAAAAAAUAUUGAUAGACGUAANNNNNNNNNNNNNNNNNNNNNNNNNNNNNNNNNNNNNNNNNNNNNNNNNNNNNNNNNNNNNNNNNNNNNNNNNNNNNNNNNNNNNNNNNNNNNNNNNNNNNNNNNNNNNNNNNNNNNNNNNNNNNNNNNNNNNNNNNNNNNNNNNNNNNNNNNNNNNNNNNNNNNNNNNNNNNNNNNNNNNNNNNUCGCAUCAUUGUACCCGCUGUAAACAAUGGUCAAACGAAGUUAAAAAUUAAUUUUACUCGGUGUUAUUUUAGCAUGUUGAAAAAUAUUUUUAAUUUUAUUUGGCUAUUAUUUGAAGGACCUAACAUGAUGAAACCUCAAUUUUUAGUCAUUCCCGACAUGCAUGUCAAAUAUUAGACAAUUUGAAAAUUUUCAAUUUUUAUGUCAAAAUUGUCAAUUUUUGUGUGGUAUUAAGCAAAAUUGUCCAUUUUCACAAGAAAAUUUCAAAAUUUUCAAAUCAUCUAAUAUUUGACAUAAAUGUUAAAAAUGACUAAAAAUCAAAUUUCAGUAUGAUAACCCCAUAAAUACCGGUCAAAUGAAGUUAAGAAUCAAUUUUACUUGCUGUUAUGUAAGUGUUGAAAAUUUUCAAAAUUGGCUUAUUUUCUGCGUGCUAAGCCGUCGUUAUAUGAAUUGCGUUUUAUUAACUUCGACCAUACACAAUUCUAUGAGAACCAAAUCAUUUUACCAUACAUUUCAACACAUACAAACAAUAAUAAAAUAUAUGGAUCAAUGCCUUCGAUCAACUCCCAAACGAACCGCGUCUAACGAUUAGUGCAUGGCGUAUGUAAUAGAAGAACAUGAAGAGAGGUAAGAUAACAGGAAUCUACUGAACAUGUCAUUCUUCUUCAAACAGUCCGACUCAAUUAAACUUCUUCUUCCACUACCCCUAACAAUCGUCCGUUACUCACACUCCAACCCAAUCAAAUAGCUUCACAUAAAUCCAAUACAGAUUGGAUCUACUGGGCCAAUCAAACCCAACACACUGAUCUUCUCACUACAAUGAUCAAUGGGAUUCACCGCCCAAGAAAAGCUCGCCGGAAAAACUUUCAAAGAUCACCGGAGCAAACCCACGACGACCCAAAAUCAUACAAUAUAAUUCGGUUAAAACAGAGGAAAUUAACAACGAAAGAUGGUUGGAUAUUUAUAUCUUCUCCAGUCCAUAUAUAACACAUAAUACAAUUAAUUAAGCUGCCUGGACUCACCCCUGUGUGCCGGUGCUAUCAAUAUUACGACUGCAUAUAUGUCAAUGAUCAGUUAGUUUCUCGCCGUAAAUUACCGCCACCGCUGCCCGCUGGUAAACGUACGGUGGCCGUCGUAGCCAUAGAUACAACUGUGGAAGCUAAAGAAAAGAGUAGGGCGAUAUAGAGACAAUAUAGCUAGCUACUAUCUGGUAUAAAUGAGGGUUCUUCCAUUUGUGUGUGUGUGUUUUUUUUCAUAUAUGUAUGUAUUUCUCAACUAUGAAGUGGAAUGGGCAGUGCUGCACAGGGGGUCCACUUGUCAUGAAACCUCAAAAAUUUGAGUUAUUAAUUUAUCGAAAUAAAAUUUUGAUUCAUAUUUAUAUUAUUCAUUAACACGUUCUUGUUAAUAUAUAUUGAGUUAGGCCCAUUAUGGUUGUGAAAUAAACGAAUCACUUAUGUAUAUAGGAAGUUUUAGUCUUUUUCUUGGUAAUUAAGCCGUGAUUCUUACCAAAACACCUAAUAAUAUUCCUCAUUUCUCCGUGGACUAGUCGACAUCAAGGUCGGAACCACAUUAAUUGUCGGUGUUACUCCGCUGGUAUUCCUUCCUUAUUCCUUCUUUAUUCGACUUUUAUCAUGAUAUCUUUCCUUUCUUUCUGUGGACUAGUCGACUUUAAGGUCGGAAACCAUGUUAAUUGUCGGUGUUACUCCAUUCUUAUUCCUUUCUUAUUUCUUCCUUGUUCGACUUCUAUUACGGUAUCUCCCAUUUAUCUCUGUGGGCUAGUCGACCUCAAGGUCGGAAAACGCGCUAAUCAUCGGUGUUACUCCACUGUUAUUCUUUCUUUAUUCCUCCUUUAUUUGACUUUUAUCAUGAUAUCUCUCCUUUCUCUCUGUGGACUAGUCGACCUCAAAGACGAAAACAACAUUAAUCGUCAAUGUUACUCUGUUGUUGUUCCUUUCUUAUUUCUCCUUUAUUCCUACCUUAUUGAACUUUUAUCAUGGUAUCUCCCCUUUCUCUCCGUGGAGUCGACCUCAAGGUAAAAAAUUACGUUAAUCGUCGGUGUUACUCUGAUGUUAUUCCUUUCUUAUUCCUGUUUUAUUACUCCUUUAUUCAACUUUUAUCAGCUCCCUUUAAUAAAAAUUCUCAGAAGAGCUAAGGUUUACACAGUUUCACACGCUAAGUUUUGUGCACGGAAAUGAAAUUUCGAAAUUCAAAACAGAGACAUGUCAGUCAUUUUAAACUUUGAUACUAUAUCAUGAGUCGUUUAGUCCCACUAACUCUAAUCGGAGAGAGUUGUACACAUUAGAAGGUGUAAAAGGAAUAAGAAUAUUCAACACAAGAACUCAUAGCUUGUAUUGAAUGGGAACAAGACGGUGACGUUUCAGGCACUAUCUUCAUAUACCCCCACUCACAAAAGUGUAUGUACAAUGUCUAUUGAAGUGGAGGGAGCCUGUACCCUUUUUGGUUGGGUCAAAACACACAUCAGUAUGUUCCAUUCAUGUACACGGUACCGGACCGGAUACCAGCCUGGACGAAUCGAGUCUAGUAAUUCAACUCGUCAAUUUUUACACGAGUUCGGUAAAAAAUUGAAAUCAACGUUAUACUGUGUCAAGUUGAAAUGUUAGAGCUAGAUUGUGUCGGGUUGAAUUUGCGGUCACUAAAAGUUCUUGAUGAGUCCCGUGAAGUGUGACGAGCCUAGUAAGAGCUUAAUUCGAGUUUUGCAUGCUUGAACACAAAACUAUCACAUCGAAAUAAUCAAGAACAAAAAUCAAAUAAGCCGAGAAAACCACUUGUCAAAUUGAAACUAUUAUUUCAACUUGGGGCAUCUGUAUUUUUUCCUCUUCUUAUUCAUCACCAAUAACAUAUUGGCUGAAUCAAAACUCAAGAAAGGCAAGAAUGUAGCCUUUUGGUGCAAGCAAGCAAAAAAACCUUUUCGAGGUUGUGACAUGGUCGAUGAUGAUGAUCAAUCAAAGAUAAUGCGAGUGCGAGGCAGCGAGAAGGGCUGCCCCGAUCCCAGAACCAUCGUUCGCAUGCACGACCUGCACGGUCCCUGAAACUUCGUCUCCAAGCAACUCGGCUAGGGUGGUCUCCAAGCAGUUGCUGUACUCGCUGUAGUGCUCGUACAGACCACCGUCCAUAGCGACCACUGUCUUCUUUUUGUCGCCUUCCUCUUCUUUCAAUGUGUCCUUCCCCAUCUUCCUCAGUAUGGCUACUACUCCAGCAGCAGCUAGACGGGCCCCACGUGCGGCGACGAUGUUGCAUACCUGGACGAUCGCCUUUCUCGUCCUGAGGGAUGUACUAUGUAUCUGAAUCCAAAACAUAAUAGUAUUGAAAUUUGGGUAAAGAUCAACCGUGAUAUAUGGUUCCUUCUACGAUUGAUUAGGAAAAAAAACCACUCUAAAUAGCAUAAACGUAAGUGGGGAUAAAUAUUAUCCCAUUUUGGUGGGGGCACCGAAUAUCGUAUUGAUGGAGAAGGAUGCGCAGACGAGAAAGGAUCAUAGAGGUUGAACGGACCGAGAAGAAAGAAAAUGGGGGCGAAACAGAAAGACAAAGUCAACAUCUAGCAGAAGAUACCUCAAGAAUAUCCUUCAAUUUACUGGCGACGACUUUAAGAUCCGAGGAUGAGUCGUGGUGCAUUGCUGACAUCACGGGCGUCCUGUAUACGCACAGUGAAUGAAGCUCAAAGUUACUAAUAUUGCAGGCCAUGGUAUUGCUUGGGGUGCAAGAAAUCUCAAUUUGAGUUCAGACUUACCUCAGUACAAAAGGAAUUUUGAGUUUAGUCGGCACAGUAUCACCGAAAAAUGAAGCUUCUUCAGCAAGCUUUAGCAGAACUCUGCGUACAAUUUCCCCCAAGUACAUACCAGAAAUGAUUUUCUCGAAAAUCUGCAAGAUAAACGGCAUAAAGGUGACAUCUGUAGUCUAAAGGUGACGUCUUUAGUCUAGGAAUUACCUGUUCACCGGGAUUCAAGCUGUCGACAUCAAGUGCGUUAUCAAACUCCGUUAAAGGAAGAUGCGAUGACUUGAAAUUGCCCCAUUCCAUAUUGAUAACCUGCACUCAAUGACUCAUGAUGAUGACAGAUUCAGGGAACUAAAUCGAAACCUAACGAGGGGAAAAAGUGCUAACCAUUUCUCCUGACUUCGGUAGAGCACCGUGCCAUUUCGGUAUAGCUUGUGCUCGCUCAACAUAAGCAGCAUUUGUUCCUGUACCUAAGAUAACAGCAGCAUCAACAUCCUUGUUGGUGUAUCUCCCUCCAGCUAGGGUCCCAACUGUAUCAUUCACCUAGUUACCAAUUGAAGUUACUCUUUCGAUCGGUAUUGACUUGCACGACAAGUUAUGUUAUGAACUUAUCACGAAAAAGGUUUUUACCAGAGCUGAGACGUGCAUUUCGAGGUUCUGUCUCGUCAUGGCUCUGGACAAUUCUGUCACGACAUCUUGGCCAACCUAUUGCGAAAAUCGAGAUUACGAUUUAUGUAUACAUUUUCUAAGCAGAGUAGUUAUCAAGAAAGAGGAAAGGUAUCUAUCUAUCUAUCUAUGUACCAUUUCAUCGAUCGAAAAGCCCUUUGUCCACCGAACGAGAGUGCCUGACGCGAUGGAAGUCUGAUUGACAGGGAACGAAAAGGUGAAACCUAACUCUCUCUUUCUCCCUGGAGGAAGCUCAUGUUCCUGAGAUUCUUCAGCAACAAACUUUGCAAGCUCGGCUGCAAUGUAAUCAAAGAGUGCCUGAAACCAAUGAUUACGUGAUUAAACUGAAAAUCCAAAAGAAACCGGUUUUGGAUAAACAAUGUAGCAACAAACUUACAUCUGGAGCCCCAGUCAUUAACUCAGAAGGGAUUGGCACCUCGGCAAACUCUUGAUUCAAGAUACCGUCAUUUCGUCCCCCUAAAUGUACCCGUAGUACGCGAAAAUUCGUUCCUCCGAGAUCCAAUGCAUAAUACAACCCGGACUCAUCACUUCAACAAGAGAGGAAAAUGCAAAAUCAACUCAGGUUGUAAAAGUAAAACCAUAUCACAGAUAAAGAACAAAACUUUGUGACACUGUACAACCUUAACUAACAAGACGUGCUUAUAGUGAUAAGAGUUCUCUUAAGAACAGUCGAGUUAAGCAAUGUUCAAAGUUGAAUACUCUUCAGAACAGGUAAUGUCCUGAGAAGCAACCAGCUCGUAACAAAACCAUACCAACUUUGUGAAGGCUUUUAUGUCUUCCUACAUGCAUCUGAGCUUCUCACUACUUAUUUAUAUGCAGCAAGAGCAUUGCAUCUCAAUAACCGAAAUUGUACAUAUGCAACAGUCAUCCAUAUGAUAUCAGAGCCUUCAACCAAAAGUUCAUGACAUCGAAUUUUCAUUAGCACCUAGGUAAAGCUUUCAACUUGAAGGAACGUGCUAGGAAAUGUUAUAUAUACCGAUUCCGAAUAUCUCCUAUAUGGUAUCAGAGCAUUUAACCAAAAGCUCCUCACAUCUAAUAUUCAUUAGCACCUAGAUGAAGCUUUCGGACAUGCUAAGGAAUCAACGUUAUAUCCACCGAUUCCGAAUCUCUCCCAACAACUAGAGUUAUGAGACAACAACUAGAGUUAUCAGACGUAUCCAAUUCAGCUGAACCAAAUUCAAAUCAUUGUGAUCAUCGAAUCUUUCCUAGAUUAAAUUUCUCGAUCAGACAUUCACCAAGAAAAGAGAACAAAGGGGACAAAGAAAGAAGAACGAUUUUUUAAUUUUAAUAUUACCCGGUGGGCAAAUUGUCGACAUAGCUGAUAAGCAUCUUGAGCUUGCUUCCACCUUCCGACGCUAGCCCAACGUGCAUCUCCACCACCAUCGCAUCGGCGACCUGCUUCAAUCUCGCAGUCGACGUCCCGCAUUUGUCUUCCAGCUCUCUAACGAUCUCCAUCGCCCGAACCCACUUGCCGUCCUUCUUCAUCUUCUUCUUGAGAACUACUCCGGCGGCCACGAAGCCGGCGACUGCCGCCACGCAGACCACGGUCGUCACCACCACCUUCUUGUCCAUUGGCUCUGCCUUCGAUUAAACCCAGAUAUGGAAAUGCCCGAAAAAGACGGCAAUAAUCCAAAGGAAUUUCCUUGAUCAAGAGGGAAUGGGAGGAAUUUGGUGUCUGAAGCUAAUUGGCAAGUGUGAGUUUUACUUUUUGCUCUUUCCUUUUCUUUUUCUUUCCGUUUAGUUAAAGCUUUGGGCUUCUGUUUUUUUUACAAGUUUAAUGAAAGGAUAUGGUGACGUAUAAUUUGGUGUAAGGUGUGGCUUCUCCGUUGAUCUGCCCUUUUGCACUCUUCCACACGUGUAAGGUGUGCCACUCAUUGGUUUGGUUUCGAUGAAAUCAAAUCGAAAUGGAAGGUUGAGACACUUACCCACUAUAACGAGAAACUUAAGCCCCGACCUUGUGCAAGUGAGAUAGAUAUAUAAUAUAAGAGGGAACCUCCAACCUUGUGCAUUUUUUCACUUGAACAGAAAACUUAAAUACCAACGAUAAAUUUUUAGGUUUUAGGUAGUUAACUUUUUCAUUCUCACUUGCGAAACCAAGAUAUGAUGUCCUUUUUGUUGGCUUGUUUUGGUAGCUGCUCAAAUCGGGUAGAUAGCCGCUCAAAGAAAUGGUUUUUUGACAACAAUAGGUGAUCUAGGAAUCGAUCAAAUUCUGAUGGGUAGAUUUUAUUAACUAACUUUUGUUGAUGUUGAGUGAACCAAGUGUAGACAACAAUCGUGACUAAUAUCAGUUCGGUACCGGAGUACUUGAGGAUUUGGAAGAAGAAAAUAUCGCGCAAUAGCAAAUUAUUCCGCCUUUAAACCAUAUAUUCACACGUCUAGCCUUCGAGCUCAAGGUUAAGACUGUUCGAAUCGAAUUGAUAUGUUACCCUCGCUCCAUUCGAAUCGAAUAGAUAUGUUACCUUCUAAAUUCUAAUCGCAGAUGACGGGAGAGGAAGCAAGCUACCCAGACAUAUAAGAUAGAACAAGUCUUUAAUAUUUCACCUUUAUAUAUUACAUCAGAAGUUAAAAACUGGUAACCGCAAAGCAAACAUUUUUAUUUACACCGCUAACAGAGUUCCACAACUCUUUACUGUUCAUAAACCCAACAAAAGCUGCAGAAAGAAUGAAGUUGAAGGAUGAACAAAUGCAAACUACCUCCACUCUGUAGUCUUUACCAGCAGCAUUCCUUCCUGCAAUCUUCAUCUCCAUCCUCACCAUUUCCCUUUUUUGUUUUUGUUUUUACGAUUUUUGAGGUUUUUUUUUAAUCUUAAUUUUCUUGUUUAUAUAUCUUUUUUUUUCUUUUCUUUUAGCUAUCCAUGUGGAGGAGAGUAUGAGAUCACUGGUUUUUGAAGAGCCUUCACUCUGCUCCCCACCACACACCAAAGAACAAAUCAAACCCCCCAUAUACACUUACCAUAACUGCUCUGCGUUGGUUGAUCCCACAGUAAAGUUCUUCGAUCCUGUCACGUUCUUGAAAUCAAGCUACACCCGGUACCGAAAUGUGACUAGCAGAAGAAACGUCACCAGAAAGAAAACAGCAUAAAGAACGAUGUUGCAUAUGAUAUCGAAAAUGAAAGUUAAAAGCUUGAUAUAGAAGAACAUGCCUCUGCUGCUGUUGGCUUGUCUCAAGACUUCGAUAAUCAGCACGAUCAGAUCUUGGAAGCUCCGCGGUUGCAGUAUUCUUCAUAAAAGAAUAAGUAAACAAGAUGGAAUCAGUUCAUCACCACAAGAUCAAAAUUAAAAGAUAUCUCUUGUAAAGUAGUGUCCUUCUCAACUGUCCAACUUGUACGAUAUAAUCUUCCCACUGAACACUUCAGAGGAAACCUUCAGUAUGAACACACUGUUCUUCACAAGUUGGACAGAAGGAAAACUUUUUACGUGCUUAUCAACGGCAAAAAGUUUUAGAGAUGCAAAAAGAUGGAAUUCUAGAGUAAGAAAUAUAUAUAUAUAGAAGGAUGUUAAGAAGGAAGGAACUAGUAUUGGAAACCUCGAACUUCUGUUGGAAGCCACCAUGAAAUACUUCAAUGCCAUUUGUAGAGGGAUCCGCCAUAGCAGAUUCCACAUCUACCGCAUCACAGGAAUCACUUCGGGAUGGUCCAACAUCAUUGCUACCCGCCCUUGAUUCAUGGCCAGUAUCUUCACACUCGCUGAUUUCAGUUGUAACUGAUGUCACAGUGCUUGAAUUCGAGGCACAUCGGCCCUCGGCAUCCUCAACAACUUCAAAAUUUGCUGAAACCUCCACAUUACCAGAAGUACAAUUGCCGCCAAUUAUUUCAGGACUUGAACUGGAUCUUCCAAGGUCAACAAGACGACCUUUCUUUGGCAUAUGACUCUCGAUAUCUAUACUGUCUUGAUCAGGUUUCCUCUUCAAAUCUUUCCCACAAGAAUCUGGCAUGCAAACAUCACCCGUUGGCUCUGAUGGCUUAUCACACUCCCGCUUUUGAACGGUGACCCUUUGGUUCGGAGGCCGUUUAAAACCGACUGGUAGAACAUAUGAAGGUAGCUGCUUUCGUCGAACGUGAGACACAAAGAUGUCCAUCCCGGGUUUCCAAAACAUAUACAUGUUAAUGGAAUGCCUAAAUUCAUCCACUGUGCCUCGGAUAUCAAACUGCUGACCUUCCUCAACUUUCUCCCCUUGCUUCCUUCUCAAUCCCAUAAAGAAAGAGCAGUGGGCACACUGUCUGGAGGUAUCCUCGUAAUCAUAAGGAUAAGGAUGGCACUGCAACUUCCCGUAUGUGUCCCGCUCAAUCUGAAAACAAUAUAAAAUACACAGAAGACUGUUCUUAUUUGUCCAACAAUUCAAAUGUAAAUUUCUAUAGUACUUGAGUUACUUACCAUAAGAGUCAACUGCCUAAACCUGGAUUCCACCCAACCUUUCCAAUAACGCAAGUCAUCGGAAUCAGCUGCAAUUAUGUCUACUUGCAGAUAGUUUCUGUAGCCUUGAAAGAACAUGUAUGGUUCAAACAAAGUACUCCACUGUGCCUUAUUCAGCUCAAUCUCCUGAGUUCAAGCAAACGAAAGAUUAGUUGACAAUUCAUAUAUAGACAGGAAAAUGGACCCUCCAAUACUCUUUACCUGACAGAUCUUGUUACCAUACUGAAACUGCUCCAUCAUGACACGGAGAGUACUUGAAGAAACGUUGUAGCUAGAAUUCAUGCAAGGAUAAGCAGGUGUUAUGAUGGGCAUGUGAUGAGUACGAUCACGGGGAUUUUUCCGAGGAUCCCAAACAGAAAACCCAAGUUCAUCCUCCUCAAUCGGACACAGCAUCACAGGGUUGGGCCAGCGCCACUGUGUAUACAUCCUGAAAAAUCUAGAUACAAGCAUGCUUGGAACAGCAUUUGGAUACAGCUGGCAUAAACGAGCAACAAGAAUAGCCCAAUUUACACCACCAAGAAACCCAGUAACCUGAUCAAGCAAAAUCAAGGAAAACACAUAAGCAAUAGACGGUUCAUUGCAAAGAAUCAUGAGGCUAACCACAGAGAUAGCAAGUGAUACUCACAUUAGAAUAAACUCCACGUCUUGCAGCCCAAAAUUUUAGACAACGAAGGGUUGUACAGAAAUGCUACAUGUGUGAUAGAGAGCAAAUCAGCAUUUUGUAAUAAAAGAAAGUUACUUAUCAAGAGAUAUAUUUACCUCAACAUUCGGAACAAGCUUCAAAAUUUGAUCAGCAACUCUGCAGCCAUUAAGACUCCGCACAGUAGGCUCAUCAACAUUGUAGAGGACAGAAACAUCAGAGAUAUCCAAAUCCUGAAAUUAGUUUAGCACUUUAUAAUAAUGGUCUUAAGAAACGAACACUCUAGCAGAGCAGCUAGAUGAAUACAGAUUACAAGAUACUGAUGCAAGGAAGAAGUCAGUACUCACGUCAGGAACCACCAGAACAGAGAUACUAGCAUAUAGCAGGUCAAUCGAUAUACCAUCAAACUUGAAUUUCAUAACCGGAACAUGAGCAUCAGGAACUGGUUGUAGUUCAGUAACUUCUUCCAACUCUUCCAAAAUGUUAUGCAAUACAAAGAAGAAGUCUUCCUGUGUAAAAACACCCAAAAAACGCAUUAGCCACAAAACCAAACAGGAUAAACCCAGAAAUUCUUAAAAGGCUCUGAUUAUACCUCACGAUUAACAUAAGAUGGCCCAACGCAUAAAGUGUCAAUAUCAGCACCAGGUCCAUGAACCUGUAAAAACCAAUACCUUCAUAAAGGAACAGACCACAUAACAGUGCUAAGUAUACCAAUCACAGCCAACUUCAAAAGCAUACGCCCUACCCCAAGUCGAUAAGAACCAAAAGUAAAAAUAACUGCAUUUGCAUCCUCCACUGUUUGAUCAGUGUAACCCUUCAGCCGAGUAAGUCGCUUCACCCAAUCUCUAACAAUCUGCGUAAGCAAACCAAACGAUACAAUGCUAAGCAAGACUACAUUCCAGUGGGUGAAGUAUAAAUCCAGACAGAUUAACUAACCAACCUCUCUAAUACGAUCGAGAACCAUCUCUCUCUUUGCCGCUUCCUCGUUGGUCUCAUAGAGCCCGGAAUCAACCAAAAACUGAAAAAAUCCAGUCAAUAUCACAUACCAUGAUACCAAAUAUCGAACUUUCUACAAUAAGAUUCAACGAGAAUGAAUACCCUUAAGUUACCUUCUCCAAAUCGCGGCUCUUCCGAAAAUCAACUUCAGUUGGACCAGCCAUCGAUAUCGGCUUGGUUAUGCCGAAUUGCUGAGACGUACCGCCACCGCCCACCAGACCCUCUGCUGCGCUCACCAUCUCGGAGGUGGAAGAAGACGAAAAGAAACGGACCCAAGUACGAAAAGAAACGGACCCAAGAGAGGAAUAACGAAAAACCUUAACGCGAAACCCUAGCAAUUAUAAGAAAAGAAAAGAGGAAUCCGAAUACGAAUCCGAUUAGGACAGGGAAGGAGCAAAGAAACAGUUGUCCGCCGAACAAUAGGAGAGAUGCCGGCGGCGAAGGAAGAAGAAGGUGAUGGGUGAAAACCUAAGAGCUUGGGAGUGGACGAGAGAUGGCGAGAGCGAGAGAGAAUGAUGGGGGAAAACGUGGGAGCGAGAGAAGAUCAAAAUCGCAGAAGAAGAAAAAAAAACGAGUCUGCUUUCCUGUUUUUUCUUCUAUGAUAAUAAGGAACUGUUAUGGUUUGUGAUUAAAAGUGAAAAAUAUGUUUAUUAGUUUUGUUAUAUGGCAAAAUAGCACAAAAUUAUUGAGAAUUAAUAUAUUUACUAUAUUGUGUGUCAUCAUUUAUCUUGGGGUUGCUAAACGACGCCCUAUAUUUUAUUGUCAAACGCUCUAAUAUCGUCGCAAUAAUUGAGUUCGGUAAUAAAAAUGACGUGAACGACCCUUGAACAGUAAAAUGAAAUUCUUUAUAAGACGCAGAAAUUCGAAUAACUUUCGCACCUCCUUCAAACGAACAUUAAAAAAUCGUCGCCACUGUCGUAGUCCUGCCGCCGGACCCCUCCGCCGCUGCACCGCCGCCGAGGUAUUAAAUUUUGGACGGCGUGUCGACCGCCCGACGACGGCCUCACCACGUGGUCAUGAAAAAGAUAUUUUAGAAAGAUAUUUUUCCUGUGAGCGUACUUAUAUGUUAAUUGUGGGUGAGAAGACAUAUUAUUUUGAUGGUCAUGAGAAAGAUAUUCUAGAAAGAUAUUUUUCCCGUGAAAGGAAUUUGUGAACCGAUGUUGAAAAUUUUCAAUCAUAUUGAAGGUUAUACAACCAUCAAAUUUGUCUUGAUGGUAAUAUCCAAAUGAUACUAAUAUGGCCCUCAAAGUGAAUGUGCAAAGACACAUGUUACACUAUUUUUGAAAGCAUAUGUAACUAUGUGGAACCCUUGAUGGGCAUAACAAUGAUGAUUGUACAUUUCGUGAAAGAACGGUCGAUCCCUUAAUUAUCGACAUGGAUGAUUGGGCACAUACAUGAUGUAAUUUCAUUAUUUACACAUAUAAGUAUUUUAUGAUGGGAAUCGACAUAAUUAUAAUUAUAAUAUAUAUAUCACAUCAACAGUGCACCAAGACAUAUGAAGUAGUACAAAGUUUCUCUUAGUCUCUAGAUCGAGCUAUUGUAUUGUUCACGAAAGAACAAAACCGUUACUCCAAUUUGUUGAGGAUCAAGAGAGGAACAAUAAUAUGUAUGGCCUAUGGCUAUACAAUUAUUGAAUCAAUAAUAUUGUCCUCUAAGUUAUACUACACAUAUGUUAUUAUGAUUGAAAUACAUAUUUAUAAAUGUAAACUAUAAGUUUACUUGAUCUGACAACUAUUAUUUGGCAUAACUGGUGAGACCAUCCUGGUUCAAUCAUGAUGCGAAUCGAUAAGUACCUUUAUGGUCAAUUUUGAUGAUUCCAUAAUCUAAAGAGUAUCUUCUCUUAAACAUUGUUGUGCAUGAUGGUCUCAACUUGGGUAUUAUAAAGAAAUGAUUCCUAAUGUUAUAGGGAUUUAACUAGUCCUUGUGACUCCCCUAUUUCUUGGGAACACAAAUAAUUUUGUAUUCUGUCAACAAGCUUUCGUUUCUAGGGGAGCCUCAUUGUCUCUCCAUUACCCAUUGUUGAAUGAAAUCUCCAACAAACCUUAACUAACCUUUUGUGUUGCUUGUUCUCAAAUAGAGUAGAUUGUUGGAUAAUCAUCAACUAAAGUCAGAUCGUUCCUCUUAUAGACAAAUAGCAAGGGUGAUAUUUGUUGAUCUAUACACCCAACAUGUGAGCCAAUUAUUUAAAUUGAUGCAUCAACUAGAUGGUCACAUGUGUAUAUCAAAGCAAACUAGAAUUUACGAGAUUACUAGCUCAACCAUUUUGGUUAUGAGCAUAUUUUCAUGAUUAUCCAAUAACGAAAAUGUGUCAUUGAAAACCAAUAUAUUAUUGUGAACAUGUCAUUUACAUGAACAACACAAAUUCGCAUUACGCCAAGAAAUUAUUAUGAAUUCCUCCAUUAUAUGUGGUUUUUGGGUCAAAACCACAAGCAAUUAUUAUGAAUUCCUCCAUUAUAUUUGGUUUUGGGUAAAAACCUUAUACUUCCCAUCUAUGAAUAUAUGGAUGUGAUAUACACAUCUAAAGUGCUCCACCACCAUUCAUUGGAUGGGUUCUCAACAAAGAUUCAGAAAUUAUGUUGAUUACGAGUGCAUCGAUGGUAAACUAUUUACAUCAUUGGCAGGAUAUUUUGAUGACUCGUUUGGAGGUUUUUAUUCAAACUUCCCAACAUUAGUGAGAGAAAACAAAAGGUGGCCAAGAGAUUAGAUGAAUGAUCAUAUCAUUUUGAUCCUUGCACUAAGCAAUAUGAGCUUGAAGUUCAAAAGUAUAUAAUUCAUCAUUUGCCAGACACUUUACUGACCCAACCAGAGUAAAACUCUCACGUGCCAACUCAAAAUGCUCCCGUAAAAUUGAUAUCAAUAUUGGGCACACUGACAUCACAAAUGCGUUUAAAACCUGCAUAAAGCGUGGUAGACCACUCGGUUCCAAAGCAAGAAAUAUUCCUCAAAGUGGAAUGGAGCUAUAUAUCAAGAUGGUCAAAUUGAGGUUAAGAUUAUUUUGAGAAAAAUCACCAAGAUAAAUAAAUAAUAAGCUCNNNNNNNNNNNNNNNNNAGAUAAAUAAAUAAUAAGCUCAAGAAGAGCCUUGGGUACCUGAUAGAUAUAAACAUAAAUAUCUCAAUCAUCUAUAUCUUAGAUGGAAAUACUGGAACCGCAAAAAGCCAACGUCGAUGAAAUUUCUGCAUAUAGUGCAACGCUAAAUAUGAUAAUUGAAAAUGAGGAUCAUUAGCCAAAAUGCAUGCACAGAUAGAAAUGAUUGGCUAAAAAAAAAUUUCAAUUUGAGGCAAAUUCAAAUUCCCAAGAGAAAUGAAAAGUUUUAAGACAUCAAGUCUUUAUACAUUGAGAUGUAAAAUAUGAGUAUGAGAAGUUAUGAAACAUCUCAUUUUUGAAAGGUUUUGUACAACAAACCUAUAACAUUUUGAUUAUGAUGAAAUUUCUGCAUAUAGUGCAACGCUAAAUAUGAUAAUUGAAAAUGAGGAUCAUGAGCCAAAAUGCAUGCAAAGAAAAAAAUCAUUGGCUGGAAAAUUUCAAUUGAGACAAAACCAAAUUCCAAAGAGCAAUGAAAAGUUUGAAGACAUAAAGUCUUUACAUGGAGAUGUCAAGCAAAUGAGACAUGUGUUUAUCUCAUUAUAUGUCUUGAUAGUUAUUAGGCAUCUCAUUUUGAAAGGUUUUGUACAACAAACCUAUAAUAUCUUGAUUAUGAGAAGACAUAUUCUCAUGUGGUGGAUGUAACUACNNNNNNNNNNNNNNNNNNNNNNNNNNNNNNNCAAAGGUUAUAAAGAUAUAUAUUCCAUGGCUAUAAGUGCCUUGAUGGUGGUAAGAUCAUUCUAUGUGUAUCUAUGUCGAGUUUAAACGACCUUCAUAUUAGCCGUCAUGAAACUACUUAGUGGUUUGUGAAACCAACAAAUAAAGCAAUAUCACCAUUCAAAGACAUGAUCCUAUAGAUCAUGCAUGAAAUACAUUUUGCAUAUAUCCUCGAGUUGAAAGAGGAUUGUGUUAGAUUUGAUAUGUCUAGUGCAUCAUUGCACAAAUGCGUCACCAACUUAUUUGAUAAACAUGACAACAUGAAUUUCGAGAAAAUGGUGAAAAGUAAUAUGAUGGUUAUAUACUCUUUUUCCCUUCACUGGGUUUUUUUCCCAUGCGGUUUUCCUAGUAAGGUCUUAAUGAGACAUAUUCCCAUCUAAUGGUCAUCCAAAGGGAGUGUUAUGUAAAUACUGAUUAUGGAUGACCAUUGAUCAUAUUAUAUGCAUCAACUCCAAAGAGGGGAAUAAUAUUUUCAUGACUUCAAAUCAUCGUGAAACAAGUGCUCUCAAGUCAUAACUUGGCUGAUUUAUUUACCAAGCCUUUUUUCUACAUCAAUUUUUGGGAAGCUAGUCUAAAAUAUCGGAGUUUGCCUACUGAAUUAUUUCAAUUGUUAUAAUGAUGAGGGGGAGUCAAUAUGAAGGAUUUUCAACGAUAUCAUCAUCAUGGGGAGUCGAUACGCAAUGCACUCGUUUUCCCUUAACCAUGGUUUUUCCUAGUGGGUUUUCCAGAUAAGGUUUUUAACGAGGCAAUAUCAAAUAGCGUAUUCAAAGAACAUGAUGCACAUUCCUAACCAAUGGACAUUCAAGAGGAAUUUUAUGAAGAAUAUAUGUGAUGAAUGCCCAUUACUCAAUGUAAUUCAAUACCAGUCAUAGCCCCAUUUAUAUNNNNNNNNNNNNNNNNNNNNNNNNNNNNNNNNNNNNNNNNNNNNNNNNNNNNNNNNNNNNNNNNNNNNNNNNNNNNNNNNNNNNNNNNNNNNNNNNNNNNNNNNNNNNNNNNNNNNNNNNNNNNNNNNNNNNNNNNNNNNNNNNNNNNNNNNNNNNNNNNNNNNNNNNNNNNNNNNNNNNNNNNNNNNNNNNNNNNNNNNNNNNNNNNNNNNNNNNNNNNNNNNNNNNNNNNNNNNNNNNNNNNNNNNNNNNNNNNNNNNNNNNNNNNNNNNNNNNNNNNNNNNNNNNNNNNNNNNNNNNNNNNNNNNNNNNNNNNNNNNNNNNNNNNNNNNNNNNNNNNNNNNNNNNNNNNNNNNNNNNNNNNNNNNNNNNNNNNNNNNNNNNNNNNNNNNNNNNNNNNNNNNNNNNNNNNNNNNNNNNNNNNNNNNNNNNNNNNNNNNNNNNNNNNNNNNNNNNNNNNNNNNNNNNNNNNNNNNNNNNNNNNNNNNNNNNNNNNNNNNNNNNNNNNNNNNNNNNNNNNNNNNNNNNNNNNNNNNNNNNNNNNNNNNNNNNNNNNNNNNNNNNNNNNNNNNNNNNNNNNNNNNNNNNNNNNNNNNNNNNNNNNNNNNNNNNNNNNNNNNNNNNNNNNNNNNNNNNNNNNNNNNNNNNNNNNNNNNNNNNNNNNNNNNNNNNNNNNNNNNNNNNNNNNNNNNNNNNNNNNNNNNNNNNNNNNNNNNNNNNNNNNNNNNNNNNNNNNNNNNNNNNNNNNNNNNNNNNNNNNNNNNNNNNNNNNNNNNNNNNNNNNNNNNNNNNNNNNNNNNNNNNNNNNNNNNNNNNNNNNNNNNNNNNNNNNNNNNNNNNNNNNNNNNNNNNNNNNNNNNNNNNNNNNNNNNNNNNNNNNNNNNNNNNNNNNNNNNNNNNNNNNNNNNNNNNNNNNNNNNNNNNNNNNNNNNNNNNNNNNNNNNNNNNNNNNNNNNNNNNNNNNNNNNNNNNNNNNNNNNNNNNNNNNNNNNNNNNNNNNNNNNNNNNNNNNNNNNNNNNNNNNNNNNNNNNNNNNNNNNNNNNNNNNNNNNNNNNNNNNNNNNNNNNNNNNNNNNNNNNNNNNNNNNNNNNNNNNNNNNNNNNNNNNNNNNNNNNNNNNNNNNNNNNNNNNNNNNNNNNNNNNNNNNNNNNNNNNNNNNNNNNNNNNNNNNNNNNNNNNNNNNNNNNNNNNNNNNNNNNNNNNNNNNNNNNNNNNNNNNNNNNNNNNNNNNNNNNNNNNNNNNNNNNNNNNNNNNNNNNNNNNNNNNNNNNNNNNNNNNNNNNNNNNNNNNNNNNNNNNNNNNNNNNNNNNNNNNNNNNNNNNNNNNNNNNNNNNNNNNNNNNNNNNNNNNNNNNNNNNNNNNNNNNNNNNNNNNNNNNNNNNNNNNNNNNNNNNNNNNNNNNNNNNNNNNNNNNNNNNNNNNNNNNNNNNNNNNNNNNNNNNNNNNNNNNNNNNNNNNNNNNNNNNNNNNNNNNNNNNNNNNNNNNNNNNNNNNNNNNNNNNNNNNNNNNNNNNNNNNNNNNNNNNNNNNNNNNNNNNNNNNNNNNNNNNNNNNNNNNNNNNNNNNNNNNNNNNNNNNNNNNNNNNNNNNNNNNNNNNNNNNNNNNNNNNNNNNNNNNNNNNNNNNNNNNNNNNNNNNNNNNNNNNNNNNNNNNNNNNNNNNNNNNNNNNNNNNNNNNNNNNNNNNNNNNNNNNNNNNNNNNNNNNNNNNNNNNNNNNNNNNNNNNNNNNNNNNNNNNNNNNNNNNNNNNNNNNNNNNNNNNNNNNNNNNNNNNNNNNNNNNNNNNNNNNNNNNNNNNNNNNNNNNNNNNNNNNNNNNNNNNNNNNNNNNNNNNNNNNNNNNNNNNNNNNNNNNNNNNNNNNNNNNNNNNNNNNNNNNNNNNNNNNNNNNNNNNNNNNNNNNNNNNNNNNNNNNNNNNNNNNNNNNNNNNNNNNNNNNNNNNNNNNNNNNNNNNNNNNNNNNNNNNNNNNNNNNNNNNNNNNNNNNNNNNNNNNNNNNNNNNNNNNNNNNNNNNNNNNNNNNNNNNNNNNNNNNNNNNNNNNNNNNNNNNNNNNNNNNNNNNNNNNNNNNNNNNNNNNNNNNNNNNNNNNNNNNNNNNNNNNNNNNNNNNNNNNNNNNNNNNNNNNNNNNNNNNNNNNNNNNNNNNNNNNNNNNNNNNNNNNNNNNNNNNNNNNNNNNNNNNNNNNNNNNNNNNNNNNNNNNNNNNNNNNNNNNNNNNNNNNNNNNNNNNNNNNNNNNNNNNNNNNNNNNNNNNNNNNNNNNNNNNNNNNNNNNNNNNNNNNNNNNNNNNNNNNNNNNNNNNNNNNNNNNNNNNNNNNNNNNNNNNNNNNNNNNNNNNNNNNNNNNNNNNNNNNNNNNNNNNNNNNNNNNNNNNNNNNNNNNNNNNNNNNNNNNNNNNNNNNNNNNNNNNNNNNNNNNNNNNNNNNNNNNNNNNNNNNNNNNNNNNNNNNNNNNNNNNNNNNNNNNNNNNNNNNNNNNNNNNNNNNNNNNNNNNNNNNNNNNNNNNNNNNNNNNNNNNNNNNNNNNNNNNNNNNNNNNNNNNNNNNNNNNNNNNNNNNNNNNNNNNNNNNNNNNNNNNNNNNNNNNNNNNNNNNNNNNNNNNNNNNNNNNNNNNNNNNNNNNNNNNNNNNNNNNNNNNNNNNNNNNNNNNNNNNNNNNNNNNNNNNNNNNNNNNNNNNNNNNNNNNNNNNNNNNNNNNNNNNNNNNNNNNNNNNNNNNNNNNNNNNNNNCACGCUAAAAUAAUAUCGAGUAAAAUUGAUUUUUCAAUUCAUUUGACCAUUAUUUAAAUGGAUUAUCGUAAUGAAACUUGUCUUUUUAGCCAUUUCCAACAUGCACGUCAAAUAUUAGCUCAUUUGAAAAUUUUGAAUUCUCCAUGUCAAAAUGGCUCAUUUCGAUAGGUUAACCCCUUUGGAAAUCUACAAAUUUUGAGGUGAAAAUUGAAAUUUUUUAAAUUGGCUAAUAUUUGACGGUGUAUGUUGGGAAUGGCUAAAAAUUGAUGUUUCACCAUGUGAUGCCCUUCAAAUAAUGGCCAAAUGAAGUAAAAACAUAUUUCUUAUCACGCUAAAAUAAUAUCGAGUAAAAUUGAUUUUUCAAUUCAUUUGACCAUUAUUUAAAUGGAUUAUCGUAAUGAAACUUGUCUUUUUAGCCAUUUCCAACAUGCACGUCAAAUAUUAGCUCAUUUGAAAAUUUUGAAUUCUCCAUGUCAAAAUGGCUCAUUUCGAUAGUUUAACCCCUUUGGAAAUCGACAAAUGUUGAGGUGAAAAUUGAAUAUUUUUAAAUUGGCUAAUAUUUGACGUGUAUGUUGGCAAUGGCUAAAAAUUGAGGUAUCACCAUGUUAAGCCAUUCAAAAAAUAGCCAAAUGAAGUUAAGAAAUAUUUCUUAACAUGCUAAAAUAUUCUCGAGUAAAAUAAAUUUAUAAAUUUAUUUGACCAUUAUUUAUAGGGGUCACCUUUAGAAAAUGGCAAACGACCAAAAAUGAAAGUUUCAUUUUUGCUUUAUUUGGCUCAUAUUUGAUGGUUUAACAUAAUGGAAUGUGAAUUUCUAGCCGUUACCAACACGCAUACAAAAAAUCAACCAAUAUACCAAAUUUCAAAAAAUCCCCAGUAAUACCCCGAAAAAACCGUCAAAAUAGGACAAUUUCAUUUUUAACUUCGUAUUUUGUUAUUAUUCAAAGAGUUGAUAUAAUGGAACUCAAAAAUCUAAUUGUUUCUCAACAUACAUUCUAAAAAUUAGCCAAUAUAGUUGAUUUAUUUAUAUUCAUAGCUAAUUAAUAAAAUAAUAUACAACGAAAUUUACGUCGUUGACACUCAUUUUUGCCAUCCUGAAUUCUUAAACUUGAAAUAUCAAUAUUAAAUUUGAUUAANNNNNNNNNNNNNNNNNNNNNNNNNNNNNNNNNNNNNNNNNNNNNNNNNNNNNNNNNNNNNNNUCUAUUAUCUUUCUUUUGAGGUAAUGGCGGGUUGGGCAAAUUCGGAUCAUCGUUGUUCCUCACUUCUAGAGCUUCGAAUCCCAAUGUAAAACUAGCAAGUUUCUGAAUAUGGCUCAUUGUAUUUUCAAAUUUCACCCAAUGUAUUUCCAAACUAGCCCAAUAUUAAACUAUUAUUUAAAACCAAAUCAUUAUAUAUGGUUNNNNNNNNNNNNNNNNNNNNNNNNNNNNNNNNNNNNNNNNNNNNNNNNNNNNNNNNNNNNNUAUUCAUUACCAGUUAAAAGAAAAUAAAUGUAUUCGUCAAUUGACCAUUUGAUAUACAAAAAUCAUUUGAAAAAUUAAAAUUAUUAAUAAAAAUAUUAACAUUAACUUUUUAUAUCAAUUGACUUUUCAACUUUAAAUUCUGCACAAAAUCUCUAACCAUUAUAGUUUUACCAUUAAUUGUUAGGUUGGCAAAAUACAUGUUUCAUUCGUAUUGUUCAUUCACUUGAUACUUGAUUCUCACAUCAAAUAUAUUUUAAAUAUUCAUAACACCAAAUUAGUCGAUAAUAAUAAUCGAUCCUUCUAUGGGUAGUCGCCCACAGUAUCAUUCCAACUCUUGCCCAAACAACCAAGCUUUGUGAAAUCUCCAAACAGAUUGCACUCCUAUUUUGGGCUGAAUUUGGGCCGGGCCUCUAUUUGGGCCUCUCAUCAUCUUCAGCUUUUCUAGAAAAUUGACCGUUGGAUUUUAUUUUUGAAAAAAAGAUAAGUGACCGUUGAAACCAGAUCGAAUUCAAAAUAUUUUGCUUAUAAACAAACCAACCCAGCCAAGCAACGGGCAGAAAGAAAGCAAAGAAAACGAAAGCUUUACAGAGAAAACGAAGAUCCAUCAGAAAAAAUGUCCGACCCUAAUCAGCCGUCGCCGGCCAAGAAGAAACUCCGUCCGCCGUCCCUGAAAGGUACCGCACACUGAUAAUCUCUUUCGUCCCUUUUCUUGUUCGCAAUUACUUUUUCCGUCAGCAGAAGUGGUAGUAGUUGACAAGAAUCCUAAUGAAUCGAUGAUUUGGAAGAUUUUUUUUGGCUAGAAUAAGAACCCUAGUUCCUGAUCCUAUUUUUUGCUACUUGAUUUGAAAAGCAGGCGGAGAUGAGAAUUUGUCGAGUGUGAAGAAAUCGCCGAUGAAGCGUUUCAUGUCGCCGACGAUAUCCCGAGCUGCGAAGGUCAAUCCGGUUCCAAGAACAAAGAUUCCAGCGGCGGACAGAAAUGAAUCUCCGGCCAAGUUGGCUUCUCCGAGAGCUUCAAGUUUCAAUUUGAAUAACGACGGAUUCAGGGAUGAGAAUGAGAAGGAACGCAGCAACAACGGUGAUAACAACAACCUAAUCACUGACGGUUCAUCGCCGAUUCCGUCGAGCAAUUACCUUUCCGUCAGCAGAAGUGGUAAGUUUACGACAAGAACCCAUAUCUGAUGAUGUUGGAAGAUUGAUUUGCUUUGGAUAGAAUAAGAACUCUAGUUAGUUAGUAGAGACGGUUUCCUUAUACUGUUCGCUACUUGAUUUGAAUUCAGAUGGAGAUGAGAGCUUGUCGAGUGUAAAGAAAUCGCCGAUGAAGCAUUUCUUGUCCCCGACGGCCAAUCAGCUUUCAAGAACAAGGGUUCUAGCGGAACGAAAUGAAUCUCCUUCGAUCAAGUUCGUUCCUACUCCUCCACCACCGAGAGCUUCAAGUUUCAAGCUGAAUAAUGGCGGAUUCAGGGAUGAGAAUGACAAGGAAUGGAACCACAACACCAACAUCGACACCCUAAUUACUGACGAUUUGUCACCGAUGAUUCCUUACAACCCGGCAAGCAAUUACCUCUCCCCACGGCCUAAAUUCCUGCGAUACAAUCCAGAACGACGAAGCCAGAUCUUGCGUAGAAGGGUCAAGCUGAAGGAGGAGGAUGUGUUGGAUCUCGAGCAAGAUACUACAGAUACCGAGUCUGACAUUUCCCCUGGUAAUGCUGCUGCUGCUGCUCCUUUGUCUCCGGCCAAGGAUGAUGAAAUGGAUGAUGCGAUCGAGGAGGAUGAAUUUGAAGAAGAGGAUGAGGGAAGUUCGGUUUUCGGAAGGGUGUUUCAGUUUCUGCUUCUGUUGAUGGUUUUGAUAGCUUCCAUAUUGUACAUCACUUCAAUGAACAACCUCAACCCGGUUGAAGCUGACUAUCAAGAGAUUCAGAGCUGCUACCCCCUAGUUGGGUUUGGGAGGAAGAUAGAGGUUAAUGGAACCUGCUUGUUAGUUGGAGAAGGAAUGAUGUUACGACAACAACAACAUCCUGUUGUUGCUCCUUCCUUCCUUGUGGACGUGGAGCAGAAAGGAGAUGGAGAGGAAGAAGAAGCUAUGGAGGAGGUUUCCGAAGGAGGAAUGGUGGUGGUUGAGCUUCAGAAGGCUGAAGCUAUGGAGAUUCAGGAGGAAGAAGAGAACUUCAUAGAUAUUACUGAAGAUGAGAAUAAUGAAGCUCCCUACACAGAAGUUCUCCAUCCUGCAGCUAUGGAAGUUCUGGAAGAAGAGAGGUUGAUGGAAGAAGAGAACUUCAUCGAUAUUACUGAAGAUGAGACUAAUGAAGCUCCCUACAAAGAUGUUCUCCAUCCUGCAGCUGUGGAAGUUCUGGAAGAAGAGAGGUUGAUGGAAGUGGAGCAGAAAGGAGAAGAAGAAGAAGAAAAAGAAAAAGAAGAAGCUAUGGAGGAGGUUUCAGAAGGAGGGAUACUACUGGUAGUUGAUGAGCAUCAACCUUCUGAAGUUGUGGAGAUUCAAGAGAAAGAAGAGAGCUUUAUAGAUUUGGAAGAAGUUACUGAGGAUGGUAUUGAUGGAGCUAAGGAAGAAGAGAGUUUCAUAGAUGUGGAACAAGUUAGUGAAGAUGUGAUUGAUGAAGUUACUACACCCCAGAAUGGAAAGUCAAUGGUUGACUUCAUUGUUCUGCUCUAUGCAGCAAUACUUGCUUCAGCUGCUGGAUUGCUGGUGCUUCUUAUGAUGACGAUGAGGAAGAGGCGAAAUGUUGCUUCUCGGGACAAUGCUGAUCGUAGGUCCAAGUCUACCUUGGUUCGGCCAUCUCCUCCACGAGCUCUGAGAAACAGCUCAACUGCUGAAGAGAAGAACAAUGAAGCAGCUGAGAAGAAGAGUGAAGCAGCUGUUGUUCAGGAACAGGCUGAGAGUUCUUGUUCAACAAUGGCUAGUGGCAAGAAAGGAACUAGCUCCAUCAACAACAACAAGAACGAGCUAAAUGCAGAAGAGGCAAGUCGAAGCGAUUCUCCAGUUGGUUUUCGACAGGCUGAGAGUCAUUGUUCAACAACGACAAGUGGCGAGAAAGGCACGACGAGCUCCACUUCCUCUAUCAUCAAGAGGAAGAAGAAGCAGGAGGAAAUUGGAGACGCAGGCACUACUACUCCAUUGAGGAGAUCAACUAGAAUAGCAGCCAGCCGUGGGAUUCUUUCCCCUUGAACUGUGAUCUAAAUUCGAAAUGAAACAGCUCUCUGUUGUUUCAGCUUCGUUCAAGUGGUCAAUUGUUUAGUAUGUUAGAUUCGGCCACCUACAUUUAGUGUAAUGUGUACCUAGCUAGUUUUAAUCGUUGACUGCUCAUCAAGUUAGUGUCUUAAACUGCAAUGUUUGACUAUGACCUUUGUUUUGUGACGAUAUGAUGACAAUCUUGUCACGAAUUUACAAGCAAUCAAGAACUUCUCGUCUAUCGUUCCAUGCCUUGAAUGGAUAAAAUAGGUGACAAAAUCGCGGCAAAUCAUCGAUACAAUAGUAAUAUUCCAAACUCAUACAAAAAAAGAUUGCUUUACAACAAACCAACCAAAGGUCUCUCUAUCUUAUUGACGCAAUGAGAGAGAGAUUCGAAAAGAACCAAGCCAAAGAACAAAACUCAAGAACUUCCAGAAGCAACAAACAAAUGUAUGGAACAGAAACCAGAAAAAGGAGAGAUUAUUCUUUAAAAUUUCAUAUGUUGUGGAAAUUGAAUUUGGGUUUUUAGAGUCCUUGAUCAACAAGGUAAUCUCCCAACCUCUCGACGACCAUGUUGCAUUGUCCCGGAGUUACUGGUUCUUCGUACAGACCGAACACUAGUGCUUGCCCUGUUUUCUUUACUGUCACGCCUCCCGCACCCUAAGCUCCAACCAAAGACACAAACAUGAGAAGAACUAGAAGAGCAACAUUUUUCGACGACUCGACUAAUAAUAGCGACCUAAAUGUACUAAUCAGGAAAUGUGAGAGGCAGAUAAUCAUAAAAUAUUGAUAUCUCAACUCACGAUUUUGUGUUGGAGGGUUUAUGGGAAGACAAAUCACAUCAACUAUUGUACUGUAGAUAAUAGAUUUUGUUAUGGGAUAGAUGAGAUGACACAACAUCAUAAUCAUAAAAUGAUAAGUAUGAACUGGCUUUAACGAAAAAGCUAAAGCAAUAAGACACCCAUCAAAAUCAAUCCUUAAAUUAGGUAAGAAAGCAAUUCAAUUAUGUUUAAUCGAUUGCCCAAAUGAGAUAAGCGUGAAAAGCAAGCAAUACCAUGCGUAAAAACGGUUUAGUUGAUCCAAUGUAAUGCAAGAUUUCGAUACGUAACUUAAUCAAAUGUGAGAAAAUAAAUGAUUUCGUUAGUUCGUUAUACAGAAAAAGCAAUCGUUAGUGAGCAACAUUAAACGGGGAAAUCAAAAUUGGACGUCCGCCUGAAUUCGAACCCGAUUUAGAUUUCGGAAACUUUUGUGUGUUUUCAAUAAUUGUUUAAGGAUGAGAUGGACAGUUUGUCUAUAGACAGCUCUAAAGAGAAGGGAUAAAGACCUGGAUAUCCCUAAUGCCUAUUACUUUUUCUUUUGAUGAACUGUCGAUAAUUGGCUUUUUAAAUGACCAGAUGUUGAAAGUUGUAAGGGGUAGUGGACCAUUCAUUCUAUAGAUAAUAAGCUUUACGAGCUCUGAUAUGAUGAUCGUACAAAAGUGAGCCUCUUUUUAUAGCAAUUCAAACGAACUCAUCAAACUUCAAAAACCUCCUACUGGGUCGGCAAUUCAAACAAAAUCAUAGUGGUCACCAUAGCGAACUAGUUACACCGCUGAAUCGACUAAUCUGAUAUAGUCUUUCAAUCAUUAUUAAAUCUACCCAUCCUAAGUUUCAACCUCUCACUCUUUCCAAUUUCUUGUUUUGAAUCAUUAAUCUAGCUACUACGGGAUUAUUCAUAUUUGAUGAAGUUUGUUACUAUUCUAAUUUAAUAGUGAAACCAAAAUCUUUACCGCCAGUUGAAUAAUCAAACCUUUUACGGUAUGUUGUUAUUAAUCAUUGGUUAUUAGGGACGACUUAAUAAUCUAGUUAAACUACACAAGCAAAAGAAAGCAGAGGCAGCUAACCUUCUUUCCACGAAUCACAGCUCCUGCCUCUCCUUGGAUCACCAUAUACUUUGCUCCAGCGAGGUGCAAUCCGGUUGGGGCAAGAGUCCCAGGCUCGUCAAAAUCCUUCAUCAUUGCAGUUAUCUCCUCUGGUUUACACUGCAAGCAAUGAACCAAGCAAGUAAACCACAGGGUCCUCAAAUCAACAGAACUUUCAAAGUCCUGUUUGACAAAAUCCCUGAUUCAAGAAGCCAAUGCAGAUAAUGUAGCCAAACAUCGAUCAUAUAUAUCAUUAGCAAAAUCUGUUACAGAGUGAACUAUAAGAUUAAUCAUACGUCCUGUUUAUCAUCCAUGGCCUGAAACAGCAAGGAUUCCACAUCCUGUUUGGCAGAAGCGCCGGAUUCAUGAAUCCAUUUGAAAGCCAAUGAUAAUCAACAAUGUUGAUGCAGCCAAACACCAAUCAUAUCAUUAUCCGAAAUCUAUUACCGAGUGAAACCAUAACAUAAUCUAAUCGGAAGAAGAACAAUAGCAAGAUCGUUCAAAAAACAACAGUUCUCGACGCACAGAUCAUUUUCAUAGCUAGUAACCAAAAUGAAUCUUACAGAUCGAUCACAGAAACAUCAAUCAAUCGAAACAAUGAACCCGCUCAAUAAUCUAAACUCAGAAGAGCUGUUAGCCUGUUACAGAGUGAAACCAUAUGAUUGUCGAAUCGCAAAAGUAACAAUAGCAUGAUCGUUCAAAAACCAACAGUUCUAGAUGCAUUGCACGGAUCAUUCAUACCGAGUAACCAAAAUCAAUCUAACAAACCGAUCAUAGAAACAGCAAUCAAUCGAAACACGAAUGCGCUCAAUAAUCUAAAUUCAAAAUAGCUGAAAAUAAAAAAUCCAGAUCCGCACGCCUAUCCAACAGAAAUUCAAAAUAGUAAUGAAAUCGGAGAAAAGAGGACUACCGCUGGGAAGUUGGCGCUCUGAGCCCAGACGCUGCCGUCGUGGCCGAUGAUAGCGGCGGAUGCGAGGUGGUUGCCUUCAAUAUCGCACAUCAGGUGCUCGUCGACGUAAGUCUGCCACGACAUUUUCGUUCCUUUCUUCUGCUUCUUCUUCUGCGGAUCUGAAACUGAAGAUUUGGAAAACUAGAAAAUGCGAUCGAUUUUGCUAUGCCCAAUGGUUUUCAGAGGCCGGAGGGUUUAUAUAGAGUUCUCCCCCUGAAAUUAAGGGCGGGAGGGAGAAUGAUUCGCUGCGGUGAUGACUCAUUAUUAAUGACUCAAUCUCAUCCGUCCCUUUUCCGCCUUGAUUGAAUGAGUGCCGUCCACGUUCUCUGAUCAAAUUUUGUGGUGCUCCCCCCACGUGUGAUACUUUCCAGCUAUUGCGUUCCGCCACUUGUACGCAGACCAAACUUCUGGGCCUAAGCCCACCCUCUGCAUCUCUCCUCAUGGGCCAAUCUUGGAGCUUCGAGCCCAAUAUGCAUAUUUACAGUUAAAAUUGUUCAAGUGUUCUAAACGAGUCGAAUUUCAACAAAAACAAGACUUAACAAGCUCCUGAACUAGCUUGGUUAGAAGCUUGAUUGUAUGGUUUACUAGCCAACUAGACAUCAUCAUGUGUCAGCUUGAUUAGUUUAAAUGCGACACGAAGCAGCAGAAAAUAGGCUCCUAAAAUAUCAUUGGCAGACUAACUCGAAUCUACUUGAACUCGACGACAAACUCUAAUAAUCGAACUCAAACUCAAACUCGACUGGAAAUUAAUAUACAAUCCACAUUAAAUUCGAGUCUGAUACUCUGAUUCAGCCAUAAAACAAAUAAGAACUCUAUGGAGGUCUUCUUCUACUUGAAUUCCUAAGCUUUCAUCUACUGGAAUGCUCCAAGAGAGUUCAUAUGAGCCCUUAAUGUCAAUACAAUGGUCCCUCUGCAACAAAAAAAAACCAAAAACAGAACUUGGAGUGCUAGUUCACAACCUGGAUAUUCAUUCAAUCAGAAGCAUGGUUAAAGUGAACAAUUUCAUACCAUCGUCAUCAACAACGUCGUUGACAUCGUCUUCAUCAUCGUCGAAAUCCUCGUUCUGCACAAUUGUAGAGACUGGUGUUAGAAGUGUUCAGUAAGCGAUGUAAUAUGGGUUUUCGUUUCGUUUUAACAACCUUAUUAUAGUCGUCCUCGCUCACUUCAUCCUCAUCGGUUGGUACAAUGUCUUCUUCGUCUUUGUCUCCCUCUUCUUCUUCAUCUUCACCUUCUUUAGUCUCCUUGCCAUCCUAGAGACAUUAGCAAAAUGGGCAUUCAACAGGUCCAACACAGA